CAAGUCGCACGUAAAGUCGCUUCUGAGAGAAUGUGCUCACAUUGUAGUUGAAAGAUUAUGUGGCUAGCAACAUUACAAAUUUAAUUUGGUAUAAUUUUAAAAUAUGGAUUGAGGAAAAAAAUGAUCACAUUAACUAGAAACUGAAAAGGUUUCAGCACAGUUUGUUCAAGCAAGAAACUCAAUUUUGAUGCUACCGAUCUUGAGCGCCGUACCUGGGCACCAAAGUCACCACCACACUCUCAUCAUCUUCAGCACCCAAAUCCUCCAACAGGUCCGUUAACCCCAACCUUAAACAACUCUUGCUCUUUUCCUUCUGCUUAUGUGGCACACUCACAAAACUCCCAGCAAACUCGCUCUUGUCGGGUCCACUCGGUGCCGCAUCCUCAUCGUCCACGUCAUUCACAUACACAUCAAACUUCACAGCCACAUCUUUGUCAAGCUCAAUCCCCUGAAUCACCAAUAUCUCCUCCUCAUCCUCUUUCUCCUUCUUGCUCCUCUUCUUCGGCUUCGGCCUUGACACCACCGUACUUAUCUUCGUCUCCAAAUUUAUUGGAAAAUCUUUACCCGCCACCACCUUCCCUGAUGACGUCGUCUCAGCGGCCUUCGCCACUCCAGCCGCCUUUGCCUUUCUCGCAAGCUUUGUCCGACGUGGCGUCGGUCUAGACUUGAGCCAUGGAAUCUCAACAUCUUCAUACGUAUACCCUAGCUUUUUAUUAUCAAGAGUGUCCCUCACCGUGACCCUAACAAGCUCAGCAUUCUCGUCAUAAAACAAAAACCCCGUAUCCAACCAAUCCUUAUCGUUAAUAUCUUUAUUUUUAGUCCCUAUACUUUUCCAAAUAUUCCACAUUCGAUCUAUAUUCGAAUGGUGCGAAAAAAAUAUUGGAUCCCUUCCAGCGGAGUAAAAAUUCCCCAUGUCUUCAAAUUAGGUUGCGUGUUAUCUCCGGUCCAUAAAUGAACCGGACCAUGUGGGGUCGUUUCGAUUGAACCGCCCCCUGGAUCUGGUUCAGUGCCAGCCCUGUAGGGCGAACCAAAGAACAACAGCGGUUUCUUGGAGUUGGAAACCAUCUGCCUAUACAUAAUUUUGAGGUUGGCUUCGAUUUGAGCAUCGUUGGACAUUGUUUCAUCCGUGCCGUUGAAGUCAAGAUCGAUGAGAGUCGGCGGCUGAUGGCUGGCAGCGCGAAGCUCGUCGUAAAGCGGAGAGUCCGGGUUAGCGAACAAGGCAGGGAGUUGCAUGCCAGCUGGCGCGUCCCAGUUCCAAAACGGCAACGCGAACGUCGGAUCGUCUAUGAGUUUGGCCAAGAUUCUUUCGUGGAAGUAUAGGUAGUAACGAUGGAAGGGGAAGAAAAGCCAGCAUUGAUGGAUUUGGAGCUCGAGGUUGGGGAAGCCGACUUGGUCGUACGCGCCGUCGCAAUAGGCACAGUGGAGAUCGGCUUGCUGGGUGAAGCUACGCGGAUCGUCGUCCGGGAGGGCUUUCAUGAGCUCGAUGGCUUUUGAAUAUUUUUCGAUGUAGGCUUUAUCCACGGUGUGAGCUGCCGGCCUGACGCGGAGUUUGGUAGGGGAGGGGAAUUUGAAGUCUACGAUUUUUUGGGACGUUGGCGGGCAACAGUUGGUCGGGACUGCUCCACUUGGAAAGUCCGCAGCUCCGCAUUUGGCUAGGUCAGGCGGCGACACUGGCUUUGCAACAGCGAAGGGGUCGCUGCCAAGACCAGCCACUCCACCGUAUAGGCUUCCGAGACCUAUAAGUACAUUUCUUCUGUCUAGGUUUACUGGAGAAGGGUUUUCAUGGUCGUGAUCGUUGGAGCUAGUGGAAGGGUUUUUGUUUUGGUCACUACUAUUAUUUGUGGCUUUGCAUGAGACAGCUUGUAAAUUGGAAUGCCUAGGGUUUCCAAAUGAGGAUAUUCGGUGAUACUUUUGGGAGAAAGGGGAGAGGAAAGUUGUGGGGAUGAUACUUGUGGCGGAGGUGACGAGUGGAGCUGACAUAGAAGCCAUGGUUACUUUUGACUCUGAAUAAUACGUUGUAUUGGCUUUGCUUUUAUAAUGUGUUCUAGGUUGUACUUUUCUUUGCACAGGUGGCAGGCCGUACACACGUGGUCGGUCCUUAAGGGUUUGACGAGGAAUACUACGUAGUCAUUUAGUACAGGACAACCAUACACUAUAGCAAGUGGCAUGUAUUUAGAGAUCGAGAGAGAAUUGGGUAAGGUUCACGAGGGAUUUGUAGUUUCAGAAGGUGAAUUGGUUUUGGUCUUCUUGUGUACCAAUAAUAUUUACUUAGUCAUUUAGUGCAGGACAACCAUGCACUAUAGCAAGUGGCAUGUAUUUAGAGAUCGAGAGAGAAUUGGGUAAGGUUCACGAGGGAUUGUAGUUUCAGAAGGUGAAUUGGUUUUGGUCUUCUUGUGUACCAAUAAUAUUUACUUAGUCAUUUAGUGCAGGACAACCAUGCACUAUAGCAAGUGGCAUGUAUUUAGAGAUCGAGAGAGAAUUGGGUAAGGUUCACGAGGGAUUGUAGUUUCAGAAGGUGAAUUGGUUUUGGUCUUCUUGUGUACGGCUGUGGGUCUGCUGUCCCGGACUCUCUGUCUCAUUUGUGUCUUAUUUUUUAUUUUUUCACACGUGUCUUUUACUUAACGUCAAAUCAUGAUAGCAAUGUUAUGCAAUUGGGAGCUAAACGACCGAUGCUUUUAUUUUUUAGUUUGCUUUUUUUCCAGAUCUGAUCAAAUCAUGAUAGCAAUGUUAUGCAAUUUUCAAGAGGGAAAGAUGCACCUGGGAGAGAAACGGUACGGUGACUUCUAAAUCACCGUCCAACAGAACAAUUCUCAGUAGAGACUACUAGAGAGAGAUGCACCUCACCAAUGAAAAAUUUAACUGCAAAAAUUCUGGGUAUUGGGUAAGGAAAUUCGGUGAUACUUUUGGGAGAAAGGGAAGAGAGAAGUUGUGGGGAUGAUACUUCUCGUGGAGGUGACGAGUGGAGCUGACAUAGAAGCCAUGGUUACUUGACUCUGAAUACUACGUUGUAUUGGGUUUGCAUAUAUAUAUAAUUAGGAUUGAAGGAUGUAGAGCUUAUUUUGUUAUGUAUUUUAACGAUUUAAGUGCUUAUCUUUUAGGUUUUCUCUUAAACAUCAUGUCUAUAAAAAAUCACCAAAAUUCAAACCAUAUGACCAUUAGAUCCAUAGUCAUUUUAGUGUUUAUUUGUAAAAUGUAUUCAUUCAUUUUCUUCACUACAAAUGAGUGAAUUAAUGAUUUUAGAAUUUGUCUAAUUUUUUACAUUGAUUAUUUAUGAAUGUUGAAUUGAAAUUUAGACGAUUCAAAAAUAGUUGAUAUGCAUUACAAAAUGAACUCCACAAAAUAAGUGUCAAAAUAUGUAUAAAAAAUGGACAGCGUGAAUGGCUUGGAAAUUGGAAUAGGUUUGAAAAUUGUGCUUUUUGUAGCAAAUUUUAGCAAAGUUUGCUUGGACUUUCACAACCGUAUAAAUUAAAGGGAAACUUGAUAUAACUCCAAUUUUUUGAGCCAAUAGUAGGAAUAGUCCAGUUUAUUAAAAUAAGUUCAAUUCUUUAAAUUUAAUUAUUUAGUUAUCAAUAAUUAUCUCUUAAAAGAAAAAACUUAUUGUAAAAAUCAAAUUUCUUCCUAAUUAUCUCUUUGAUUAUUUCUUUUUAUUUAUUUAUUUGUUAUUUCUUGUUCUUCCUCCUGCUUUAACCCAUUUAUAGAUUUUUUUUUUAAUUUUAUAAUCAACCUAUGUCACAGGUUAAUUGUAUUUAUCUACCUAUAUGACAUAUUCUUUUUCAUAGUCAACAUUUCACAGAUUAAUGUGUCUUGCUUGUAGAUAUAUUAUGUUUUUUUCUACCUUUUAGUUAGGUUUCAUAUCUCACUUAUAGGUAUAAUAUACAUUCAUAUAUUUGCUACUUGAGUUAGGGUAGAAUGUUUUGCAGAUAGAUUUAUGUUAGUAUAUUAAUUUUUUUUUGUUUAUAAGAUAUUAAUUAGAUAUUUUGGAGUUGAAAAAUGCAUAAUAUUAAAAGCUUUUAAUUGAUUUUUAAUAUUUUUAGAAAAUAUAAAAGGAGUAUAAAAGAAAUCAAAACAUAUAAUUAGAUAACGGGAGUCACUCCUAAAAACACUCUAUGUUUUUUGACCUGGAUCUUAAAGCCCCUAAAUUAAACUGUUCGCUUUGUUGGGAAAAAGAAGUGGCCCUAGUUUCCCUUUGAUUUUUCAAGCACGGUGGGAGACUGGUCAUAGUUUCUAGAUUGAUGCUCUAAUUCUAAUGUUAUACAACGCGUACGCUAUAAUAUUUUUAUCAAAAUAUUAGUUUUAGUGUUAUCAAAACAAUAUGUUAUUCUUACCAUGUUUUUGUAUCACAAUUAUAUACCACCUUAGAUGGUAUCUGAUGUGGACAGCCACAUCAUUUAAAUUAAUAAGCAUUUAAUUUCAAAAUGUUAAUCAAUAAUUAAUAAAAAGAUUGUUAAUUAAAUGAUGAUUGUGGUAUACAAGGAGUCUCCUUCUUCCUUCCUCUUUCCAUUCUGCUUUUUCUUCUUACCUCUUUUUUUUUUUUAAUGCCAGUUUUGUAUUGAUUUCUGUUGAUUUCCAUGAUUAUGGUCAAUCUUUAUAGAAUUUACUAGUAUGCCACAAUCACCAUUGAUUUCUAUCUCCAGACUCAUGCCCCGUAGCCCUAAUCCUCAUUCCCCUUCAAGUAUUUCUGUCUCCAAUCUUCUUUGGUACUCCAUGAUUGUUCAUCUCGUGAUAUUUUUUUUUUUGAUUAUUUCAUUAAGUAACGCUUAUUAGCUUUCAUGCGAAUUAGGAGUCAAAAUCAAAUUUGUCUAUCGGAUUAGGGUUCAUACCCAAUUAAGUUACUAACGCCAGAGGGAUUUUGAAGUAUGCAAUUUUCCUUAUUUAAGUGUUUUAAUUAAUAAGAAAAUUGAAAUUAAACAAUUUAGCUUGUCCAACUCAUCUGCCACCUAAGAUGGUAAAUAAAUGUGGUAUAAAAUUGUGGUAAGAAUAUCAUUACUCUUAUCGAAAUUACAAAAAAAAAAAAAAAAGCUGAUUCAAUAUUUAGUUAUUAAAAAAAAAAUGAUCAAGUAACUAUCCAAUACCCAUGUAUUGGGUGCUUUGUUUGAAAAUUUUCAAAAUGAUAUUGGGCUCGUUUGGAUAUGUUUUUAAAAUGACUGAAAGCAUUUUUAGAGAAAAUAUUUUUUUGAUUCCAAAAGCACUUAAAGUGCUUUCUGCAAGAAGCACCCGUUAUGUGCUUCUUCCUGGAAGCACUUUAAGUGUUUUUCCAGCAUUUACUUGCUUUUUUACUAAGGACUGGUUCCAAAAACAUUUUCACAAAAAGUGUUUUCAGUCAUUUUAAAAGCACAUUCAAACGAGCUCAUUGUUUUUCCUAUUUUAAUCGAGUGCGUCGUCCUCUGUUGAGAAUGAAUCUCAUAUUAUGGGAGGAGGGAUCUUGCAUGAAUGGGAGGAGGGACCUUGCAUGAGCUUAUAAGUAAGUUGGGUUACUCUCCAUAUUGCCAAAAGAAAUUUUAUUUGGACCCAGUUUUCCUCUCUCUAAACCCAACUUUAAUAUUUUGUUACCUAUAAACUCUCUAGUUUACCCUCAUAAAUUAUAAACAUAAAUAAACUAGAAAAAGAAAAACUCAUCAAACCCAUUUCCCAACUGUUCUGGCGUCUCUUCCCUGUAUUUGUUGGGUCUGUCUCCCUCCCGACUGUUUUUUUUUUUCUGAUAUCUCUGUGUGUUCCCCCACCUCUCCCACACCCACCAAUUCUUUGUGGUGGCUAUUCCACCAAACGUCCAGUGAAUCUUUCCAUUUUUCUUCUAUUGCGCGUGAUAGGGCCUUGCUAUUAAUAGGCAAAACUAAGCGGCAUCGUCGACUCCGUAAGCGACUUGUUGCAUAAGUCCAAAAUGGAGUCAAAUGGAUUUUGUAUUGGGUCGGGUUGUUGAAGGCGAUGGCUGAUUUAGCAAUCCCGCCUAACUAUUUCUAUAUGUAGGAGAAGGAAGAGGGAGGGAGGUCUGAAGUGGUGGUUGAGUGGUGGCGAUGUAUGUGGGUUCUCUCUCGGUUGAAUGGGUGUAGAAAGAUAUUUAAUUUUCAAUAUCUUAUUUUAUUUUGUAUAAGGGAUAAUAUAGGAAUUACAUAAAAAGUUUUUUUUAUAGCUAGGUGUAGAAAUAGUAUUGUUGGGUCUAAAUAAAAUUACCCUAUUGCCAAUUAGUUUUAUGGUGAAAUCUUAACUUUGUUCAUGCUUUCAUAGUAGGUUGUUCCACGUGUGAAGUCAAACAUCCACACGCGCUGCACGUCACCCCGUUGUGUUGUUCACGUGUUAAGCUUGAAAAUUCAUCACACAUGAGGGAGCGUGUUGAGAAUAAAUUCCACAGUUUAUAAGUAAGUUGUACUACUCCGUAUAUUACCAAUUAAUUUUGUGGAAUUCCGUCAAAGCUGAAUUUGACGGAAAAAAAUAACUUCAUGUUUGUUCUUAACUAUAAAGUCAGUGAUACACUAAUUCUGGUUUGUUUGUUUUUUCCUUCCUUCUUAAGGAAAUUCCCAAUCCAACCAAAAAAAUGAAAUUCCCAAGAGAAUAGUAGCACGAACAAUCGUAGCUUUCUUCUUCGAUAAGCCUUGGGGAAACAGAAAAGGGAAAACCGGACUUUAACCCUAAUUUCUCCCAAUGCCGCAGCACUCUCUAUUUUCUCUCUCGCUCUAUAUCGCGGUCCCUCUCUCUCGCCGUCCUCUAUUGCUCAAACUCAAUGUCUCCAACUUCCUCUGUAUGGUUCCCGAGGAAGAUGGUAAAACAGUAAGGGCAAGAAAUUGUGACAAGGUUAGAUUUGGGUAUUAAUCUGGUGGGGCUACAAUUCUCCAAUCCACACCCCUUUCAUCUGUGCUAGUGUUUGAACCCAAUAUUAGAUAACCGGUCCAUGCAAUCGAUGCCGUUGAAUGAGAAAAAUUCUAGGCCGUGGGAUCAAAUAUAAUGAUGUGGAUUAAAUAAGGAAAAUUUAAAGAGUAAUGAUAUUCAUACCAUGUUUUUGUACCACAUUUUCAUACCACCUUAGGUGGCAUUUGAUGUGGAUAGCCACAUCAUUUGAAUUAAUCAGAUUUUAAAAUUUAGUUGAUUAUUUAAUAAACUAAUAAUUAAGAAAAACUAAUUAAUUAAAUGAUGAUUGUGAUAUACGAGGAGUCUUUCUCGUUCAUUUCUUUGGGUUUUGCAAAUUUUUCAAAUGAUGUGGCUGUCUACAUCGGAUGCCACCUAAGGUGGUAUAGAAAUAUGGUAUAAAAAUAUGGUAUGAAUAUCAUUACUCAAAUUUAAAUGUUUAUCUUGGUUAAAUUACCAUGAUAAUAUUGUGGAAUUAUCUUUUGCAUAACGGAAGAGCGAGAAAAGUCCAAGGGUGUAGGGAAGUUGUGUGGUUGACUACCGCUAUUUUGAUGGUAUAAUCUGUAGAGUAAUAUUACAUUUAACAUCUAUUUGUAUCAUAUUUCUAAUAAAGAUAAGGACCAUCAAUGCAUAAAUAAUUAAACAAAUAUAUAAUAAGAGUAUCAUUUUUGUAACUAGAAUAGGAGAAGAAAGACUUCAAGAUGGGAUCAGCCAAAUAAUUAGCGUUAAGAUAAAAAUAUUGAAAGGAAAACUAAUGAAAAUGGCUUGAAAACUUUGAGUUUUAACGAUAAGGACAAGAUAAAGGGUAAAGUGAAUAGUACCAGGAUUGACUUUUUAAUGUAAAAAUAUAGUUUUUCGUUAAAGUGAACAUUACCGGGAACUUUUCGUUAAAGUUUCCAAUGAGAUAAUAUUGCAACAGCUGGCAUGAGACAAUGAUGGUAUAAAGAUGGCUACUACGGCCAAACUACUACAUAGGAUUCCAUACAUGCGGUCAUUAUUUCGACAAAUCAAUGGCUGCCGCAAUCAUGUGCUCAUUAUUCCGACAAAUCAGUAGCUACUUGCAUUGGAUUAGGAUUGCAUGCGUGUGGUCAUUGAAUGAGGAUUGCGUGCACGUGAUCUUUAUUCAAACAAAUCACUAUUGACCAUAUAUUGCAAUUGGUUAAUGGUAGGCAAAUUGAAUUUUUACAUCAAAUAAUGUGAUUGCUGAUAAUUGAAUUAUUAUUUAAAUGUUGAUUAAUAUGCUUAUUUUUUAUUUGUGAUAUAUCAUUUAAUUUGUACAUUUAGUUUACCUAACAUUACCAACUGUAAUUUGUAUAAAUGGACUGGUACCUAACAUAACCAGUUGUAAUUUGUAUAAAUGGGACUGUAAUUUGUAUAAAUGGACUGGUGCCUAACAUUACCAGUUGUAAUUUGUAUAAAUUUACUGGUCCCAAGAGCACAUGCUACUGCUCAAGAAGCAAAGUUCUUAUUUGCCCAAAAAAAAUCAUGGUUUUUUAAUUGAUGCUCUCAUUUUAAUUUACUAGCCCCUUACUUGGCCUUUUUUAUUUAUCAUUUUAUACAUAUUAAUAUUUUUUUGUAAAAUAUAUUAGUUUGAGUUUUAUUAAAAUUAAAAAUAAAUAAAAAAACUUAGUUUUAGUUUUAUCAAAUUAAAAAAAAAUGACUUAAUAUUUAGUUAUUGAAAUUGUAAAAAAGUGAUCAAGUAUUGGGUGCUUUGUUUGAAAUUUUUCAAAAUGAUAUUGUUUUUACCAUUGAAACCCUGUUAUAUACAGUGAUGGCUAAUUUGUCAAGUUCUACGAAGUUGGGAUACCCAGCGUUUUAGCAUAUAACAUAGCUUAGUAUUACAAGCAUAAUUAAUUAAAAUAAAGGCAAAAUAAGAGGAUAGCUUAGUAUUACAAGCAUAAUUAAUUAAAAUAAAGGCAAAUUGUAACAGCCCGUCCCUAAAAAUGACGAUUUUAUAAUCUUAACACGUGAGUUUAUGAAGAUGCCCUUCGAGGCAAAGUGUUGACUACCGCGUCGUGUCAUGUGAGACUCAUCUUCUUGGCGUAUUCUCGUUUUACUCGUCGCUACGGAUGCGUGGGCGCAAACGACACGUGAUUUGGAGCUAUAACAAAAGAGUUAUUAACAUUUAAAGUUAAGGACAUUUUAGUAAAUUAAUUAAUUUCAGAUUUUGUUGAGGGGAAAAUCUGGAGUGCCAUGUGGGUGGCCCAGAUUAAAGGAAAUGAGGAAUGGAUGGUGGAGGUGUAAAGGAAAGAAGAUAAAAGAAAAAUGAGAGGAAAUGUGUGACUAAUAGGGAGAUGAGAGAGUUAGGAUGGCCCAAUUAGAAACAAACGAAAGGAGGAAAAAGGAGAGAAGAGGGGAGCAGGGGAUCCCUUCAACCCGGUUCCACUUUCCGACCCGACCCGAUCCUUUUCAUCUUUUCCGGUGGUUUUUCGUCAGUUUUUCCGGCGAACCACGUUAUCUAACCCCGUUGAAAAUGUUCCACGACCUUCCCUCUACCAUUACAACCCAAAAUUGUAGAAAUUUAGCCAUGAAAGUAUGAAAACCGCACCGGUGGGUGCGGGAAACCUUUGUCGUCGAUUCUCCCAUUAUUGAAACGAUUUUCACCAAUUAUCACCACCUACAGCAUCCUCUUGAGGUCUGGAAUAAAGCCCAAACAAGUUUUGGGGCGUUGGAGUUCGUUUAAGGUCGAAUUGAGCACACCCAAAUUCAAGGGUUCCGUACCGUUCAUGGUGAUUUGAGGUGUUUCUCGGCCAAAUUGGCCUUAGUCACAAGUAUGAAAGUUGCUCCACUCGUUGAGAUCUUCAUUUAUGUGAAAUUUGAGAAUUUUUUGAAAUAUUUGGAUUUUCCAGCGAGUCGGGGUGGCGGACCGCCACCGGCAGCAGCGCAUGGCCAGUGGUCCACCAAUGUCAUUUUACGUUAAAUUGAUAUCUUGAUUUUAGAUUUGAUGUCUAUAUGUUAUGACUUGAUUAUGUGAACCUAGUUUGAUUAAGGUGCGUUAAUUGGUAAAAAUAUGAAACGACGAUCCGACCGUGGGAUCGUCACCAAACUUUAAUAUGUUAUAGUACAUAAUAUUUGAGAAUCAUAGGGACUGACAGAUAGGAAAUCCGAGAUACAGAUCUUCCCGAAAUGGAAUUGUAAGUUUGAAGAAUAAACGUUAACCGCCACUUUGUUUUGACUAUUGGUGGAGAUCCAACCGUUGGAUCAUAAUGAAAUUUUAGGAUGAUGUUUUAGAAGCAUAAUGUGGAUCUUUGGAAGUUACUGAUCGGAAAUCCGAGGAGUGAAUCUUCCGAAUUGAAUUACGUAGGGUUGUGGACCUUACCGUCGAUCGUUGACCGAUGAUCGACUUUUGGUCAAUGGGGCUUAAAUCAAUCUAAAACGUUUUUAGGGAUGUGUUUUACGUAAAUUACAUGAUCUAUUGAUAAGAAUUAUGAGAUGUGGUUUGAUAAUUGUCCUAGGUGCCGAUCGUUAGGAACGCUUCGAUGGUUAUGCUAGGAAAUUGUAGCACAGACUCCUUGUGAGUGAAUCUUUUCCUUCUUAUCAUAUAUAUAUAUAUAUAUAUAUAUAUAUAUAUAUGAUUGACAAUUCCACAAACGUUUAUAAAUUGAUUAUUGCAUAUAACUACUGUGAAUACUUUGAAGUACUUAUGCGAACUACGAAUGGCUUGAUCCGUGUUUAGGGUACGUAGGCAGUCUAACAAGACGUUAGAUGUAGUCAUACAAUAAUUGAGAUUAAACAAUUGAGAUAAAGCCUUGUUUGGGGAACUGGGCAAGGUGAAGGAAUUUGGUAAAAAGGUGAGAUUUAACCUUAUGAAUUGGUGAUUAAAUGUUGGUCAUAAAUCAAUGUGUAAAGAAUCAAGAAUUUGAAGUAAGGAAACGUAAGUAAUGAUAAUUAAUUAAACUAGUGUCUAGUUGGGCUUGUCACCUAUAAUUAUCCCCGAAAAUGAAUAAUUCGGGAGUAGGGCGUUACAGCUUCUGCAUUUUUAUGCCACAUUAUAUAUAUAUAUAUAAUUGGAAAUGCUAUAACAUGGUUGAGUAUCAGAUUUCAUCAUGGUUUAUCUAUAUGUAUAUUACCUGCACACAAUUAUUAUGAACGCGUUGAAGUGCAAAGGUGAAUGCACGACACCCAGGUAAGUUCAGGUGAGUUUAUGGUAUUAGUUGAAAUGAUGGGGUUAUGGUAUGACUACAUGUAUGUUUAGGUUGCAAUGAUAGGCAACUCCAACACUGUCGUACAGGUUGCCCAUGAAUUGUACAUGUUACAAUAGAUACAGUUAGAGCUCAUAAACCUACACCCCGGUGUUAGUACUCCCGCUCGUGGCCAGGGCACAGUCCUUCACGUGAUGUUCACCUCCCGCACCUUACGCUCACCUUGGAUCCAAGGUAGGUGCACAAUCAUGUCGUACCACUAUAGGUGGUUCCGACUCGUAGAUGACCCGCGAUUAUUUGCACAGUCUUCACGUGAUUGUAGCACUUGAGCGUAUUUAUUUACACCCAGUUCUAUUGUACAGACCACUUUAGGUGGUUCCGACUCGUAUGCAGGUAUACUUAUUAAGCUAUGGAUAAGUCGUACAGGUCACUAGAAGUGACUCCGACUUAUGAGCUAGCAUAUGUGAUGAGCUAGCAUAUGUGAUGAGAUAAGUGAUGAGUUAGUAUAUGUAAUGAGAUAUGUGAUGAGCUAGCAUAUGUGAUGAGAUAUGUGAUGAGCUAGCAUAUGUGAUGAGAUAUGUGAUGAGCUAGCAUAUGUGAUGAGUUAGCAUAUGUGAUGAGCUAGCAUAUGUGAUGAGAUAUGGGUAAGUCGUACAUGUCACUAUAGGUGACUUCGACUUGCGUGCUAGUAUGGGUUAUUAAUCACAUGAUUAUUGAUAUUACUGAUGAGAUGCUGUGUUGUGGUAUAUUUAUGAUCUUUCUGGAAACUAUGCAAGUGUUGUAACGAGGGGUUAUAAUGAGGUGUUGUAACGAGGGGUUAUAAUGUUUUAUAUGGUUUCUGUUAAAAUUUUAUUUCUAGGGUCACUCACCCUUAUUUUGUUUUCACCCUCUAGGUUUUAUUAGCUGAGCUUUCUUAUCGUCGAAGAUUCGUGGCGAUUCUUAGUAUUGGAGAUUAUUUCGAGAGUACGAUUCUUAAUUCACUUUACUGUACUUGCUUAAGCUGUAACGUCACGUGUGAAGUGGGUUCAUUUCCGCUUACCAGCGCAUUCUGGUAUUUAGGCACUCUUAGGUUUAAAUUUAUUCACAUUUUUCCACAUCAUCAAACUUUAUGGCUUUGUCACUCUUUAGGUGUCGGCCAGCACAGCUCGAUUUGGAGUCCUAGUGGACAUUCCGGGUCGGGGUGUGUCACAAAUGAAGAGGAUGGUUGAACUUGUUAAGUUUCUUAAGUGUGUCUACUUGAAGUGUGUUGCUAAUAAAUAUUUUGUUGUAGGCAUAAUUUACUGAACAAUUAUGGAGGCAGAGAGAGAGAGAGGGAAUAUGCGGCAUAGAGAGAGAAGAGAGAGAUGUGUAAUUGUGAGGUGUGUUCUAUUCCACCCCAUUGUACCUUUAUUAUAUUAGUAGGGAAAGUUAAUUCCUUACCCUUUUAGGAUUACAACUCUAAUAGGAAAAUAUCUAGUCUAAGAGAUAUGAUAGAAUCUCAUAAGGAUAUCCUAGAUAUGUUAGGAUUUACACAAUCAUAUUCCUAUUCCAAUAAGACUGCAACACAUUUGUAUUUUUUUAGAAUUUUUUUGAUAAUUUGUUGGUAUUCUCAAUUUUUGUUAACAUUGAAAAUAUAACGGUUCAGAUGAAAAACCUUUGGAAAUCCAACAGCUUGCAAGACGUUGGGCUGUGCUGAAGGAAGCUGGGCUGUCACGUGGAUGGGGCCCUCCCUCUCCCUCUUGUUGAUUCAAAGGGCGCAGGCCCGUGCAACAAUUGGCGAGGCAGCCCAUAGAGAUCCUGCGAUUCACCCAUUCGCCAUUUUUUCCACCGCUGGAGCACCAAAAUUCGGUCAAAAGGCAGGGGUAUCAAUGGCAAGGGCAAUUUGGCUUCCGCUGGAGGUGCUCUUUGUCGACUUUGUUUUUUCUCUCAUUUUAGCUUUUGCAGUAAUAUUGAAGUAAUCACUCCAAUUUUAUCCAAACUUUUGUUGUCCGUCAAUUUUUAUCAAAACUAUUGGUUAAUUUACAUAUUCAGACUAACCUUCUCAUUAUUUUUAGUAUUUUUAUCAUAAAUAAUAUCUGAAAUAGUCACAUUUUAUUCAACAACCACUCAAUUAAAAAUUAAUUAGUGUUGUUUCUAAACCAUUACAUCAAGCUUUUGUAGAUACACAUCAAUAUUGCAGCGAUCCGAGGCAUUGUUUUAGUGACGGUAGUACUUUCUACUCCUUGGAUUUGGUGAAUCGGAAAAGAGAAGAGUUACGAGUAAAAGUCCCUCGCAUUGUUUUGGGGAGAUGAAGAUGAUGAUCUUUUGUUUUUGUUUUUUAAUGAUUAAUCCACGCAGCAACAUAUAAUUAAAUUGUUGGGAUCUACUCAAGUUCCAUAUCACACACUAACAUAAAAUUUGACAAACGAAACGAAAUAUGUGUGUAGACAUCGAAAUUUCGUAAAUAAAUGUUGACCGAUAAAUCAAAGUGUCAACGCUCAUGUAUUACAUAAAUUUUACACGUAGCGUGUGACUCAACGAAAAUUGAAAUGAGUUGGAAAAGUCAUCAAAUAGGACACGUGUCAACACCUGGCAGAAACGACUUAUUUCAUCUGGGAUAUUAUAUUCAAAAUUAGCCAUUGGAAAAUUCUAUAAAUACAAGCCCAUUUCAUUCAUUUAAGGAGAGGAAUUCAUAUUACACCUUGAAGCUCUGAAGCUCUGAAACUCCGAAGCUCUCAAGCAUCCAGGUUCCCGAAGAAUCAAGAAAGUGUUCUUCGUUCUUCGUUCAUCGUUCUUCCAAGAUCAAGCCUCGACGGCCCUUGGAUCAACAAUCAUCCACCUUCAAGAUCAAGCCCCGACGGCCCUUGAAGAAAGCGUUCUUCGUUCUUCGUUCAUCGUUCUUCCAAGAUCAAGCCCCGACGGCCCUCGGAUCAACAAUCAUCCACCUUCAAGAUCAAGCCCCAAAGGCCCUUGAAGAACUUCCACCAAUUCAAGAUCAAGCCCCGACGGCCCUUGAAGAAAGCACCAUCGUUCAUCAUCCGUUCAUCCAAGAUCAAGCCCCAACGGCCCUUUAGAUCAACAACGUCGACAAAUCCACACAUCCAACCGUUCUUCAAGAUCAAGCCCAAAAGCCCUUGAAGAUCCGUUCAUCACUGUUCUUCAAGAUCAAGCCCAAAAGCCCUUGGAGAUCCGUUCAUCACUAUUCUUCAAAGAUCAAGCCCAAAAGCCCCUUUGAAGAUCCGCUCAAAUCCACCUUCAAGAUCAAGUCCACGGCCCUUGAAGAACGUUCAUCCUUAGAUCAAGCCCAACGCCCCUUUGGAUCAAUCGCACAUCCACAAAUCAACACCUUACGGAGAUCGAAUCAGAGGAUCAAAAUAGAGAGAGAUUGUAACCCAAAAUCAUCAAAUACAAAUAUUUGUUUGUGCGCGUUGUUCUUGUCUCUUUCGUUUCAGGAAUUUUCCGUGUUCACAAUGUGCUCUUGAAAUCAAAAUGAGGGCACUGCUCCAAGAACAAGAAGGGCACCUUGUCGAGGUCGCCAUCCGCCGUGAGGGAAAACCGGAAGAAGUUGGACAACAAUGAUAACAUCAAUUUGCGGCACCCAUAUCGGGACAUCACACUGUGAAAUAAAUAUUGAAAUAAAUACUCAAAACUCCUGGAAAGUCCUCGAGACAACAAACUUUCAUCUCCUUCAAACAUUUCAUUUUACUAAGUUUUAUCUUUGAAGGGAGGGAAAAAAAGAGAAGAGAGAAUCCUACUCCUUAUUCCUGAAUAUAUUCAAGAAUAGCUAUUGAAUAAAGAGAGAAUGGAGGGUGAUCGAAAGAGGAGGGAAGAGAAUUCUAGUUCCAAACAUAAAAAGGACCACAACUUUUAAAUUAUCAGCACAAUCAUCACCUAAUUGAAGAGACCAUUCACUGUGAAACAUAUUGUCAAUCAGUCUAUCUAUAUCUAUUUAUAUACCAUAUUUUUAGAGUAAGAUUCUCUCACCUCCUAUUACCAUCCCCUUCCAUCCUUUCAUCUCAUACUCUUUUUUUGUUGUCUUAUUCUCUAUAUAAAAAAAUUCAAAACAAGAUGUAUACGUGACGUAAUCGUAACCGUUUAAAUAAGAGGGGAUAGAAGAGAAGAGAGAUUAGGAGAAGGGAGAAUCCUACUCCCACAUUUUUCUUCUUCAUAAACAAAAGAGAGGUUCUAGAUUACUUGACUCUAUGCCUCAUUUUUUUCAUCAAGUAUUUGUGAUAAGUGGGUUCAUUUUCAAGUAUUUUAGUUUUUUUGUCAAAAUUGAGAAAACUGAAAAUCAAACAUUAAUAUGAAAAAUUAAAAAAUCAACAUAUAAUUAUUUAGAAAUCGCAAUAGAAAAGAAAAAAAAUGGAGGUUUGUGAUGAAAAAUCUUUUAUACUAAGUAAUUUAGUAUCCUUAUGCAUGAAGAUAAAUCAAUUUGUUCGUUACGGUCAUACUCUUUUUUGAAUUUUUGAACACAUUCUCCAUAGGGCCUUCUUAUAUGUUCCUUCUCCAAGCUCGGGUUAUGGAAGAAGUAAAAGAAGGAAUCGAAAAGAAAGUAUUGGUAACAACCGAUUUCAUUACGAGACAACUCUUGAUAUUCAUAUCAAUCUAUUAUGUACCUUUGCAUCUAGCAUUAGACAAUAAUUGUCAUAGCUUUACCAUAUUUUUUUGUUUCAUUUCUUCUGAAACAAUCUCACACACUUUUUUAUUAUGUGUCUACUACUAGGAAUUCAAUACGUAAUCUUAGCAUUCAAUAGUUAUUCCUAAAUAAUUUCAAUUUUCAAAUGAUCAACCAUUUCAUUUUACCAAGUUCAAUCAAUGUUAGUCAGAUUAGUCAACAUUUAUAUAUUUUGAUGCAACAACAAGAUGUUAUUUGUAACAAGUGAUUUUGUUAGUUGGUUAAUUGGUCACAAGUUAAUGUUCGGUUCAGUUUAGUUUUUCUCUCGAUUUUUUGUGAUUCGGUUUUUUCAAUUCUCUUUAGGGUCGGUUCGGUUUUGUUUUUUUAUUUAUACUUGAAUUUUAUUUUAAUUUAUUUUAAUUUAUUUUAUUUUAAAUCUGGAAACACCAAGAACAACACAAGCACAUAGUCAAUCAAACAACUAUCCUUCUCCACAAAUCAUAGUAAUAAUUACAUUCAUUGAGCUGAAAUGCAAAUAACUAACAAACUCACAAAAAUCAAAUAAAAACUACAAAUUGCUUACUCUUUUUCUUUGGGUUUCACUCGAAAAGUGUCGGUAAAAUUUAGGGUUUGCAAGAACGCAACUGAAAUCUAAAACGGAGGCCUUGUGGCCUAUGGGUUGCUAUUGAGUUCCAGUACAGAGAACCUUGCUUAAUCUCGAUCACGGUACAAAGUAUCGAGUACCUUUAGCACUGUAUUUUGGUAUGAUUGGUAGAACCAAAUUAAAAGCUAACAUCAACAACAACUACCAGAGACAAAAGCUCUUAUCAAUGCUUUGGAAACAUUUAUGUAUCUCCAAGUGUAAUGAUAUAAUUGGUUGGAAACUUGUGAUUUCGUAUCAAAUCAAUAAAAAGUUACAAUAUUGACAAUAUAUUAGCAAUUUUUAUGUUAAUUAUGAACAAGUCAAUCAUGUAGAACCAAAUUAAAAGCUAACAUCAACAACAACUACCAUAGACAAAAGCUCUAAUCAAUGCUUAGGAAACACAGUCCUGUAUCUCUAGGUGUAUUGAUAUAAUUGGUUGGAAAUUUAAAAGAAAAAUGGUGAUUUUGUAUAAAAUUGAUAAAAAGUUACAAUAUUGACAAUAUAUUUGACACACCCCGACCAAGAUCAAGGCAUGCUGGCCGUCACAUGAGAGUGACGUAACCAUGUGCACAGUGCGGAAGCAAUAAUGAUAAGAAAUAUAUGAAUAAUUAAAAACCGAAUCUACUAGAGUGCACUACUAAACAGGAAGUAUUAGGAGUAAGAUACAAAAGUAAAUACUCCUAAUCAGAGCAUAGAAAGUCUAGGUGCAAUCCAGUAGGACAAGUACUAAUUAUACAGUAUAAAAUGUCUUACAAUUAUUUAGAUAGGUCAGAACCGCCGAAGUCCUCACACCCAACAACUGCAAACUUACUUAAAACCUGAAGGGGCGCAAAAUAGAAAACGUGAGUGGGAAAAAACAAAUGUUUUACAAAACCAUUUCAUUUAUCAAUAUAUCUAACCCCUCGCUGUAAACAUGUAUAAUUUUUCCCAGAAUCAAGAUAUAAGCAUAUACAUAAAUAUAUAUAUAAAUAUAUCAAUUCAAAUCAUGCUUCACAUAAUCAUAUUCAUAUGUAUGUCAUGCCAAGAUAUAACAGAGUAAGCAACUCAGGUAAGAGUAAUUUCAUAGAAAUAUAACAUGUUAGCCGGAACCCCUGUAGUAGUCUGUACGGCUGAAUUCAUAGCUCAAAAGUCAAUCUAGCCGAAGUCACUACAAUGACCUAUACGGCAAUAUACUGCACAAGAGUCGGAACCAAAUGAAAAGAUCUGUACGACAAUAAUGGGUGUUGUUGAUGCACAAAAUCAGUGAGGACUUUGGUACAACAGAAAGUGUUAAGUUUGUGACAUUCUCUAGAUUACUCCGAUCACUAGUGUGGAUAAGUAUGUAAAUGGAUAAAGACAGGGAAGCAAACACAAGAUGUACGUGGUUCACCCAGAUUGGCUACGUCCAUGGAGUAAAUGAGUUCUUAUUAAUUGUGAAGGGUUUACACAAGUAUAUAGGUUCAAGCUCUCCUUUAGUGAGUACUAGUGAAUGAUUUAGUACAAAUGACAUUAGGAAAUAUUGUGAGAGAAUGAUCUCUAUUUAUAGAAGAGAGUUUCUAGUUUCAUUCUGACAUUGACACGUGUCAUGUUGUGAUUGGCUUCUGAUGUUGACAUGUGUUGCACUAUGAUUGGCUUUAGAUGUCAACAUGUGUCGCGUUGUGAUUGGCCUCCUGGUUUGAGGGAAACUCUUCUGGCUCCUUGACGGUAUAACGUUGAUCGAUGCUCAGUAGUUUCGGGAUUGGUCAAGUAUGGUACAAACAGGUGUAAUAUAAUCAUACUCAAUACUACUCUCACAUAAUAGCUGGGUGAUAAAUCGCUAGUCACCUAUGAGUCAGAACGAUAAUAAAGGUCUGUACGAAGACUGUGCACCUAAAUUGGAUCCAAUAUGACCAUAUGGUGCGGGAUGUGACAUUAUAUACAGGCUUGUGCCAUCACUGGCGGAGCUACACCCACGGCUACAGUAGGCUGUAGCCUAGGGAGGAUUUUAACAAACUGCUGGUAUAAUAGUUUAUAUAUGAGUUUGUUGUUGCUUAUUGUAUGUAUAAUAGCCCACAUAAAUCCUGCCAAAAUUAUUAGUUAAUGUGUUUCUUAAUUUAUAAAUAAUACUUUUAUUACCUUUUAUUAUUUUAUUAUUUUUAGGCUAAAAGUAAAAAUGGUAAAUUAAUACAUAAUUAGGUUUCUCCUAUUCCCCAUGCUUUUUACCUAUUCGUUCAAAACAAAAAAAUUAAACCCUCUACCCUAAGAAAAGAAAAACUAUGAAUCACCAUCAAAUUAUUUUCUAAUGAAAUUCAACACUAGAUAUGCUCUUCAUGUCUUCAUUUAACCUAUUUCUUGAUUCAAUUGUUCAUUCCAUAUAUCUACAGCACGACUUGAAUUGGUAUCCCCUAACCUUUUUUCUUUUGGGUACUUGUUAUCAACAAAAGUGAUAAUAUUUGUUCUCUUUCUAUUGCUUUUUUGUAUGCAUGUUUUAUUUGUGUAAAAAUUAGUUGGAAAGUAAUUAAUAAACUUGUUUGGAUUAUUAGUACUUCAUGUUCCUACUUUUAUGUAGAUUACUAUAUAAUUUUAUGUAGGCAAAAAAAAAAUUCAUAAGAUUAUAUGCUAAUGAUUUUAGUUAGCCCACCCAAGAAAAAUUUUCUGGCUCCGCUAUUAUGUGCCAUAACUCUGGCAAAAUCACAAUCACCCUAAGUGCAGUUUUAUGAGUUCAACGUUAUUCUAUCACAUAUCACAUCAUCGAUAAUUCACAUAACCAAACAUAACUCACAUGAGCUUACCUGAGCGUCCACAGUACCAUAAUUAUAUAUAAUGCAUCAUAUACGAAAUAUAAAUUCAUAUGCAUGGCAUUUAAGGUAUACUUUCAUUUAAACACAUAUUUCUGGGAAAAUAUCAAGUAUAUAAAUAUAUACUGAAAACCAAAAGCCCACUCAUUGGUAUGUCGAAGGGUCGUAGCCCCCGAGUCGCCUUUGAAUACUCUCGUCCUCGUGAUAAGUCUCACCUAUAUGCGAAUUAACUAUAAAAACGUUAUUUUAGAGCACAUACAAAAAAUUAGCUAAUAACUCUCAUACAAUGCUCAAUUUUUGUAUUUGAAUAUAUCACAGUGACCUACACAACCUCAAGAUCAUCCCUAAAUUUUUACAAUAUUUUUCUGACCCCUCACGCGCUGCCACGCACCGGCAAGGGCAACGCCUUACUCGCCCCCACGCGCGGCCACGUGACAAGCAUACUGAUGGCGUCAAUCAACAUCAUCAGGAAUAUUCUAGGGAAUAUUCUGUUAAAACCCAAUGGUAACUGUUAAAGAUGACUGACGGCAUGAGCAUAUUCUGUCAACCUUGACGGAAUAUACUCCUUUCUUCUCCGAUGAGUCGUCGGUCGCCGGCGACUUCGCCGAUUUCUUGGUAAAACUUUAAAUCGCUUAUUCUUCUUCGUUUCUUCGCCAUUUUUCAUGAAAUUGGUACCAAAAUGAAGCUAAUAACAUGUAGAAUCACUUUGUAUAAGUUUCAAGGCUUAAAAUCUACUAGUUUUUCCCUGAGAAAGCUCGAUAGUUCGGCUUACCUAGAUAUGCGUCGAUCUCAGCCCUCCGACGUCCAAUUCCUUCCAACGAAGUACCCCAAGACUCGUGAGGACCUCCUUAAGCUUCCUAUAAGCUUCAAAUUCCCUGAAACACAAGAUUUUACGUAUGCAUGAACAAUGCACAAAGUCGGAGCUAGGGUUUCCACGUGAAAUCGAAGGUUUCCUUACCUGAAAAUGGUUCCUUUGAAUUCGUAUGGUUCUCACGAACACAAUGGUGAUCUUAAAACCUUCGAUCUACAAGGUUUAAGAGGGUUUCUGGGUUGGUCCGUACGAAGAAGGGAGAGAGAGAAUGAGAAUCUGCGAGAGAGAGGGCACGGGAAGGAAAGAGAAAUAAGAUAGGUGUGUGUAUGGUCCAAAAGCCACCAAUCAAAACUAAGAAAAGUCUUAGUUGUAAUUGGGUCACCAAUCUAAAACAAUUUAACCCAAUAAUAACUUACACACAUCAUUUAACAUCCGAGGGUAAUUCCGUCAUUCUACGUCAUCGAGAAUAAUCUUCCGGGACGGGCUGUGACAAUAUCAGCAAUAUUUAUGUUAAUUAUGAAUAGGUCAAUCAUGUAUUUAAUACUUAAAUGUAUUUAAAAUAAACACCUUAUCAAUGUUUUCUGAACUGUGCUCGAUUUUUCUCCUUCGCUUUGGUUCUGUCCCAUUGGAUUUUUCAAGCAAGAUUUUAUCAAGGCAACUAUCAUUAACUGUGAACAUAAUUUAUCAUUGAGACACGAACAUCCAAGGGGGAGUGUCGUGGAAAAAAAUGUAGAUAUCUUUAUACGUUGUAUGGUAGUAAACCAUCAUAAACACCAUAAAUAUGUAGAAACGCCCUUGCGGUACCUUUGAAUGAUAACUCAUGUAUUUGUUGCCCUAUGUAAAGAUGGCUAAUGAUAAUGGAAGACUAAUUUUCUCAUCCCAAUCUCUCCUGUCUCUCUUAUUCUCUUUUCUCUAUAUUUUAUUUCCAACAAGUUGUGUUUUUUUUUUAGUAUUGUUAAGCAACCCAAUAGAUUUUAAUCGUAGUCUUUGUUUUUUUUCUUUUAUAUUUUUAAUCAAUUUCAGUUGCUUAUCAGUUCUAGCUAAUUGAGCUCUUUUACAGCAAUUUUUUUCUUUAAAUAAAAUUAUUAUUAUUAAAAAGAGUGAGAAAAUUCGAAAUUGUUACAAUAAUUUAAAAAAAAUAGGAGUUUCAAAUCAUGAAGGUAGAGGGAGUUAACAACAUUUUAGGGGGGGGUGUAGUCAAACUAGGAUUUUGAAGGAUUUUAAAAGUGAUAGAUUUGAUAGGAUUUAAGAUGAUUAAAGACUCUUACAAAAUUCAUAUGGAUUUUAAAGAAUAUGAAUGGAUUGCGGUGGAUUGUGGGGGAAGGAUUUGAAAUCCUAGGGGGUGAGGUUUGAUUCUUUUUAGUUUUGGUUAUAUAUGGUAUGCUUUCAAAUCCCAGAAAAUCCACAACUUUUUAAAAUCCUUUAAAAUCUUAAUUUUUUUAAUACACUUAGAUUUGGAUGGAUUCUAAAAUCCUUUAAAAUCUUUUAAUUGACUACACCUAGAUUUGAAUGGAUUCUAAAAUCUUUUAAUUGACUACACCUAGAUUUUAAUGGAUUCUAAAAUCCUUUAAAAUCUUUUAAUUGACUACACUAUGAUUUUAAAGUCUUUAAAAUCCUCUCAAAUCCAAGUUUGACUACACCCCCUAAAGAUUUUAAGGAAAACUAAUGAAAAUGGCUUGAAAACUUUGAGUUUUAACUAGGGGUGGGCAAACGGGUACAGGAACCGCGGGUAGGGGUGGGUAAUUCAAGUUCGGGGCAGGUAUGGGACAUGUCCAAUAUUUCUAAACACAAAACGGGGCGAGGCUGUUCGGGUAUAUGAAAUUAUCGGGGCGGGGCGGGUCUUAAAAUAGAAGGGAACGGGCCCCCAGCCUGACCCGUUUCUUUUCCUCAUCCCUAGUCUUCUCUAUCUCUCUUCCCCGACACUUUUCAUUUCACUCAAACCCGGCCCAUUUCUUUUCCUCAUCAGUCAUCCCUAGUCUUUUCAAUCUCUCUUCCCUAACUCCUUUCAUUUCACUCGUACCUCGAGACCUCCUCUUAACUCGCUCCCAGCCUCCCACCGUCCUAGCUCCGUACCUCGCCAUCAUCAUCGUCAGACCUCCAUCUCUCCUGAUUUACUCAUGUCUUCCUCGCUGCGUCCGCCGCCAUGUCUCUCUUUCUGUGACGAACUUAAAGGGACGGACGAAGUUGAACAACUCGAAACGACGCCUCUUCUGUCUGAAUUAGACCCAUAUUUGCAGCGCACGACUCUGCUCAUAGUCCUCUUCGGUUUUAAGGUAUUACGUUUUAGAGAUUUAGGAUUGAAAAUUAAAUUAGGGUUUUCUAGAUUUAGGGAUUUUGUUGGGUUCUUGAACCUUGACCUCUGUUAUGUUCCAAUUUCAAAUAUAUAUUGAAUUGAAUUUGAAUCGACUGUGUUUGAAACUUCUGUUGAAUUAAAUUGAAUUUGAGCAGGAGAAGAGGCAGAUGUGGGUUGGGCAAUGUCGAAUCUCAUUGUGGGUGGUGAGGUGGGCAUGGCGGGCGACAAUAUUGACUGGCAAUGGUACGGGCGGUGCUAUUAAGUUGCAGAAGAAUACGAAGGAGGGGGUGUGGGCAUGGGUGGAUAUCGCAAGCUCAAUUGAAUUUUUUCUGGUUUUGUUUGUGAUUAAUUGCUUGUAUAUGAUAGUUAUUGAUGGAUCUUGACAUGCCCAUUUAAUUGUUAUUGGCAAUGCUAGUUUGAUUGUAACAAAUUCAAACCGAUUGAAUUGUAUCCCAGAAAAAAAAAUCAAUAAAGGAACUGAGGACCCGGCCCGAACCAGCCCAUUUCAACCGGGCCAGGUUAGGUUCGGUUCUUAUAUUAGAAAAUGUUGUUCCCGGCCCGUUUCUCUUAAGCCCGGAUCCAGUCCGAUCACUUCGAAAUUGGCCCCAACCCGGCCCGGGCCCACCUCUAGUUUUAACGAUAAGGACAAAAUAAAGGGUAAAGUGAAUAGUACCAAGUUUGACUUUUUAGUGUAAAAAUGUAAUUUUUCGUUAAAAUAAGAUUUUAAUGGAUUCUAAAAUCCUUAAUUAAGAAAUUAGGCUUCAACCCAACUCAUCUUUGCAACGCCGGUUCCACUUCACAUCAACAGGCAAUGUUUUCUCCUCAACAAAUAGUAUUCUUUUAUGAGACAAAGACUAAUGAGGGUGAUAUAUAUAAUUAAUAAUAAUACUUGUGUUCCCUUUGUGAGUGAAUGCACUUAUUUUACCAUUCUCUAAUAAUGUAUCUUUAUUAUAUAAAUUUAUAUCAUGUGGAUAUCUUCCUAUAAAAAAGUUAUUCAAAUUGGAAAUCCUUACGUCAUCAAAAUAUAUAAAAAAAUGGACGAUCUCAUCGUAAAUAUGUUAGUUACUCACACUAUAACUUUGUAUAUUCCCUCACGUAGGAAACGCAAUAAUUAUCCUCUAAUUAAUUCUUCUUGAGAGUAGAAUUUUUAUUGUUGGUUUUUCGCAACCUUCAGACCUAAAGCUGAUAUGGACCUCUCAUUGUUUUUUGGGUUGCCGUUCUUAUUUUGCUUGGUCCUUUUACCUUUUCUAUAGUUGUUUAUCUAGUUCUUUUGAGCCUCGUACUAAUUUUUAAUGUAAUGAAAAUUAUCUUCGUGAUAAAAAAAAAAAUCAUUAGUCCUCGUAUGAACAUGCGAUGUAACACACUUUCAUGGAACAACAGAUGAUAAAGACGAUAUCCAAAUUUUCUCUGUGUUAUGUGGACUUUCCCAACCAAAUAAAUAAUAACCAAUAAACAAAUAAAUAAGAGUUUAACUUCAAACAUUGAGAAGCGAAAUUCCAACACUACGAGCCUAACUUUUGUCUUCAUCAUCAUCAUAGACUAGUCUCCUAUCCAUCAACUCCUACAUCAAUUUUUUUUUUUACUAGAUUGUAGCUCACUUUCAAAAGAGUUACGUAAAGUAUUUAAGCACCAUAAAAGAAAAUUAAACGACAACGAUUGACAUAAUAUUAGUAGUAUCAUGGUCUAAAAUAUUCAUAAUAUCUUGAUAUUUUUAUUGAAAUUUUCGUGUUUUUAGACUACCUAUAUUUUCAAUAUCAUCGAUAUUUUAAACCUUGCUAAGUCACUCAUGUAUCUUACCAUGCAAUGUAUAAAGUGUAAAAUAUUGUACUAAUUCAUUAUAUAUAAAUGAUUAUAGUGUGUUUAAACUUCUUUCAUUAAUUACUACAUAUUUUCUACACUCACAAUGUUUGCCAGCUCGCUAUAUAAUCAACUUAAAUCAAUUAUAUCUAUCAUGUAAUGCAUUUCCUUCCAAUUUUUUGUGAUAAACUAAUAGAUAAUUGACUAAAUAAACAUCCUGCAAAGUUUCAAUAAAAAUUUCCAAGUUUUUCUUACAAUUUCCGUAGUUUUUAUUCAAUUUUUAUCGAUAUCGAUAAUAUCCCGAUAUUUCCAUCGAAAUUUCCGUAUUUUUAGACUACUGAUAUUUCCGAUAUCAUCGAUAUUUUAUACCUUGGUAGUUAUACAUUUUAUCGGCCUCAUUUUUAUGCAACUUAUACAUUAAAUUAUUGUCAAAAUGUACAUAUAAAGUAGCUGAUCAACGAUGAGAUUUUAGGCAACCAUUUUCUUCUACGACGUCAAAGGUUGUAGAGGUGGCCAUGUGCACUACAUGCGUAAAUCAACUAGGGACUUGGAUCCUCUCUUAAGCCCAAGGAGAGGAUCCUCCUAACCAAAUGACUUGGAUUGUUGGAUGAAAAUCUAACGAUUACAAACAGAUGAUCUCUUUAAAGUUAUAAUAUUUAUUACCGUUGAAUUUUCAUCAAACGGUCAAAUAUCAUUGGUCAAAAGGGUCCUCUCAUUGGGCUCAGAGAGGACCCAAGUGCAUCAACCAGAACUAUUGCUAUUAUAACAAUUCAUGAAAUCAAUUAAACAAUAAUUUUCCUUCUGGCAGGCAUGUUAGUUAUUUCUUAUUUGGCCAAUUGCCUAGUGGAUUUGGUAGAUUUAACCUCUCCACCACAAACACAUUUAAAAAUUUCCAGAAAUCCGUAACGUAAAAUUUAAAAAUAAAUAUUAAUAACAGCAAGUUCUUUUCACCGACCGUGACCGAGAUCUGUCACAUAUCCAAAAUGUCACCUCCUUAUCGCAAAAACCAAAUUUGACUUGGGAUAAAUACCGUGUACAAAUUAAACGCGUUUCUCUAGCUUUUGCGUAAAGAGGCAACCCAACACUAAACUAGGAAAACGUUGGGUUGACAAAGAUACCAUGAAGAAUAAAGGGGUUAUGCAAUCCACUUUGCAAGAUAAUCAAAGUUUCCCGUUGUAGACUUGUCUUAACCCAACACUAAACUAAGAAAACGUUGCUUUCCCGUUGUAACAUGAAACAACAUUAAACAACAUUAAACAAUAUUAAAUAACAUUAAAUAACAUAAAAAUUAUACAACAUAAAAAAAACCAUUUAACAACAUAAAACUUAAAAUGCGUACUUCUUGCUUCUUGUGGCCUAAAGAUGUGCAACAAGAUCUUGAUGUAGGUACUUGUUUGUGGCACGAAAACGUAUCAUCCUAGCCGUUGGAUUUGAAUUUUUUUUGUUUUCGGCCAAAAAAUUUUAAAUUUAAAAGUUGAAGAUGGUGAGAAAUAUGAUCCUACACUGUUCAUUAAAAUAUUAAUUUCUUGAAUGACCAAAAGGCUAAAACAAGCCAUCCUUCGGUUGGAGAUGCCUAAGGAGAGACUAGAGAUAGAGAGUUUCCUAUAUAUGAUUUUCAUUAACAAGAUUGAAAUGAUUUCAGAGAGAAGAUCAAGUAUGGUUAUUUUUAUUUUGUAGAGUGUAGACAUUAUAACUAUACAUUCAUAAUAACAUGAGUAAUGUUAUAUUUAUCACAUUUGUACUCUUUCUCUGAUAAAGGUAGGGUUCAUCAACACAUGUGGGUUCUAUUUGCCCAUCAACACAUGCGGAUCUCAUUUUUAUUAGAAAAAUAGUACAAAUAUGGUACGGAAAAUAUGAUAAGAUCGCAAUUUUGUAAUAACAUAUAUACUCAACUAUUUAUAUACCGACCCAUCUCCUUUUAGUGUAGAUAAUAUCGUUUGUUAAAAAAAAUGUUGAACUUGUCAUAAUCAUUGAAUCCAUUUACCAUGAACAAACGGCAGUUUACUAAACUUGCCCUCAGAGUAUAUAUAAAAGGUGAAUCACAAUCUAUUGCAUUAAUAUAAGGAAACAAUUUAUAGGGUUUGACGGGUGACUUAAUAUGCUAUAUGGCACAAUGAAAAUUAAGUUCACACUUUAUCCCAAAUAAGGUGUUGCACCUUUAAUUUAUGGAUGCUGGUUUGACGUGUGACCGAAAUAAUCAAAUUGUAGCCAUUAAUCAUUUUACAAGUAAUAAUAUGUAGUUUUUACUGUUUACGAUUCACACAACAAUCUGCUAGGAAGUAGAAAAUGCAGUACUUGUCCCUCUCACAGAAGUCAUGAAUAAUUAUCAAAUUCAAAGAUAAAGAAAAACCACACAAUUUACAAGAGGAAAGAAAAUGAAGGGAUAAAGAAAGUAAGAAAGGAAUACCUCUAUGGGAGGACUCUUAUUUGCUUCAGAUGCCUACAAUAUUCAUCAUAUAAACACUGAUUAAGUAGUCAUCGAAAACCAAAACAAAUGUCGAACAUAGGGUGAAAAACAGAAAGAAUAACCGCAGCUCAUCAUACCAAUAGAGAUAGAACUGCCCGAUGCCCAAGUAUGACUGAAAAAUGGCAAUCCAAACAUGGCGCCUUCUAGCUCAUCAAACUGUCAAAACCUAGGUUCCACCAAAAAGAUACAAGUCACCUAGUUACUUGUAAAAUAAAAAUCUGUUUCAAAAUAGUGGAAAAUAUUAUUAACAUUGUUCAAAGUCCACAUUGUUGUACCUACCAAGAAACAAGAAGGAUUGUAUCUUAUCAUGAAAAAGAACAUAGGUACCUUUUCAAUUGUAAUUGUACAAAAAUGAGAGACCACUUCCGAACUUCUCUUGGAACUUCAAUCAAUUUCUGCCCACUUUUAAAUGCCUUGACAUACUUAAGCCUAUUUCUUUGAGCUUCAGUUUUGGCUUCUGAUGCCUUUAAAUUUCUUAAAGAUUCUUACCAAGUUUUACAAACUCACUUCUAUACAACCAUUUGUCAGUAUACAUACCAUUUUCUUUGAGCUUCAGUCUUUGCAACACCAAAACCCCCCAAAUAGACCCGGAAUUUUGCAAUGUGCAGGGAAUAUACAAAAAAAACCCUCCUAUCCAUCUAAAACGAAAUCAGAACCCAAACCACAAUCAAAAUCCGUAAAAUUAAUUUAGCCAACCCUAAAUCUAAUAAUUCUAACAAAUAUUAUAGUAUCAAUUGAGAGAGAAUUUGAGAAGAUACCUAGAGAUGAAAGGAAGAGCGUUUCCUCUGAUAGGGGUUCCGUGAAAGCAUCUGUUGACCAGAAAAGAAAAGGCAAAAAACCCCAAAUUACAUAUCAAGCAAUUAUAGAUAGAUCGAACCUUGAAAAUUGAAAUUUCAAACAAGAGAAAGGUUAUAAACUUACAACGAUCUGGGUGUUGGUUACUGGGUUUGGAUUUGGGUUUCUGAUAAGAGAGAGAAUCGUAUGAGGAACCGAUAGAGGAACUGCACCGGCAACAGAGAGCAACUGAUAUGGUGGAGAAUAGAGAUGGGCAAAAUAUCCCGGUUAUCCGCCCAUUUAAAGUUCACAGUUACGGUUAUGGUAAUUGAACGGUUAUGGGUACUACCCGUGGUUAUAACGGGUAUCUAUUGGUUAUGGGUAUUAUCCGCGGUUAUAACAGGUAUUCAUUUACCCAUUUAAUUUCAUAUAUGUAAAAUUUAUAAUAUUUUUAACAGUUAUAACGCGUUUUUGUAUUUGUUGCCAAACUUUUCGUAUACAAAAAAUUUGAAGCACAAGAAGCCAACAAGGAGAAAGAUCAAAGAGCUUACUUGAAGCUUAUGAUCUAUCCUGCGGUUAAUAGAAAGUACUGGUAUUAGUGUAGAAAAAUGUUUGUUUUUAGAAGCUUUAUUUUGUAAUCAUAUGAAUUAUAAUUAAAGACUUGCUUGGGUGUAGUAAAAAAAUAUCGUUUGUAAACUAUUAUUUCAAUUAUUAGAAUUGUAUGAUGACCUAAAUGAUUAAAAUAGAGAAAUGCAUGCUAAAAUGUAUUUAUAACAGUGUUUAAUUGUCAGAUUUUUUUUUUUUUUGUAAUUUUCAAGUUGUUAAAAAAAACAUGCAGAGAGGUGAAAAAAGGGAUUAAAAAAUGAUAAACGGGUUCAAAACGGGUAAACGGGUAAAUGAUUAUGGUUAAAUAGGUAAACGGUUAUGGGUAAAUGGGUACACGGUUAUGGGUAUGAGUAUAACCGUUUAUGCAAUUACCCAACGGGUAAACGGCUAUGUGGGUAUGAACAUAAAUGGUUAUGAGUAAAUAACCGCGGUUACCCGCCCGCUAUAACCAUUGCACAUCCCUAAUAGAGAACAUACGAGAAUAGCCGCUUGGAUGGUCAAUCCAAGAAGAGAAAAUCUUGCCACAAUCACGGUACUUGAAAAAAAAAACAAUUUUAAAGGAGGGAAACAAUCGCGCCUUUUUUUUAAUAGACUCUGUCGACGAUAUUCUUGACAAAUAGUCGGGUGAGCUUAUUUUUCACAACAUUUUAUUUAGGACUAGGUUCGGUUGGCAAAUCGUGUCAAAUUUCUUGUGCCAUUUGCCAGCCACAUAUACAUAAUUACCAAAAAUCAGUUACCGUUCGCCAACCAUCUUCUUGCGGUUGCCAAAAAUCGGUUCAACCAAAAUGAUUGGCUGGUUCGGUUGGUAAAUGGCACAACCGGUGGUUUCCACUUCUUCCUCGCUAUCUUCUAGUUGCAAGGGCUCAAUUUGAUUUUCAGAUUGGGAUGCUUGUUCGGUUGCAUUGUGUGGUUCAUUUUGGGUUAAUCCAUGUUGUGCACUAGCAAUUAAUUGGCUAGACUCCAUCAUCCUAAACAUAAGCAACACAUAUACAUUCAAAAUCAUAUAUAUGUACGUGUAUAUAUAGUAUCAGUAAUCAUCAUGUUAUCAAUUUUGUUAACAAUAUUUUCUAUAUUGAUUAUGGCAUGAAUCAUAUACAUAUACAUAUAUUUUUUAAACCCUAAAACUAAGGAGUUAUUUAUUUUCUAAGCCCUAAAAUUGAGGAGUCAAGCAUGUAAAAAAAUACUUAAAAUAUCUAAAUAGAAAAAGAAAAAAAAAAAAAAAAAUAUAUAUAUAUAUAUAUAUAUAUAUCGGUAGGUAUGGCAUACCGCCGACAUACAAAAUCAAUUACCAAAGCCAUGCCAUUAAUUGUCGGUUCGGUAAAAUGCCAACCGAUUAUGAAAAAAUGCCAAAACUAUACCAUACCAUUUUGAGCCAACCGGUAUGGUUCGGUCGGUAAAUCGGCUUAUGGCAAAAUUUCUCACCCCUAAUUUUAUUUGUCGCCUUAAACCUAUUGGUUUCUAGCCUACAAUUUGGAUAUUUUGUUGGGGAAAGAUUUUUGUACCAAUAAAAUUUUGCUUUGUCAGCUUAGGAUUUGUCGGCAAAAUGACAUUUUCUAGUCGUUAUAAUAUUAGGUAGAUCAAAUUUGUAAACUAUGUGAUGUGUCACCAAUAGGAAAAAAAUUCAGUGUGCUGAAAAUACAGUCUAGAACACCAAGUGUCAUAAUAUAUACUUGGUUGGAAAUUUUUUAUUUUCAAGUUUCCAACUAAUUGUAUUGUAACAGUUGGUGUUCCAAGCUAUUUUCUCGAUGCGUUGGAAAAUCUCUUCACCAAUUAAAAAUAAACAUAUUAAUUAACACUUAAGUAAUAAUCAAAGUAUCAACAACUACGUCAUAAAAUUUACGAAAUAUGAUCUUAAUUAAUGAUCUCCAUGGCAUUACCCUUUAUCUUAGCGUAUACGUACGCCUUCACAUGUUUAUUUGCUGAUAUGCAGCUUGAGUAAAAAUUUCUUUUUAAGAACAUAUAUGUGAAUAUAAACAUAUAUAUCUAGUGAUCCAUGUUGCGUUAUUUAAAAAUAAACAAAUUAAUUAAUUAAUAAAUGAACUGUGUGCAUGUCUGUGUAGAGUAAUCCAUAUGCAUGCUUGAAUCCUGAUCACCACGAAACCAUAAUAUAAGCUACUCAAGGCCCGGAAGCUAGGAUUGAAGAGAAAAACACCCAGUCAGAUUAAGCCAAUAUAUCAAAGUUAAUACUUCGAAAUGUAAGCUUUAAGAUAGAAAAAUCACUUACUACCUUGAGCAGUCGAGCUUCUUCAAUGGCAUGAAGCUUUUAGCAUGAGAUUGACUGCAUCACAACUAAAAUUUUCUCUUGGAAACUACAUAAGGAAUAGCAUGUAUACCUAUAACGUUGAGAAAGUACGCCAAUUUUUUCCUUCUGCACAUUCAUGUUUAAAAGUAAUCCUCAAAUGAACUUGCCCACAAUGAAAUGCAAUUUGAGGUAGUCGAGUGUGUUCCAUUUCCAUUCCAUGGGAAUUACUACUAAACUUUGAGAUGGUAAAGGAUUCAUGAAAUUUUUUACUUUUGAGAUAGCCUCUUUAACAUUUCUCGACUAUAACAAUGAGGGAAUACUUCACCUUGUAUCAAACAAGGGAGAGCGAAAAUCAACUACUAAUAGCAUCACAGAGCCAGCAGAAGAUUGAGGAGGCCAUGAAGAGGAGAGAGAAAAUACACUCUUUUUUUUUGUAAGGACAGAGAUAAUACAUUCAGUAAGGGGUACUGAUGUUUAUAUGCAAUGCUGAUUAGGUUUAAAUAGUCCUAUUUAUUCUGUACAGUGCCAAUAUUACCACCCGUUAGUACACUUUCAAGACACUGUACUCCAGUGUGUGCGCUAUGCAGUACGUAGUACUCCUCAUUUUUUGGGGAAAUUCAUUAUUGGUCUUCAUAUCUUCUUUAUUUUCCUUUUCCUCAUUGUGCCACGUGUUUAAAUCACUAAUUGUAGGUAAUCUUUCAAUUUAAUUAAAUCUUAUGUAAAAAAAGAUAUUUAAAUAUCAUUUAGUAUUACAAGAUAGUGAUAUUCCUCUUUAGUAUAAAAUUUUUAUAAUUAAAAGCGUUCAGUUUUUUAAUCUUCAUUUGAAUACUAUCUAUAAAGAAAAAUUAUUCGAAUAAGAGAUCGUUUAUGCAUUCAAAUGUACAAAAUGCAUCGACAGUGUGAGAACGAAUUAAUAUAUUUUUGAUGAAGUACAAUUAUUGAAUACAUUUGAAUGAUCAAAUGAUAUAUGAUUCAAAAUACAUAUUAAGAUAAUAAAUAUAAGUGAAUUGUUAUUAGCACUCCAAGAAUCUUAUUAUACACUCUAAAUUUUCUAUAUUUUGAAUGAAAAAUAAAUUUAUGAAGAGUGUAGAAUGAGAUUUUUUAAUGCUAAUAACACUUCUCUAAAUAUAAUUAUGAAAUUAAUAAAGUAAAGAUACAUGACCUCGUGAAUGAUGUAUGUAUUAUUCAAAAAAUUAUUAAAAACAAAUUGAAAAAGGACGCUGUUGUUGCCACCACUUAUGCAAUGAUCGUCGCUGCCAUCACCAACCCCCAACACCCCAUUACAGCUCAUAAAAGCACAUCAUAAGCAAUUUAUGAAAUAAAUUUACUGGAAUACUAAUUUCCCCCUUAGUUUAGGUCACCAAUGUUUAAAUUUAGGGGUGUGAUAUGCACAUACCUUUUUUUGCUUCUCUCACACUUUUUUUGUUGUUGUCGAAUCAGAUGAAUUGAAGAAGAUCAAUUGACAGAAAUUAACAAGGGGUGUAUGAAAAGUAAAAAUGGAUGUGUAGAUAACACAUCCCUAAAUUUAUCACAACUUUCAUUCCAAAUUUAAUUUUUAUGCGUAGUUUUGUUUGUUCAAAUUUACUUUGACAUUUCAAUUAGUAUUAAAAUCUAAUUUAAAUUUUAGCGUUCAAGCUAGAAAAAGUGUUCCAUUUAAUAUUUAAUCUCAGUUUUUCUCUUUAUUCUUUUAUUCCGAUUUGGUUGCAUCGUAUCUCCAUUUUUCUCGGUGUUGUAUGUUCAUAAGGCCUGGGAAACGUUGGCACGGAGUGAAGGGUACUCACUUUUUGGCCCAAAAUGCAUAAGGCAUGUAGAUAUGUUAAUCAAAUUUUGUAAACUAAAGGAUAUAGAAGUUGAUACUUAGAUUAUAAUUUAAGAUAAUACUAAAGAGACUAAAUUUGCAAACUAAAUGAUGUGUCACCAAUAAAAAUAAGCACGUUUAUCAACGCUUAAGUAAUAAAUCAAUCAUCAACUUUCAUGUCCUUUAGUUUCCAAAAUUUAAUAUACAAAUUUAGUCUCCCAAGCAUUACUCUAUUACUUAAGUAUUGAUUAACAGACUUAUUUCUUAUGGUGACAUAUUAUUUAAUUUACAAAUUUAGUCAACCCAACAUUACUCUUUUGAAAUUGUCUUGUCCACUGAUAUAAUUCUAUUUUUCUUGUGAUCAAAACUUCAAAUGUUAGCAAGUCGCACGUAAAGUCACUUCUGAGAGAAUGUGCUCACAUUGUAGUUGAAAGAUUAUGUGGCUAGCAACAUUACAAAUUUAAUUUGGUAUAAUUUAAAAUAUAGAUUGAGGAAAAAAUGAUCACAUUAACUAGAAACUGAAAAGGUUUCAGCACAGUUUGUUCAAGCAAGAAACUCAAUUUUGAUGCUACCGAUCUUAACAGCCUGAGCGCCGUACCUGGGCACUAAAGUCACCACCACACUCUCAUCAUCUUCAGCACCCAAAUCCUCCAACAGGUCCGUUAACCCCAACCUUAAACAACUCUUGCUCUUUUCCUUCUGCUUAUGUGGAACACUCACAAAACUCCCAGCAAACUCGCUCUUGUCGGGUCCACUCGGUGCCGCAUCCUCAUCGUCCACGUCAUUCACAUACACAUCAAACUUCACAGCCACAUCUUUGUCAAGCUCAAUCCCCUGAAUCACCAGUAUCUCCUCCUCAUCCUCUUUCUCCUUCUUGCUCCUCUUCUUCGGCUUCGGCCUUGACACCACCGUACUUAUCUUUGUCUCCAAAUUUAUUGGAAAAUCUUUACCCGCCACCACCUUCCCCGAUGACGUCGUCUCAGCGGCCUUCGCCACUCCAGCCGCCUUUGCCUUUCUCGCAAGCUUUGUCCGACGUGGCGUCGGUCUAGACUUGAGCCAUGGAAUCUCAACAUCUUCAUACGUAUACCCUAGCUUUUUAUUAUCAAGAGUGUCCCUCACCGUGACCCUAACAAGCUCAGCAUUCUCGUCAUAAAACAAAAACCCCGUAUCCAACCAAUCCUUAUCGUUAAUAUCUUUAUUUUUAGUCCCUAUACUUUUCCAAAUAUUCCACAUUCGAUCUAUAUUCGAAUGGUGCGAAAAAAAUAUUGGAUCCCUUGCAGCGGAGUAAAAAUUCCCCAUGUCUUCAAAAUUAGGUUGCGUGUUAUCUCCGGUCCAUGUAUGAACCGGACCAUGUGGGGUCGUUUCGAUUGAACCGGCCCCUGGAUCUGGUUCGGUGCCAGCCCUGUAGGGCGAACCAAAGAACAACAGCGGUUUCUUGGAGUUGGAAACCAUCUGCCUAUACAUGAUUUUGAGGUUGGCGUCGAUUUGAGCAUCCUUGGACAUUGUUUCAUCCGUGCCGUUAAAGUCAAGAUCGAUGAGAGUCGGCGGCUGAUGGCUGGCAGCGCGGAGCUCGUCGUAAAGCGGAGAGUCCGGGUUAGCGAACAAGGCAGGGAGUUGCAUGCCAGCUGGCGCGUCCCAGUUCCAAAACGGCAACGCGAACGUCGGAUCGUCUAUGAGUUUGGCCAAGAUUCUUUCGUGGAAGUAUAGGUAGUAACGAUGGAAGGGGAAGAAAAGCCAGGAUUGAUGGAUUUGGAGCUCGAGGUUGGGGAAGCCGACUUGAUCGUACGCGCCGUCGCAAUAGGCACAGUGGAUAUCGGCUUGCUGGGUGAAGCUACGCGGAUCGUCGUCCGGGAGGGCUUUCAUGAGCUCGAUGGCUUUUGAAUAUUUUUCGAUGUAGGCUUUAUCCACGGUGUGAGCUGCCGGCCUGACGCGGAGUUUGGUAGGGGAGGGGAAUUUGAAGUCUACGAUUUUUUGGGACGUUGGCGGGCAACAGUUGGUCGGGACUGCUCCACUUGGAAAGUCCGCACCUCCGCAUUUGGCUAGGUCAGGCGGCGACACUGGCUUUGCAACAGCGAAGGGGUCGCUGCCAAGACCAGCCACUCCACCGUACAGGCUUCCGAGACCUAUAAGUACAUGUCUUCUGUCUAGGUUUACUGGAGAAAGGUUUUCAUGGUCGUGAUCGUUGGAGCUAGUGGAAGGGUUUUUGUUUUGGUCACUACUAUUAUUCGUGGCUUUGCAUGAGACGGCUUGUAAAUUGGAAUGCCUAGGGUUUUCAAAUAAGGAAAUUCGGUGAUACUUUUGGGAGAAAGGGAAGAGAGAAGUUGUGGGGAUGAUACUUGUGGUGGAGGUGACGAGUGGAGCUGACAUAGAAGCCAUGGUUACUUGACUCUGAAUACUACGUUGUAUAGGCUUUGCUUUUAUAAUGUGUUCUAGGUUUUACUUUUCUUUGCACAGGUGGCAGGCCGUACACAUUGGCGGUCCUUAAGGGUUUGACGAGGAAUACUACGUAGUCAUUUAGUACAGGGCAACCAUGCACUAUAGCACGUGGCAUGUAAUAUUUACGUAGUCUCAGAAGGUGAAGCGGUUUUGGGCUUCUUGUGUACCAAUAAUAUUUACGUACUCAUUAUUCCACUGGAUGGAUUGCGUGCACGUGAUCUUUAUUCAAACAAAUCACUAUUGACCAUAUAUUGCAAUUGGUUAAUGUUAGGCAAAUUAAAUUUUUACAUCAAAUAAUGUGGUUGCUGAUUAUUGAAUUAUUAUUUAAGUUUGAUUAAUGUGCUUAUUUUUUAUCGGUAAUACAUCAUUUGAUUUGCAAAUUUGAUUUACCUAAUAUUACCAGUUAUAAUUUGUAUAAAUGGACUGGUACCUAACAUUACCAAUUGUAAUUUGUAUAAAUGGACUCGUACCUAACAUUACCGGUUGUCCCAAGAGCACACGCUACUGCUCAAGAAGCAAAGUUCUUAUUUGCCCAAAAAAAAUCAUGGUUUUUUAAUUGAUGCUCUCAUUUUAAUUUACUAGCCCCUUACUUGGCCCUUUUUAUUUAUCAUUUUAUACAUAUUAAUAUUUUGUUUGUAAAAUAUAUUAGUGUUAGUUUUAUCAAAAUUAAAAAUAAAUAAAAAACUUAGCUUUAGUAUUUAGUUAUUGAAAUUGUAAAAAAAGUGAUAAAGUAUUGGGUGCUUUGUUUGAAAAUUUUCAAAAUGAUAUUGUUUUUACCACUGAACCCCUGUUAUAUACAGUGAUGGCUAAUUUGUCAAGUUCUACGAAGUUGGGAUACCCAGCGUUUUAGCAUAUAACAUAGCUUAGUAUUUCAAGCAUAAUUAAUUAACGAAAAAUUAGUAUCCGGUCCCUAGUUUUUACUGUUCAUUGACUAAGACCUUAUUAGUUCUCAAAUUUUGAUUCAAGUCCCUAGCAUUAAUGUGAUAAUGAAUUUACAUGUUUAUUAUAUAAUUUUUUAAUAUAAAAAUUAGUAAUUAAUUUAGGGUUUAAUACUCACACCUCUAUUAAACUUCUAAUUAAUUUUCAAUUCAGACAUUUCCAAAAUAAUAAAAAAUUAAAUUAAAUUAAGUUUGUACCUAUUAGUUUUUUUUUAUAUAUAAAAAGAUUCUCAAUUUUUAAUCUUAAAUGUACAUCUUAAAUGUACCCAUUCUCAAAUAUAUCAAUUUGUUAUAUGUAAAAUGUACCCUUUUUUAAUAUAAAAUCCAUUCAAAAUUUUUAAUCCAUGUUUAAACUUAUAUGGGUACAUUCUUUUUCGUUGAUUUGAGAAUGUAUCCAUGUUUUGGUACAAUAAAUUUUUUGUUAAUUUUGGUUAAUGUACCCAUACAUAUAUGUACACACACACACACACACACACACACAAUAUAAUAGAGAGUAUAAUUUAUAUUUUAUUAUUUUUAAUCCCAUAAAUGAUGGGUUUUAUUUAAAAUCUCAUUAAUAUAAACAAUUAUAAAUUUCAAUUUUUAAUUUUUAAUUUAAAAAAUAUAGUAACUUACAUUAUUACAUUAAUGUCAGGGACCUCAAUAAAAAACUAAAAACUAACAAGGUUUCAAUCAAAGAAUAUUGAUAGCUAGGGACCACAUCCAAAGUGUCCCUUAAUUAAAGGGUAAAUUACAUAGUAACCCCUCAGGUUUGAUGUCUAUUACAACCCCAUACAACAUCUUUAAAACAUUUCACUUUCAUACCUCAAGUACUAUUUUAUUUCAAUAUAAUACAUCUGUUAGAUUUUCCAUCCAUUAAUCCGUUAAAUGCUGACAUGGAUACCACAUUUGUGCCACGUGGCUGCCAAAUGCGUGUCAUGUGGCAAAAAUAAUAAUUUUUAAAUUUAAAAAAAAAUGAAUCUUCAACCCAAAAAAAAAAAAAAAAAAAAAACCCCAAACCCAGAUCCCAUCAACCCCCCCCAAACGAUUAUCCCUUCCCCAUAUCCCCCAUCCCACCCCCCAACCCCCCCUCUGCGACCAACCUUACCAUAGCGCCCCCCAACCUCGCGACCCACCUCACUCAAGGCCCUAAUCCACACUACCUACAACCCAGAAACGAAAAAAAAAAACAAAAAACAAAAAACUCAUCUCCCUUUCCCUGCAACCCAAAUCCCAUCUUCCCUAAUGGGUAUGGAUUUAAGAAGUGGGGUGUGUAGAGGAGGGAAGAGGGUGGGUGCGGAGGAUGGGUAUGGUGGGUUGCAAGGAAGGGGGGUCGGGUAAGAUGAAGAUGGGUUUUUUUUUUCUCUCUCUCUUCUUCUUCUUCUGGGUUGCAAGUUGUAGGUUGGGGUUUUUUUUUGGGGGGGGGGGGGAGGGAGGGAGGGAAGACGACGUGGGGUUUGGUUUUUUUUUUUUAAUUUAUUUAGAAGAUUUAGGUUUUUUGAAAAAAAAAAAAAAAUUCCACGUGGCACAAAUGUGGCAGCCACGUCAGCAUUUAACAGAUUAAUAGAUGGAAAAUCUAACGGAUGUAUUAUAUUGAAAUAAAAUAGUACUUGAGGUUAGAAAGUGAAAUGUGUUGAUGCACAAAACCGAAGGUCUUUGAACAACGUAAAUCCGAUCGUGAAUAUGCAAGUAAUGUAAAUAACACAAGAUGUAUCGUGGUUCACUCCAAUGUUUGGGCUACGUCCACACUGAUUAUUGUAUUUCUCUGAGAGGUGAGGGGGAGAGCUUUGAGAAAGCUUAGAGCUUAGGGGAUGUGAGAAGGCUUAAGAAUUGGCCUCCCUUAUUUGUGAGGGUGAUGAGUCCUUUUAUAGAAUAAGGGAUCCUCACUUAUUACAUAUUUGCCCAUUCCUUUAUUACAUAAUUACAUUUAAGUCCCCUGAGUACUUGUACAAGGUCUAAAUACGGAGGCCCUAAGUAUGGUACAAACAGUAGUCCCCCAAGUCUUCAGUCAAGAGAGUCUUUUGGCUAGAGACUUGAAAUUCUGUCCAUGUGUGAGCCGAAAUAACUAGAUGUCGUCUAGAACUGAUAUUUGAUAUGCGGCAGUGCCCAUUUUGAAAUAAUGCUCAACUAGAAGUAGCACAUGCUGCGAGGCUGCUCUGCUUGUGUUGCCUUGGUUGGCUCGACUUGUGGCGUUGAAGGUGAGAGAGUCCCUUUUAUAGAAUAAGGGCUCGCUCCUCAUUACAAAGAUGAUGGGUUAGUUGGUGCUUGCGGUGAGGCGGAUGCUCAGCUGGCGGCGAUGCUCUCUAAUGAUAGUGAGGGAGUCCAUUUUAUAGAAUAAGGGAUCGCUCCUCAAUACAUAAAUAAUAGGUGCUCUCUAAUGAAAGUAAGGGAGUCCCUUUUAUAGAAUAAGGGCUCACUCUUCAAUACAUAAAUAAUGGGCUAAGUCCCCUAAGUAUUUUUUAUGAGGCCUAAUUGAGGCCCAAUAUAUGGUACAUAAUGUAGUCCCCCAAGUCUUCGGUCAAUAGAGUCUGUUGGCUGGAGACUUCAAAUUGAAUCCAUGUAUGGGCCGAAGUGGCGGUUGUUCGGAAGCGGUAUUUGUAUACCCUGCACUGAAGCUUUAUAGGUGAAGCUUUGCAAGUGAAGCUUUGAAGCUGGAGCUCAGUAAAUGAAGCUUUUGAAGCUAGAGCUUUUGUAAAUGAAACUUUUGAAGCUGGAGCUCUAUAAAGGAAGCUUUUGUAAAUGAAGCUUUUGAAGCUGAUUCACAUGAGUGAUGCUCAUGAAUGUUUAUGUUGAUUGAUAUGAGUGAUGCUUAUGGAUGUUGACAUGAGUGAUGCUCAUGGAUGUUGACGUGAUGCUCAUGAAUGUUAACAUGAGUGAUGCUCAUGAAUGUUUAUGUAUGAUUGAUAUGAGUAAUGUUCAUGAAUGUUUAUGUAUGAUUGACAUGAGUAAUGCUCAUGUAUAAUUUGAAGUACUGGGCAUACUUUUGAUUACCUGGUUGGCGAUAAUAGCGGCAGGGUGCCGAAUAAUUUUUUGUAGUACUGGGCGUACUUUUGGUCACCUGGUUGGUGAUAAUAGCAGCAGGGUGCCGAAUAAUUUUUUGUAAUACUGGUCGUCCUUUUGGUCACCUGGUUGGUGCUAUUUUGAGCUUAUGGGCCUUCGCCCUCUACACAACAUUCCAGCCUAUUUAUUUUGGGCUUUACCGUUUUUUUUAAUUACCCUAUGAUGGGGUUUAUACAGAUGUCUCCGAAAGAUAUGAAAAAUAAAUUACAUCAUUCAAAAAUAAAUCCGACCCUCUGCUCAAUGGGUCACGCCAAUAAUUCUUUUUUUUUAUGCAUGCCAUCACCACCGCAAUUAUGUCUGCUUCUUUUUAUCUUCUUUUGCUUUCUGCUUUUGCUUUUACUUUAUCUUUCUCUUUUGGCAUAUGGCAGACAACGCCAAAACGGAAUAAUGAAUUAUUAUGAGAACAUGAAUCUUAUCUUUUGCCUGGUUUUCCACUAGUGCUCGUGGUAUUCUCAGGAGAUUGGAUCUGGGGGUAGGCGACUACCCCAGCACCUUGCCCUGAUACGUAAUAGCCUGAUGUCCCACUGCCAUCUCCAUACUGGAAGGUGUACGAACAAUGGUUAUUCUGUGUGGAACAAAUAGAAUCCGAUUGAGAUUCAAGACUGCACCUUCGAUCUGAGCAAGAAAUGAAUUGUGACGUUGAUGAACUUCUAGGAGGAGAAGCAGAGGAUCUUUGACUAUGAUGAUCUUUGAAUUCCAGAUGAAACUGAAUAAAAUGCAGGUUGUGGAGCUUGAUGUGGGCCCAGAUCUGCUUGACAGCUUUGGGGCGGGAGGAUUCCUUGACACUGAGGAAGAUUCCCAGAGCUGGAGGGAUGAGAAUCGACUUCAUAAUCCCGAUGGUGGGUUUGUGCUUGGUCGAAAGAUCAUUUCUGGCAGGGGAAAACAUGUACCAUACCUAUUGCAAAUCUUGCAAAUUCUCUGCUUCUCCAUGGAAGAUGAAGAGCAUCGAAUCUCUGUUUUCUCUCUCUCUCUCUAAAACGUUUUCGUUAUAGAGUGCCCCAAUAGAAGUGGACGGGCAGUGAGCAUGCCAUUUAGUGCCUCCUCCAAGACAGUAACUGAUACGGUGGUCUUUAUUGGCACUCCAAGUUUACUAAAAAGGGCAGCAAAAAUAGUAUUUACAGCACCCAAACUUGAAAGAUCUAGCUCCAACUAGUGGCUUUCUGUUUCAACAGCCUGAAAGCCGGCAGUGUCAUACCGACGCCGUUUGUCUGGAUCAAAUAAUAUAUUAUAAGAAAACAUGACCUUCUUGAAGAUAUCAGCUGUUUUAGAGUCAUUAGCAUUUUUGUCAGGAUGGUACUUGAGAGCCAUUUUCCGGUAAGCACUUUUGAUUUCCUGGUUGGUGGAAUUCCUAUUGAGGCCGAGGACCGCAUAAGGGUUUUGUCGGAGCUGCUUCUUAGCUUCUUGCUUCUCCGAUUUUGAUCGGCUGCCCUGCAUUUUUGAAAUUGACGGUCAAUUUCUUCACAAAACCCUAGAAAUUGCCUCUCGAUUACCUCCGAAACACAUAAUUCACGACUCUUGGUUGAAAUUUUUUUUUUUCAUUUCAAAGAAGUGGCGGAGGUAAAUCAGUUGUCACAUAGCACCGGAGCAUGAGGAAAACCUAGAAAACCAAGAGGCAGAGAGACUCCAUGCACAUCUAACCUGGAACCUUGCAGGAGAGAGCAGAGAGAAAGAGACAAGAAAGAUUGAGGGAGAAGCGAUCUUGGUGCAUCGUCUGUGAUUCCUUGGUGAUUUGCUCGAUCGGGACUCUGAAUUCGUGCAAGUCAUUGCUGUUAAGCAAGAAUCGCGAGGAGUCGGAGAGCUUGGAAAUCGAGAAGGAGAGAGGGCCUUUAGUCAGGGCUUGGAGGGUGUCGGACUCCGUCGGCCAAGAUUGGUGCACGGUCACGGCGUCUGGGCCCAUGGCGGUUGUGUAAAUGGGGGAGGUUCUAGGAGUCCAAGAAAGAAGAAGAAGCAGCGACCAUAGAUCUGGGAGUCCAUGGCGCUUGAAAGAUACGGCGAACAAGUCGGACUUGCUGCUGGGCAGCUGGCGGUGAUAAUGUUGGUGCAUGGGUUUUGGAGUGGGAGUGUUUGGAAUGGGUUUUUUGUUUAGUUUCUAUGUGUUUUUUCACAGAGAGAGAGAGAGAGAAGUGAUGGUGUUUAAGGGAUGAGUUUUGGAGCUUAGUGAAUGCUUUUUCUGGAAAAGCCCAGUGAGGUUUGUGGGUUUUUGCAGAUUUUGCAGAUUCGCGGUGGAGGUGAAAGAAUGAAAGAGAACCGACACAACUUUUCGUAUUGAUUCCCACAUACGGCGCCAAAUGUUGAUGCACAAAACCGGAGGUCUUGGAACAACGCAAAUCCGACCGUGAAUCUGCAAGUAAUGUAAAUAACACAAGAUGUAUCGUGGUUCACCCCAAUGUUUAGGCUAUGUCCACACUGAUUAUUGUAUUUCUCUGAGAGGUGAGGGAGAGCUUUGAGAGAGCUUAGAGCUUAGGGGAUGUGAGAAGGCUUAGGAAUUGGCCUCCCUUAUUUGUGAGGGUGAGAAGUCCUUUUAUAGAAUAAGGGUUCCUCACUUAUUACAUAUUUGCCCAUUCCUUUAUUACAUAAUUACAUUUAAGUCCCCCGAGUAUUUGUACGAGGUCUAAAUACGGAGGCCCUAAGUAUGGUACAAACAAAAUGUUUUAAAGAUGUUGUAUGGGGUUGUAAUAGACCUCAAACUUGAGGGGUUACUAUGUAAUUUACCCUUAAUUAAAAUAAGGGCAAAUGAAGAGGAUGGUUGAACUUGUUAAGUUUCUUAAGUGUGUCUAAUUUAAGUGUGUUGUUAAUAAACAUUUAUUAUGGAGGCAAAGAGAGGGAAGGUGCGGCAUAGAAAGAGAAGAGAGAGAUAUGUAAUUGUGAGUUGUGUUUUAUUCCAUCCCAUUGUGCAUUUAUUUAUAUUAGUUGGGAAAGUUAAUUCUUUAACCUUUUAGGAUUACAACUCUAAUAGGAAAAUAUAUAAUCUAAAAGAUAUGGUAGAAUCCCAUAAGAAUAUCCUAGAUAUGUUAGGAUUUACACAAUCAUAUUCCUAUUCCAAUAGGACUGCAAAACAUUUGUAUUUUUUUAUAAUUUUUUUGAUAAUUUGUUGGCAUUUUCAAUUUUUGUUAACAUUGAAAAUAUAACGGUUCAGAUGAAAAACCUUUGGAAAUCCAACAUUGAAAAUAUAACAGUUUGACGUUGGGCUGUGGUGAAGGAGGCUGGGCUGUCACGUGGGUGGGGCCCUCCCUCUCCCACUUGGUGAUUCAAAGGGCGCAGGCCCGUGCAACAAUUGAGGCAGCCCAUAGAGAUCCUGCGUUUCACCCAUUUGCCAUUUUUUCCACCGCUGGAGCACCAAAAUUCGGUCCAAAGGCAGGGGUUCCAAUUGCAUGGGCAAUUUGGUUUCCGCUGGAGGUGCUCUUUGUCGACUUUGUUUAUUCUUUCUUUUUAGCUUUGCAGUAAUAUUGAAGUAAUCACUCCAAUUGUAUCCGAACUUUUGUUGUCCAUCAAUUUGUAUCAAAACUAUUGGUUAAUUUACAUAUUCAGACUAACCUUCUCAUUAUUUUUAGUAUUUUUAUCAUAAAUAAUAUCUAAAAUAAUCACAUUUUAUUCAACAACCACUCAAUUAAAAAUUAAUUAAUGUUGUUUCUAAACCAUUACAUCGAGCUUUUGUAAAUACACAUCAAUAUUGCAGCGAUCCGAGGCAUUGUUUUCUACGCCUUGGAUUUGGCGAAUUGGAAAAGAGAAGAGUUACGAGUAAAAGUCCCUCACAUUAAGAGGGCUCCUCCUCGGGGAGAUGAAGAUGAUGAUCUUUUGUUUUUGUUUCUUAAUGAUUAAUCCACGCAGCAACAUAUAAUUAGAUUGUUGGGAUCUACUCAAGUUCCAUAUCACGCACUAAUAUAAAGUUUGACAAACGAAACGAAAUAUGUGCUCUCGAAAGCAAAAUGAGGGCACUGCUCCAAGAACAGGAAGGGCUCCUUGUCGAGGUUGCCAUCCGCCAUGAGGGAAAACCGGAAGAAGUUAGACAACAAUGAUGACAUCGAUUUGCAACACCCAUAUUGGGACAUCAAACUGUGAAAUAAAUACUCAAAACUCCUGGAAAGUCCUCGGGACAACAAACUUUUAUCUCCUUCAAAUAUUUCAUUUUACCAAGUUUUAUGUUUGAAGGGAGGGAAAAAAAGAGAUGAGAGAAUCCUACUCCUUAUUCUUGAAUAUAUUCAGGAAUAACUAUUGAAUAAAGAGAGAAUGGAAGGGGAUCGAAAGAGGAGGGAAGAUAAUUCUAGUCCCAAACAUAAAAAGGACCACAACUUUUAAAUUAUCAGCACGAUCAUCAUCUGAUUGAAGAGACCAUUCAUUGUGAAACAUAUCGUCAAUCAAUAUGUCUAUAUCUAUUUAUAUACCACAUUUUUGGAGUAGGAUUCUCCCCCCUCCUAUUACCAUCCCCUUCCAUCCCCUUCCAUCCCCUCCUUUCAUACUUUUUUUUUUCUUAUUCUCUAUAUAAAAAAUUCAAAACAAGAUGUAGAUGUGUCGUAAUCGCAAUAGUUUAAAUAAAAGGAGAUGGAAGGAGAGAUAAAUUACGAGGGGAGAGAAUCUUACUCCCACAUUUUUCUUCUUCAUAAACAAAAGAGAGGUUCUAGAUUACUUGACUCUAUGCCUCAUUUUUUUCAUCAAGUAUUUGUGCUAAACGGGUUCAGUUUCAAGUAUUUUAGUUUUUUGUCAAAAUUGAGAAAACUGAAAAUCAAACAUUAAUAUGCAAAAUUAAAAAAUCAACACAUAAUUAUUUAGAAAUCGCAAUAGAAAAGAAAAAAUGGAGGUUUGUGAUGAAAAAUCUUUUAUACUAAGUAAUUUAGUAUCCUUAUGCAUGAAGAUAAUCAAUUCGUUCGUUAUGGUCAGACUCUUUUUGAAUUUUUGAACACAUUCUCCAUAGGGCCUUCUUAUUUGUUCCUUCUCCGAGUUGGGGUUAUGGAAGAAGUAAAAGAAGGAACCAAGAAGAAAGUAUUGGCAACAACCGAUUUCGUUACGGGACAACUCUUGAUAUUCAUAUCGAUCUAUUAUGUACCUUUGCAUCUAGCAUUAGACAAUAACUGUCAUAGCUUUACCAUAUUUUUUUGUUUCAUUUCUUCUGAAACAAUAACACACACUUUUUUAUUAUGUGUCUAAUACUAGGAAUUCAAUACAUAAUCUUAGCAUUCAAUAGUUAUUCCUGAAUAAUUUCAUUUUUCAAUUGAUCAACCAUUUCAUUUUUCCAAGUUCAAUCAAUGUUAGUCACAUUAGUCAACAUUUAUAUAUUUUGAUGCAACAACAAUAUGUUAUUUGUAACAAGUGAUUUUGCUAGUUGGUUAAUUGGUCACAAGUUAAUGUUCGGUUCAGUUCAGCUUUUCUCUCGAUUUUUUGCGAUUCGGUUUUUUCGAUUCUCUUUAGAUUCGGUUCGAUUUUGUUUUUUUAUUUAUACUUAAUUUUUUUUAAUCUGAAAACACCAAGAACAACACAAGCAUACUCAAUCAAACAACUAUCCUUCUCCACAAAUCACAGUAAUAAUUACAUUCAUUUAGCUAAAAUGCAAAUAACUAACAAACUCACAAAAAUCGAAUAAAAACUACAAAUUGCUUACUCUUUUUCUUUGGGUUUCACUCGAAAAGUGUCGGUAAAAUUUAGGGUUUGCAAGAACGCAACCGAAAUCCAAAACGGAGGCUCUGUGGCUUGUGGGCUGCUAUUGAGUUCCAGUACGGAAAACCUUGCUUACUCUCUAUCACGGUACAAAGUAUCAGUACCUUUAGCACUGUAUUUGGUAGAACCAAAUUAAAAGCUAACAUCAAUAACAACUACCAGAGACAUAAGCUCUUAUCAAUGCUUUGGAAACAGUCAUGUAUCUCCAAGUGUAAUGAUAUAAUUAGUAAGAAAUUUAAAAGAAAAAUGGUGAUUUCAUAUAAAAUCAAUAAAAAGUUACAAUAUUGACAAUAUAUCAACAAUUUUUAUGGGGUAAAUUACAUAGGACCCCCUCAGGUUUGAGGUCUAUUACAACCCCAUACAACAUCUUUAAAAUAUUUCACUUUCAUACCUCACCUACUAUUUUAUUUCAAUAUAGUACCUCCAUUACAUUUUCCAUCAAUUGAUCCAUUAAGAGCUGAAUUGGUUGCCACAUUUGACACGCCCCGAUCCCGAUAUCCUCGGGAUAUCAGGAUGGUCACGUGCUGGCCGACACCCGAGGGUGACGAAAGCCAUUUAUUGAGUGCAAUUGCUGAAAAUAAAGGAUAGAUAAAACUUAUAAAUGUAAAAGAAUAAGGAAUAUGCAUUUAAGGAACGUGUUCAGAGCAUACAACUAACUAGAACACUAAAAGAAUGAUAUAAAAUGGAAUGAAUAAAAGAAUGAGUCUUACACCAAGAGGACUCGAAGAUGCCGAUGCGGAAGUACCUUGAUUGUCGGGAUUGUACGCCUCGAUCCUAAAUCCUGAAGGGGGCGCAAAACAAACAUGAGUGGACCAAGUUGAUAUAUAUAUAAUAAAACAGUUAUCAAUAUACUAACCCCCAGGUUUAUGAAAACAAAUAUAUAAUGAUGAACAUAGGUUUUCCGAAACCUAGCAUGAUGUGCAGUAUCUCAAAUCAUAACUCAUAUAUAAUAAUCACUAGUGAAUUGUCCGAUAACCUGCAGGCCCCAUGCCGGCUCCCCGUCUCUGAGCAGACAGUCAGAGGAAAAUACACUUCAGGCCCCAUGCCGGCUCCCCGUCCCUGUGCUAAAUAGCCAGAGGAAACACACUCCAGGCCCUAUGCCAACACCAAACCGUCGCCCGGGACGGACCGGAAUCUAUUCCUACGUCCCGUAGCGGAAAUGACCACUAGGUAAGUACAAAACCAUUGAACAUACAUAUAUUGAAAAACAACUUCAUAGUAUAAAGUCAUCCAUCAUCUAUACUAUAAAGAGGUGUUCGAAACAUGUUCUAAAUAUCAUAUCGUCAUCCAUCAGAUAUUCUAUAAGAACACGGGUUAUAGGAAAAAUAGUAAUAAUUCAAGGUAGCCUCAGUAAGCAUGUUAUCUCAAAACGUUUCAUAAAACGUAAUCAUUAAAUCAUGCAUUUCAUGUAUGCAUUUCUACUAUUAAAACAUGCUUUUGAAGGGGUCCACUCACAGUACUUAGCCGCCGAAGAGCCACGCAAACUAACGUCACCAAUAUUGCCCCUAAGCACAUAAAUGGUCCAAUUAAUAAAACUAUAUAAUAGCAAUUGGAUUUGGGAAAACGGACGUUGGAAACGGAUUCAGAACGUCGAAUUACCCUAAGAAGGGUCCCGGACGAAAACCCGAAAAGUCAACUCUAAAGUCAAUGUUGACCGGAGGUCAACGGUCAAAUUAGGUCUAACGGGUUUUAGGCUUGAAAUCCGGAUUAGGGUUUAGGUUAAAUAGGAUUAGGAUUUAUUGGGUUUUGGAAUUCUAAGGUUUUUGGGUUAAAAGGGUUUAGGGUGAAAAUGGGUGGUUUGGGCUUAAUCCCAAACUCACACACAACACACACACACACUACACAAACCCUAAAACACACACACACACACGGGCUGCACUAGGGCAGCCCUCACAACACUUCACAAAGGCCCUAAGGCCUUAUUAAAGGACAGGGCUUUAAGCCCUUUAAAGGAUACUGGCCCAAGGCCCGUCAAAAUAAGGCCCGAGGCCUUUGGGUUUUAAAAAGAACAAGAACAAAUUUAAAAGAAAAGGGGCUGGGGUCUACUGGGCUAAGAUAUAACGGGCUUAAGGCCCGUGGGGUUUUCUAAAGGGCCUGAGAGGCCUGGGUUUGUCGAAGGAGAAGGCCGGAAUUUCGGCCGGAAAACCACCCAACUUUAAAUGGCCAUAACUUUGUCAAUACUCAACGAAAUCAAGCAAGACAAAAAUGAAAGUUGUAGCCCUUGAAGCGACGAAGAGAAUGGUUCCUCACACGACGUCUAACUCGCCGUGGUUUGGCCGGAAAAUGCCUCGAAAUCCGUCGGACUCGCCGGAAACUGGGUAAGAUUCAAAUGAGUAUAACUUCUUCAAUACUCAACGAAAUUAAGUGAAACAAAAAGGAAAGUUGUAUUACUCGACGAGACGAAGAGAUUGAUACCUUACACGCCGGCCAACUCGCUGUGGUUUGGCCGGAAAUGGCCUCGAAAGGGGCGGUGCUCGCCGGAGCUUACUCCGUGCCGUCGAACUCGCAGGGUAGGGUCCGGGGUUCGUUGCAAGCCUCUCUUCGAUGGUGACUCGGUCCUAGUGAGUCCAGGGGAAGAGAGAGAUGCGAAAGGUUGAGGGAGAGAGAGACGGGAGAGCUGAGAAAGAGAGAGCUACGGGAGGGAGAAACGAAGAAGAAGAAGAGAGAGAUCAGAAAACAUAAAAAAAAUAAACAAGGUGGGCCCCACGGGCUCACCAAUUAAGGCUUUAAAACAAUUUUAAAAUAUAAAAGAGGGUUGGGGUGUUUCAACAUUUGUACCACGUGGCAAAAAAAAAACCUAAAUCUUCUAUACAAAAAAACUAAAAAAACCAAAAAAAGCAAAAUCGAACACUCCACCCCGCAAAAAUCCUAGCAUCUUCCUUUUAUUCCCCACAACCCCAAAUUCCCCCCCAAAACCCCUAAAACCCAAACCCUAAUUCCUCCCCCACAUGAAGAAAAUCCCAGUCCAAUUCAAUCCCAAUUACCUCAAAUCCCACCAUAGAAACCCUAAAUUUUGGUUCCUCAAUCCCUAGAUUUCCCACGCCUCUGUUGCCUACACCUUAUCAAUCUUUAGCUUUCUCCCUCAUCCCCUCCAUGAACGACACUUUCUCUCAUCCGCUGUUCCCCAGCAACGGCACCGAUACCUACGAGGCCUGGUACGGCAACAUCCAGUACCUUCUCAACAUCUCCGCCAUCGGCUCAUUCUUAUGUGUCUUCUUUUUCACCUUGGUCAAGCUUUGAAGCGAUCGCCGCCGCAUGCCCGGCUCGUCCUCCCUCGUUGCUAAGCUCUUCGCAGUGUGGUAUGCUACCUGUCGAGAGAUUAUGCUCCCAUGUGGCGCUGAGGCCAUAAUACUCACGCACCCAUCUACACACCCACACCACCACUACCGUGGACUCUCUCUCACUCUCCCUCGUCUUUGUAGAGCUAGGUGAAGCCUAGAAACCGAGAACUAGCUCCAGCAAACCCCGUGAGUUUCGAGCCAGAUCCCUGCCGACUCCGACCAUCCCAUGACCAAUCUAAGGUACAAAACAUUUCCCCUUGACUCUAUGCUCUUUUUCGUAUGUAGAUCGUAGGGAAAAGCCCACAGAAUGAGAGAGAAUAGUGACCUGAGAGAGUCCACGGUGAUGGUGGUGUGUAGAUGAGUGCGUGCGUGGGUGUACUGUCGGGGAUAGAGUCUGAGAGAGAUAGAGAGUGAAAGAGUCUGAGAGAAGAGUGACUUGCGAGAGUGAGAGAUUCGAGAGAGACUCGGGAAAAGAUUUAUGGGUUUGGGUUUUUCUGGUUUUUUAUUUUUAUAAUAAUAGGGUUAAUAUUAUAAUAUUUUUAAUGUAUAAAAAUUUCUUUUUUGCCACGUGGCAGCCACAUCAGCACAAAUGUGGUAGUUGUAGAUGCAAAUUUCUUCCUCUUGAUCUUGGACAAUUUUGCACCUACAAAACAAUUAACACCUUAGGUUAAGGCCAAAAGCCUCACACACCCACAAUGAAUGGGGGGCUUUGGCCGAAGAACCUCUGUUGCCAAAGUUAGAAUUUAGAGAGAAAGAGUCUUUACAGAAUUUUGGGAUUUUUGCCAAAGUGUUGGAAUGGCUUUCUGGUGAGAACGGGAUCACUUUUAUAAGGAUAGGAAGUGGUCGGCCUAGCUAGGGUUUUUGGGUUUAAUUUAGGUUUAAUUCUUCAAUUUAUUUGGCUAAUUAAACCCUAAAGAAUAAAUUGGUGGUUACAAAAUUGAUUAUUUGUAUAAAUGGGGUAAUAAAAUGGAGAAAAGUGAAAAAGGUUAGGAAAAGGGAGGUAGCUAGCUUCUUAGUAGUUUUAGGUGUGAGUGGGUGUUUUAAUUGAUAAUUAAGGGAUUGAUUAGGUAAUUAAUCCCUUAAUUAAACAAUUUUUAGGGAAUAUGAAAGGAAAUUAUUAUUUAGCUAAUUGAUUAGCUAAAUAAUGGAAUACAAAAUAUAUAGAAUAAAUUAGGCUUUAGGUAUUACCUUAUAGAAAUGAUUUGAUGAAAUAGGCUUUAAAUUGUUAACUAUUUUGGGCACUUUUGACUUGGUUGAGGAUGAUUGUCUGCCGCUCGCACGUAGGAAUCUCGAUAUGCCUUAAGGGUAUUUUUGUCCUCUUUUACCCAAAAAUCCACGUGUCGCCUUGUGAUUAUUUUUGGCUCCACAAAUGCCCCCACACCUGUUGGGCUGCUCGCAGAAAAUGGCAGCAGGUGUAGAGAUCAUCUUGCUUUAGGAAACGUAGGACUACUUCCUCUUUAGAUGUAGAUUCUCUCUUUAAUAGGAAAUUAGGUUCUUCUAGGAAAGGGAAAUAAAUUUCUGUUAAAGCCUAUUUAAGUCUACCUUAAGUGGGUUAUUAAAUCAACUUUGGAGAGCGAUUUCUUAUACCCUACAAGAGAGAGGGAGCUUAGAGAAUAUUUGUUCCCCCUCUUCUAGCAAUCUUCUACAUCUUUCCCGUGCAAAGGAUCGUCUUUCGUUGAUUUCUUCGUCUUCUCCGUGCCGCACCGAUGUAAGAAAAAUUUAAUUUUUUGCUUAUCUUCUUCUUGGAUAGUACUAUUACAGGGCAACCGUUAAGGUAGUGCGGCACGUCUACUGGCAGGGGCUAGGAGUUGGCUCGGCAUCGGUCGAUGAGGCAUUAUGGCAGGGGCCACUGCUUAGGCUGUUUGGCUUGGCUAGAGCCAAUGGCAGCUUGUGCGGCUGGGGUCGCGGAUUGUGGCGUUGGGGCGCAAUGCUAGGCGAGCCACAUGGUUAAUGUCCUUUAGGCUCUUAGACCUUACUCGGGCCAGGCUAGCGACUGAAAGAAAUGAGGAGGUCGUGGGCCUCAUGGGUUGUUGGAAUGUUGGGCAUGCAGGCCUCCUGUCUGCUAGAAUGCUAGGUUGAGCUCCUCUGCUGAGUACCGUGAAUGGCGUUGGCUGCUUAGUUCUUUUUACAGAGAGAAAGGUGGGCUGCUCCCGAAAGAGGAAGUAAAGAGGAUCAAGGUGGAUGCAUUGGCUCGUCUAAUCGCUGUCGUGGAACCUCCUAUGAAUGAAGAUGGAAAUAAGAGAUCUUCCCUGCCUACUCAAGAGAUGCCGAUCGAGAAAAAUUGAAGACUUUCUCCACUGCUGCUCAUGAUGAUUUGUCUGCUGUCGAUAGGCCUGUGAUUGGCAUGACUUCUUCCAAUGGGAAGAAAAAUGAGGCUGCUAGAUCUGAUCAUGUGGUGCCUUCCAUGUUGAGAAUUGCUAGUACAAUUGUUGAUAAGAUUGCUUAGCGCAAAGGUUUUAUCAUGCCCCCAGUACCGAAGUCUGUACCAGGACUUUCGUUUGGAGCAAAGUCUGGUUCACCUUUGGAGAUACUUGCUAUUAUGAAAAGUGGUAAGGUGGACUCUGCUGCUAAAGUGGCGUCAAGGCCCACUCCCUUUGUUGCUGAGACUGAUUCGCCUGCUAGGAAGGAAGAUACUACUUGUAUGGGCAGCUGUGAGAAAUCCACUAAACUUGCUUCUGGGGAGGCUGCUGAGAUCAUUGUGCUUUUGAAACUAUAUCUGCUUGAAGACAUGGACGCUUGUGCCAAGUUUGUUGAUGGCGGUAGAAAGGUUGUUUACCUAAGUUCCUUUGCGAAACAUACGACCCAAUAUAAAAUGACUGCUCUGCUUACUAGGAUGCAUAAAUAGCAAGGUUGUCAAGGAGGUGGCGAAGAUUAUGGCAGCUAAAGCUUAUUCCUCAGUCGAGGAGAUCAAAAGGUUGAAUUAUGAGCUUGUUGCUUUGAAAGAAAUGGAAGAACUGCAACACGUUCGUGUUAGUCUGUUUGAGAAGAAUGAGCAGCUAAACGGUAAGAAUGAUGGGCUUGAGGUUUCUCUAUUUUUCCGGAAGACUUGCUUACUUUUACUUUUGAGGCUUCCAUUGGUGAAGUAGUUGGAGACGUUAGUGCCCAGGCUUAGGCAACCGGGGGUGAAGCACCGGAUGAUGCCGCUGCUAAGAACGUUACGGCUGCUGAAGGUGUGGAGACCAAGUAGUCGUGGGAUGUCCAAGCUGCUGUAGUGUAGUAUUUUAGGUAGCUUUUAUGAUUUUCUUUGUUUUUCCUUGUAGCUCUUGUUUUGCUUGAACUUCUUCGGCCUUUGCUAGUUGUAUAAACAUGUUUUCCUUCGCUUUUCUUCAUCUUCGCUUCUUUUGUUCAUGCCCUAACCUUUAGACUUGAUAGACCAAUGGCAGGCAUGCUACUUUUUUAUAAGCAGACAAGCUCGCGUAGCCUAUGCAGCCGUAAAUGUUGGUGUAGAACUUUGCAAAGUUGUUAGCCAUUAGGUUGGUAACCAGAUACCUUACUUACAGAAGUAGACAAGUCCGCAUAACCACUAGGCUAUUAACCUUGACUUUCUCCAAUUCUGUAGGUUGCGUAGCAAGUAUCACAACACUUUAGGAAUUGGUAUAGGUUGCUCCGCACUUGGCAGAGGUGAAGCCUAUCGACUACGUAGCAUGUCGGCAGUGGAUAAAACUUCCAUAUAUGCGCGCUAGCUUGUUUAACCUUUCACAAGAAUGUGCGGUUGUAUAAGUCUAGCACGGUUUUACUGCUUGAAGGGCAAGCCGUAGGCAGUCUUCCGGAAUCCGUAGGCUACCUUAAUGUACUCGGUAGCAGCUUUAGGGUUCCAGGGCAGCCGUCUAUAGAGCGUACUGCGUAAUGUGCCCCAUCCGUCUCUAGCUCCCGGUUCCCCACAGAUUAGACCAAGAGACCCAAAAUCCUUCAGUUAGUUAAGCCUUGAAAAAGACCAUUGUGGCUACUUCUAGGAAUCCCGGCUCAAGCCAUCGUACAUCUAGUUAUACUAGGGUAGCCAGGCUCAUCAGCGUCUGGAUAUUCGGAGUGUAAAGUUUAUCCUCCCGUCUUAGAGAGCUGACCCAUAUGAGUGUCGGGGAAUUGGUUUACCCUCUCACACUAGAGAGUAAUUAAUUUACCCUCUCGCACUGGAGAGCAAUUAGUUUACCCUCUCGCACUGGAGAGCAUGGUUGGUCCAUCGGGGGGCGCAAUUCCUGCGAUGAGUCCCUAAGAAGGGCGCAGUCUUCUUUUGAAGUGCAGGAAUGAUUAGUUGUUAUAAGCAUGUGAUCGAGUCAAGUUGUGAUUACUUCUAAAUUCCUCAUUGAAAAACGAGUGAAACGAACGAGAACUUAGCCGUAAGGUAGGAACUGCAUAACAACUGGAUAGUCCUCAACUUGUGUGGUGGUACCCAUCGAGCUUCUUGAGUCUUCGGGCUUUGAUGUAGUGGGAGGUUACACAUGGCACCUUUUCAGAUUGUAGGCGCUCUACUGCUUUUCGAACUUUUUUUUUGUUGUGUAAUUGCUCUUGCUGCCUACUCGGCUAAUCUUAUACAGACUUUCUCGGAUGAGAUUCAUCUUUUUGGAGCUUCUCUGCUGGCAGUGAUGAAGGCUUUUCUUAGGACUAGAUCUCUGGGCUGGAACUGCCAGAUUUUGGCCUUUUUGUUGUGGCUGGAAAAGAACCACUGCUGGUAAGUUGUAAUGCAGAUGAUAGUCUGCUCGCACUUCUCCUCUGCCAAAUUUAAGCUUGUGGCCAUCUCCUUUCGGUUGCUCGUCUUUUGGUGUUGCGAUGUGCCCAUAGACAUCCAGGGAGUUUGUCUGGCCAUUUUCUUUUCUUAUUGGUAGGGGAUUUCUUGUGGCAGUCGAGGAUCAUCUUAGUGGAUGUUUUGGCCAGCCUAUUGCCUUGAGGAUAUCUUGGCGUAGACAUGUGCUGCUUGAUGCCAUAUUUUUAGAAGAAUUUCGCCAAAUCUUUGCCCACGAAUUACGGGCCGUUGUUGGUGACGAUGGAUUAAGGUAUGCCAAAUCGGCAAAUGAUGCUCUUUCAUAUGAAGCGCUCUAUGUCCGUUUGAAUUGUGAUCGUCAUGGGCUCUGCUUCUACCUAUUUGGUGAAAUAGUUGGUUGCCACGAUCAUCAUGCAUUUGCCCUUAGUAGUCUGGCUGGUGAUUAGCUGGGAAUCAGAAUGAAUUGAAAGCUUUUUCACCACCAAGUCUUUUGUCACUCGAAGGCCUGCUAGUGGGGCUUUGUACUCUGCUUCGUUGUUAGGUGCUUUGACGCUUAGAGUGAUCGCUUACUCGAGCAUUGAACCGUCUGGGGUGGCAAGAACCACGGUUACUUAUAAGCCUUUGUAGUUGGAUGCGCCGUCGACAUGCAAAUGCCAGAAAUUUCCAUUGAGGGAGUAGGUAUGGCUAAAGUGUGCUCGGCUACCUUCGAAGCGUCGUUGGGCCGCUUUGUUACAUUGUCAAGGCUAGGUUUGAAGGCGCGGUAGAGAGUCGUGGAGCUGGGGCCAUGUUACAUGUAGCAGGAGAUGCUCAACUUCCGGUAUUAGGCCACUCUAGAGCUGAAUAAUGGAGCAAAGGUCGGCUAGGGUCGUAUGACGCGCAGCAGAAGGUAGUGCUCGACUGCUAGUACAUGUUGCUCUUACGUAGAAUCUUCUGAGGCGACGAGGACAAAACUUGCUUUUAAGUGUUCCUUCUAGUGUUCGUCUGCCCUUGGCGUGUCUUUUGGGCUGAGUUGUUGCGUUCGUCAGAAAACUUUGCAUCUGCCAGGGUUUACGUCUUUAUCAUCACGGGUUUGGAUUAGGCGGAAUAGUGCGUCAUGAUGAUGACUGCGUACAUUUGAAGGUAAAACUUAAGCUUUUGGGUUACAACAACUAUCACCAAAGUUAGCUUUUGAAUUUUUAAUAGCAUCGAGGAGAGCUUUUGAACUAUAAAAUACAUGUAGUUGGGCCCCCAACUCUUCUCGCAUGACGGUACAGCUUAUUUCUACUUUAGAUACCGUCAAACAUGCGAAUAAGUCCUCUGCUGCUUCUAGGGAGGUGAUGUUGGGUACUUCUUCAAGCCCUUGAAUGUGCAUUGGCGAGCCUCAUCCCAAAGUGCAUGCUUCUCUGCCAAAGAAAAAGAGUCUACCAGAGUUAGAUAUUCUUUCAUGAUCAAUUUUCUAAAUAGCGGUGGUCUGCUGGAAGGCCUUUUUGGAAGGCUGCUCUAGCUAUUGAGUCGCUGCAUCCGACUAUCAUUGCCUUCUCUGUUUUGAAUCUCUUCACAUAGUCACGAAGUGACUCCUUUGGGUUCUUUUUUACGUCAAACAAAUGGUCGGACUUCUUUUUGAUCGAGCAAUAAGAUGAAUAUUCUUUGGUGAAAACCAAAGAAAGUUCGUAGAAAUUCUAGAUAGAUUGUGGCGGCAGGGUGUAGAACCAAUCUUGUGCCUCGCCUUCAUAGUGGUGGCGAAUAUCUUGCACAUGAGAUCAUCGUUGUUUCGAUAAAGGAUCAUUGUGCUUCGGUAGCGCUUUAAGUGUCUCUUCGGGUCUUCAUCCCCUUUGAAAGAUAUGAAAUGUUGCAUACUGAACUCGCAUGGAGGCUCUGCCAGCUCGAUCUCAUCCGUGAAGGGUGACCUGCUUAUGUUGGUCAUGUUCCGUCGUAGUGCCUCGUCGGUGACCUUGUUGCGUUAGAAAUCAUGCAAUCGCUUGAUUAAAAGUCUCUCUACUUCUUCCUGAAUUUUCAUUUGUUAGGGUAGCAGAGCUCUCGGCUGCCCCUAGCCAUAACUUACUGGUCUAGGAUGCUCUUCCAUGUGUUUGGCUCGUAUACCGUGGAUGCAGUGUAUGUGGUGCGGUCCUAGUAGGUGAGCGAGUUCUUCGCAGGCUGCUAGUUGAACUUGAGCUGGAUUGAGUGACUACUUCUCUCCGUCCGUCGUGCUGCCUACUCCAAUGUGAGGUGAAAGAUGCUCCUUGCAGGCUUAGCCACGAAUGAACACUUUACCUGGAAGGUUGCUCAUGUUGACUAUCAGAGUAUGACCCUAACCGUGAAUGUAUAUUCACCCGUGGGCUUAGUCGAGAGUGCACGCUCCUCCGCGCGCUAAGACGAGAGUAUACGUUAUCUCGGGAGCCCAAUUGGGAGUGUACACUGCCCGAACGCUCGGCUCGUGGCUGGUCGAGUGGCUGCUUGCCGAAACGCUGCGGGAAAGGUUCGUCUGCCCUUGUCCUACUUCGGGAUACCUUGUUUGGGGCACGUUGGAUUCUGGUGCAUUGCAAAAGUUGAUUCACCAAGGUUGUCUGUUGUGCAAGGGUGCUCGUAAACGCUACGACUUGUCGAGACAAGUGUUGUUCGUCAUUUGGAUUGGAAUAGCUUGGAAGGAAUGUGCCUUCUUGGGCAGUGGAAGGGUGGUAGACUCCGGGCUCGAGAUUUGAGUUGGGAAAUGUCAAAUCUACGAAAAAAUGUGGUGAGAAUGCCCCCGGCUCGAUGGUAGGUCCGGAUGGUUGAGAUAGUCUUGGGCCGACUUGGGCUGCUUGGAAAGCCACGGGAGCAGGCUGGGCCACGAGAGUGAGCUGCUCGGCAGGAGUAGGCUGGGCUACGAGAGUGGGCUGCUCGGCAGGAGCAAACUGCUUGGAGUGUGAUGCACAUGGGUGCGAGGCUUGGGCUCGGCUUGGUAACACAUUGAGUUCGGGUUUGGCUUGGAGUGACAUGACUUGGGCCGUGGCCUUGGUGUCGUGAGCCUUGGAUGGCACGGCUCGGGCAGUGGUAGCUGUGCCAUGGACCUCGCCGCGGGUAGUGGUGACCGUGAUGGCCACCGCGGUGGUUGCCAUGGUGGAGCCCCGUAGUGAUGGUGCCGCUCCUAUGAUCACAUUUAGCCUCGUGGAUCGUCGUGGUCCCAUUUCUUGAAUAUUAGAAUUUUCACUUAUGGAAUUUUCUAAAUUUCUAGCCAUUAUAUUUUUCUUAUACGUUUUAUCAAAGAACCUUUGCAAAUAAAAAAUUCUAAUAAUAAGAACGUAUGAAAAAAUAUUCAAAUGGACUAGAAAAUAGAGAAAAACCUUUUUAUGCGAGAGUCUUCUACGAGUAUAGAUCUCAACUCUCAAUGAAAGCACCAAUUUGUGGAUGCAAAUUUCUUCCUCCUUGAUCCUAGACAAUUUUGCACCUACAAAACAAUUAACACCUUAGGUUAAGGCCAAGAGCCUCACACGCCCACGAUGAAUGGGGGGGCUUUGGCCGAAGAACCUCUGAUGCCAAAGUUAGAAUUUAGAGAGAUAGAGUGUUCAGAGAAUUUUGAGAUUUUUGCCAAAGUGUUGGAAUGGAUUUUUGGUGAGAAUGGGAUCACUUUUAUAGGGAUAGGAAGUGGCCGGCCUAGCUAGGGUUUUUGGGUUUAAUUUAGGUUUAAUUAGUCAAUUUAUUUGGCUAAUUAAACCCUAAAGAAUAAAUUGGUGGUUACAAAAUUGAUUAUUUGUAUAAAUGGGGUAAUAAAAUGGAGAAAGGUGAAAAAGGUUAGGAAAAGGGAGGUGGCCGGCUUCUUAGUGGUUUUAGGUGUGAGUGGGUGUUUUAAUUGAUAAUUAAGGGAUUCAUUAGGUAAUUAAUCAAUUUUUAGGGAAUAUGAAAGGAAAAUAUUAUUUAGCUAAUUGAUUAGCUAAAUAAUGGAAUACAAAAUAUAUAGAACAAAUUAGGUAUUAGGAAUUACCUUAUAGAAAGGAUUUGAUGAAAUAAGCUUUAAAUUGUUACCUAUUUUGGGCACUUUUGACUUGGUUGAGGAUGAUUGUCUGCCGCUCACGCGUAGGAAUCUCGAUAUGCCUCAAGGGUAUUUUUGUUCUCUUUUACCCAAAAAUCCACGUGUCGCCUUGUGAUUAUUUUGGCUCCACAACAACCACGUCAGCAUUUAACAGACCAAUGGAUGGAAAAUCUAACGGAGGUAUUAUUUUGAAAUAAAAUAACAAGUGAGGUAUGAAAGUGAAAUGUUUUAAAGAUGUUGUAUGGGGUUGUAAUAGACCUCAAACUUGAGGGUCCUAUGUAAUUUACCUAUUUUUAUGUUAAUUAUGAAUAGGUCAAUCAUGUAGAACCAAAUUAAAAGCUAACAUCAAUAACAACUACCAGAGACAAAAGCUCUAAUCAAUGCUUCGGAAACAUAGUCUUGUAUCUCUAGGUGUAAUGAUAUAAUUUGUUGGAAACUUAAAAGAAAAUUGGUGAUUUUGUAUAUAAUCGAUAAAAAGUUAUAAUAGUGACAAUAUAUCAGUAAUAUUUAUGUUAAUUAGGAAUAGGUCAAUCAUGUAUUUAAUACUUACAUGCAUUUAAAAUAAACACCUUAUCAAUGUUUUUUUAACUGUGCUCAGUUUUUCUCCUUCGCUUUGGUUUUGUUCUAUUGGAUUUUUCAACUAUCAUUAAUUGUGAACAUAACUGAUCAUUGAGACACAAACAUCCAAGGGAGAGUACCGUGGAACAAAAUGUGGAUAUCUUUAUACAUUGUAUGGUAGUAAACCAUCAUAAACACCAUAAUAAUGUAGAAACGCUCUUGGGGUACCUUUGGAUGAUAACUCAUGUAUUUGUUGCCCUACGUAAAGAUGGCUAAUGAUAAUGGAAGUCUAAUUUUCUCAUCCCAAUCUCUCCUGUCUCUCUUGUUCUCUUUUCUCUAUAGUUUAUUUCCAACAAGUUGUGUUAUUUUUUUUUUUUAGUAUUGUUAAGCAACCAAUAGAUUUUAAUUAGCAGUCUUUGUUUUUUUCUUUUAUAUUUUUAAUCAAUUUCAGUUGCUUAUCCGUUCUAGCAAAUUGAGCUCUUUUACAGCAAUUUUUUUCUUUAAAUGAAAUUAUUAUUAUUAAAAGAGUGAGAAAAUUCGAAAUUAUUACAACAAUUUAAAAAAAAGAAGUUUCGAAUCAUAAACACAGAGGGAGUUUACAACAUUUUAAUUAAGAAAUUAGGCUUCAGCUCAACUCAUCUUUGCAACGUCGGUUCCACUUCACAUCAACAUGCAAUGUUUCAGAAGGUCACGCGGUUUUGGGGUUGUUGUGUACCAAUAAUAUUAUAUAUAUAUAAAUUAGGAUUGAAGGAUACACGCAUUUUGUAGAGCUUAUUUUGUUAUGUAUUUUAAUGAUUUAAAUGCUUACGUUUUUCUUCACUACAAAUGAGUGAAUUAAUGAUUUUAGAAUUUGUCUAAUUUUUUACAUUGAUUAUUUAUGAAUAUUGAAUUGAAAUAUAGACGAUUCAAAAAUCGUUGAUAUACAUUACAAAAUGAACUCCACAAAAUAAGCGUCAAAAUAUGUAUAUAAAAUGGACAGCGUGAAAGGCUUGGAAAUUGGAAUAGGUUUGAAAAUUGUGCUUUUUGUAGCAAAUUGUAGCAAAGUUUGCUUGGACUUUCACAACCGUAUAAAUUAUGCCGCAGCACUCUCUAUUUUCUCUCUCGCUCUAUAUCGUGGUCCCUCUCUCUCGCCGUCCUCGAUUGCUCGAACUCACUAUCCUUUAUUGCUCGAACUCACCGUCCUCAAUUGCUCGAACCCACUGUCCUUUAUUGCUCGAACUCACUGUCUCCAACUUCCUCUGUUUGGUUCCCGAUGAAGAUGGUAAAACAGUAGGGGCAAGAAAUUAUGACAAUGUUAGAUUUGCAUAUUAAUCUGGUAGGGCUACAAUUCUCCAAUCCACACCCCUUCCAUCUAUGCUAGUGUUUGUACCCAAUAUUAGAUAUCCGGUCUGUGCAAUCGAGAUCGUUGAAUGAGAAAAAUUCUAAGCCGUGGGAUCAAAUAUAAUGAUGUGGAUUAAAUAAGAAAAAUUUAAAUGUUUAUCUUGGUUGAAUUACCAUGAUAAUAUUGUGGAAUUAUCUUCUGCAUAACGGGAUAGCGAGAAAAGUCCAAGGGUGUAGGGAAGUUGUGUGGCUGACUACCGCUUUUUUUUAUGGUGUCAUUAGUAGAGUAAUAUCACACUUAACAUUUAUUUGUACCAUCUCUCUAAUAAAGAUAAAGACCAUCAAUGCAUAAAUAAUGAUACAAAUAUAUAAUAAGAGUAUCAUAUUUGUAACUAGAAUAGGAGAAGAAAGACUUCAAGAUGGGGUCAGCCAAAUAAUUAGCGUCAGGAUAAAAAUAUGAGUAAUGAUAUUUGUAAACAUCGAAAUUUCGGUAAAUAAAUGUUGACCGAUAAAUCAAAGUUUCAACGCUCAUGUAUUACAUAAAUUUUACACGUAGCGUAUGUCUAAACAAAAAAUCGAAAUAAGUUGGAAAAGUCAUCAAACAGGACACAUGUCAACACCUGGCAGAAACGACUUAUUUCAUCUGGAAUAUUAUAUUCAAAAUUAGGCAUUGGAAAAUUCUAUAAAUAGAAGCCAAUUUCAUUCAUUUGAAGGAACCAAAAUCAUUAGGCAAAAUUCUUGAAGCUCUGAAGCUCUGAAACUCCGAAACUCUCAAGCAUCCAGGUUCCCGAAGAAUCAAGAAAGCUCUCUUCGUUCUUCGUUCUUCGUUCAUCGUUCAUCCUAAGAUCAAGCUCCAACGGCCCUUUAGAUCAACAAUCAUCCACUAAUUCAAGAUCAAGCCCCGACGGCCCUUGAAGAAAGUGUUCUUCAUUCUUCGUUCAUCGUUCUUCCAAGAUCAAGCCCCAACGGCCCUUUGGAUUAACAAUCAUCCACCAAUUCAAGAUCAAGCCCCAACGGCCCUUGAAGAAAGUGUUCUUCGUUCUUCGUUCAUCGUUCUUCCAAGAUCAAGCCCCAACGGCCCUUUGGAUUAACAAUCAUCCACCAAUUCAAGAUCAAGCCCCAACGGCCCUUGAAGAAAGUGUUCUUCGUUCUUCGUUCAUCGUUCUUCCAAGAUCAAGCCCCGACGGCCCUUGGAUCAACAAUCCACCAAUUCAAGAUCAAGCCCCAAAGACCCUUGAAGAACUUCUACCAAUUCAAGAUCAAGCCCUGACGGCCCUUGAAGAAAGUGUUCAUUGUUCAUCAUCCGUUCAUCCCGAAGAAUCAAGAAAGCCUUAUUCGUUCUUCGUUCAUCGUUCUUCCAAGAUCAAGCCCCGACGGCCCUUGGGUCAACAUCAUCAACAAAUCCACACAUCCAACCGUUCUUCAAGAUCAAGCCCAAAAGCCCUUGAAGAUCCGUUCAUCACCGUUAUUCAAGAUCAAGCCUUAACGGCCCUUGAAGAAACACUCAUCCUCAAGAUCAAGCCCCAACGGCUCCUUGAAGAUCCGCUCAAAUCCACCUUCAAAGAUCAAGCCCACGGCCCCUUGAAGAAACAUCCAACAGUUCAUCCAAGAUCAAGCCUCGACGGCCCUUGGAUCAACGAAACAUCUACAAAUCAACACCUUACGGAGAUCGAAUCAGAUGAUCAAAUUAGAGAGAGAUUGUAACCCUAAAUCAUCAAAAUACAAAUAUUAUUUUGUGCACGUUGUUCUUAUCUCUUUCGUUUCAGGAAAUUUUCGUGUUCACAAUAUUCUUACCAUCUAAAUAUACUAUAAUUUUAUACCAUCUUAUGUGGCAAUUGAGAUGGACUUCCACAUAAGUUUUAAAAAAAUCUCAUGUCAGCUAAGGUGGAUAUUUACGAUUUUACGAUUUUACUCAAUGAUUUUUAUUAAUAAAAUAAUUAAAAAAUAAUAAUGAAACCUACUUGCUCCCGUUUUCAAGCCUCAUCGCUGGGCCUCCUCCCUCUUCGCUCUCCAAUUUCACCUUCCUUCACCAACGAUCGAUGGUGCUCGACCCCCUUCAUCAUUGCCAACUGGCCGAAUAUCUUGAUGGUGCUCCCAGUGAUUGUUUUGCUCUGCCACCAAAUCAAGUUUGCAAUUUUAAUGGUUUAUGCCUUCUGGCCAAGUGUUGGAUUUGAUAGGUUUUUAAUUCCAGCAACAUUGAACAAAAAUAUGAAAAGGAUUGGAUACGAUAUUUUCCUCUGUUCUACUGCUGAGGAUUUUCCGAAUAGAAGAAGAUUUGGAAGACAACCUCUUUUCUUUUUUCUUCAUGGACUUUUGGUUAGCACCAAAAUCUUUUCCUAAUCCUCUAUAGGAAUGAAAAUUUCAUUCCAUGUUAUAUCCCGAUGUUGUCCAAGGUUUUGGCUUGAAUUUUCAUUGGAAUUAUCAUAUGUUGGAUCAGAUCAGGUGGAGAGAUGAAACGUAUCUAACAAGGAAGUUGAACGGGUAGGGUUUGAGCAAAAAUAAACAGAAAUUCCACCUAGGUUGACACCUAAGCUUCCACAUCAUGUGGUAUACUAAAUGUGGUAUAAUAAGAUGGUAAGAAUAGCAUUAUUGAAUGGGUAAUGUUAAGAGAAAUUUUUAGUUGUGACGGGAACACGGAUGGUACACCAUGCGUUUUUAUGUAAAUGGUGGAAAAUUUUAAUUUUUAAAUUAUUAACCUUUUAGCACACAUAUCCCACCAUUUAUAUGAAAACACGUGAUGUAUCACCUCGUGUGAUAGUCACAUUGAAAAAUCUCUCGUAAUGUUAGGAAAACUAAAUUUAUAAACAAAAGUUACAAAUUAAAUGAUGGGUUACCAAUAAGAAUGAUUACGUUUAUCAAUGCUUAAAUAAUAAAUCAUUCAUCAACUUCCAGUCCUUUAGUUUUUAAAAUUUUGUCUAACAUUACCCUUUCAAAACUCAUGAAAAUAAUUUUCAAUUUUUUUAACUGAAAAGUGAAAGUUACUAAACAAGAUUUCAGUUUUUAGCUUUCAAAAAAAUAAAAACAAAAGCUAAAAAUAAAAUGGUUAUCAAACAUCCCUAGAAGUCAUUCUUAGUGAUAGUAAGGUCAUCUCCAACCGAAAGAUCCAGGGGGCUAGAGGGCCGAAAAUAGUCUGAAAACCAUUUCCAAUCAAAGGCCAUGCCAAAGGGGUCGUGGACCCCAUUAGACAAAAAAGGGCCAAAGGGCCAACUGGCUGGCCCCAGUUCCAACAAUAACUAGAUGACGUCAGUUAACCGUUAUUUUUGAAUUUUUUUUUUAACAAAUUUUAACUUUCUAAGCCAUUAAACAACAUUAAAUUAAGUAAAAAAGAAAAUUCCUAUAACUUCCUAAGUCAUUAAACAAUAUUAAAUUAAGUAACAUGAAACAACAUUAAACAAUAUUAAACAAAAUUAAACAAUAUUAAACAACAUUAAAUAACAUUUAACAACAUAAAAAUUAUACAACAUAAAAAAAAACAUUUAAGAACAUAAAAUUUAAAUGCCUACUUCAUGCUUCUUUUGGCCCAAAGAUGUGCAACAAGAUCCUAAUGUAGGUACUUGUUUGUGGCACGAGAGCGUAUCAUCCUAACCGUUAGAUUUGAUUUUUUUUUGUUUUCGGCCAAAUUUUUUUAAAUUUAAAAAUAAAUUAUGUUUGACCUUUUGGCCCUCGAUUGGAGAUAGUUUUUUUUGUGACAUGACUAUGUUUAGCCCUAUGACCCUUUGGCCCUCAGUUAGAGAUGGUAAGAAAUAUGACCCAACAAUGUUCAUUAAAAUAUUAAUUUCUUGAAGAGCCAGAGGGCUAAAACGAGCCAUCCUUCGGUUGGAGAUGGCCUAAGAAGAGACUAGAGAUAGAGAGAUUCCUAUACUUAGCUGUGAGAGUUUCCUAUAUAUGAUUUUCAUUAACAAGAUUGAACUGAUUACAUAGAGAAGAAGAUCAAGUAUGGUUAUUUUUAUUUGGGAGACUUUGGAUGUGGUCCUUAGUUAUGAAUAUUAUUUGAUUGAAAUCUUGUUGGUUUUUAAUUUUUUAUCAAGAUCCCUGAAAUUAAUGUGAUAAUUUAUUUCUAUGUAAGUUACUAUAUUUUUUUAAUUAGAAAUUAGAAAUUUUAGUUGUUUAUAUAAAUGAGAUUUUAAAUUAAAAAAACCAUAAUUUGUGGGAUUAAAAAUAUUAAAAUAUAAAUAUACUAUUGUGUGUGUGUGUGUGUGUGUGUGUGUAUAAAUAUGGGUACAUUCAUCAAAAUUAACCAAAAAAUUUAUUGUAUCAAAACAUGGGUACAUUCUUCAAAAUCACAAAAAAAGAAAGAUAUUAGGCUUAAUAACAUUAGUAAAUUUCUUCGAUUAAACUUGACAUGGAUACAUUUUAAAAUCAAAGAAAAAAAAUGUACCCAUAUAAGUUUAAAAAUGGAUUAGAAAAAAAAAUUGAAUAGAUUUUAUACAAAAAAAGGGUACGUUUUACAUAUAACAAAUUGGUAUAUUUAAGAAUGAGUACAUUUUAAGAUUAAAAAGUUUUACAUGAAUGGGUUCAUAUAAUUAGCAUGGGUACAUUUAGCAAAAUAAAAAGUACAAAUACAAAAAAAUAUAUGUGUACAAAUACAAAUAAACUUUAAAAAAUAUGGGCACAAAAAGAAAUUAAUAUAUGGGUACAAAUUAAAACCGAAAAGAAAAUUGGUACAAGUUAAAAAAGAAUUACAAAUUAAAAAUGGGUACAAACUAAAACUAAAAAUAUAUGAUAAAAAAUUUAGUCAUAAAUAUAAAUAUACUAAUUGUAACAUUUUUAACAUUAAAUGAAUAUAUUUAGACAUAAAAAAUAUAUUUUAUUAUUGAAAUAAUUAAUGAUGUUAUUAAUACCCAAGGACCUUGAUAAAAAAUUGAAAAGAAAUAGAAUUUUAAUCAAUGGAGUAGCAAAAGAAAAGAUGAGAACCUAAUUUCUCCUUUGUAUUGUGUAGACAUUAUAACUAUACAUUCAUAAUAACAUGAGUAAUGUUAUAUUUAUCACAUUUGUACUCUUUCUCCAAUAAAGAUAGGGUCCAUCAACACAUGUGGGUUCUAUUUGCCCAUCAACACAUGCGAAUCUCAUUUUUAUUAGAAAAAUAGUACAAAUAUGAUAUGGAAAUUAUGAUAAGAUCGCAAUUUUGUAAUAACAUAUAUACUCAACUAUUUAUAUACCAACUCAUCUCCCUUUAGUGUAGUUAAUAUUGUUUGUUCAACCAAAAAAAAAAAAACUGAACUUGUCAUAAUCAUUGAAUCCAUUUACCAUGAACAAACGGCAGUUUACUAAACUUGCCCUCAGAGUAUAUAUAAAAGGUGAAUCACAAUCUAUUGCAUUAAUAUAAGGAAACAAUUUAUAGGGUUUGACGGGUGACUUAAUAUGCUAUAUGGCACAAUGAAAAUUAAGUUCACACUUUAUCCCAAAUAAGGUGUUGCACCUUUAAUUUAUGGAUGCUGGUUUGACGUGUGACCGAAAUAAUCAAAUUGUAGCCAUUAAUCAUUUUACAAGUAAUAAUAUGUGGUUUUAUUGUUUACGAUUCACACAACAAUCUGCUAGGAAGUAGAAAAUGCAGUACUUGUCCCUCUCACAGAAGUCAUGAAUAAUUAUCAAAUUCAAAGAUAAAGAAAAACCACACAAUUUACAAGAGGAAAGAAAAUGAAGGGAUAAAGAAAGUAAGAAAGGAAUACCUCUAUGGGAGGACUCUUAUUUGCUUCAGAUGCCUACAAUAUUCAUCAUAUAAACACUGAUUAAGUAGUCAUCGAAAACCAAAACAAAUGUCGAACAUAGGGUGAAAAACAGAAAGAAUAACCGCAGCUCAUCAUACCAAUAGAGAUAGAACUGCCCGAUGCCCAAGUAUGACUGAAAAAUGGCAAUCCAAACAUGGCGCCUUCUAGCUCAUCAAACUGUCAAAACCUAGGUUCCACCAAAAAGAUACAAGUCACCUAGUUACUUGUAAAAUAAAAAUCUGUUUCAAAAUAGUGGAAAAUAUUAUUAACAUUGUUCAAAGUCCACAUUGUUGUACCUACCAAGAAACAAGAAGGAUUGUAUCUUAUCAUGAAAAAGAACAUAGGUACCUUUUCAAUUGUAAUUGUACAAAAAUGAGAGACCACUUCCGAACUUCUCUUGGAACUUCAAUCAAUUUCUGCCCACUUUUAAAUGCCUUGACAUACUUAAGCCUAUUUCUUUGAGCUUCAGUUUUGGCUUCUGAUGCCUUUAAAUUUCUUAAAGAUUCUUACCAAGUUUUACAAACUCACUUCUAUACAACCAUUUGUCAGUAUACAUACCAUUUUCUUUGAGCUUCAGUCUUUGCAACACCAAAACCCCCCAAAUAGACCCGGAAUUUUGCAAUGUGCAGGGAAUAUACAAAAAAAACCCUCCUAUCCAUCUAAAACGAAAUCAGAACGCAAACCACAAUCAAAAUCCGUAAAAUUAAUUUAGCCAACCCCUAAAUCUAAUAAUUCUAACAAAUAUUAUAGUAUCAAUUGAGAGAGAAUUUGAGAAGAUACCUAGAGAUGAAAGGAAGAGCGUUUCCUCUGAUAGGGGUUCCGUGAAAGCAUCUGUUGACCAGAAAAGAAAAGGCAAAAAACCCCAAAUUACAUAUCAAGCAAUUAUAGAUAGAUCGAACCUUGAAAAUUGAAAUUUCAAACAAGAGAAAGGUUAUAAACUUACAACGAUCUGGGUGUUGGUAACUGGGUUUGGAUUUGGGUUUCUGAUAAGAGAGAGAAUCGUAUGAGGAACCGAUAGAGGAACUGCACCGGCAACAGAGAGCAAUUGAUAUGGUGGAGAACAGACGAGAAUAGCUGCUUGGAUGGUCAAUCCAAGAAGAGAAAAUCUUGCCACAAUCGCGGUACUUGAAAAAAAAAAAAACAAGUUUAAAGGAGGGAAACAAUCGCGCCUUUUUCUAAUAGACUCUGUCGACGAUAUUCUUGACAAAUAGAUGCUUCGUCGGGUGAGCUUAUUUUUCACAACAUUUUAUUUAGGAUUGGGUUCGGUUGGUAAACCGUGUCAAAUUUCUUGUGCCACUUGCCAGCCACAUAUACAUAAUUACCGAAAAUCAGUUACCGUUAGCCAACCGUCUUCUUGCGGUUGCCAAAAAUCGGUUCAGCCAAAAUGAUUGGCUGGUUCGGUUGGUAAAUGGCACAACCGGUGGUUUCCACUUCUUCCUCGCUAUCUUCCAGUUCCAAGGGCUCAAUUUGAUUUUCAGAUUGGGAUGCUUGUUCGGUUGCAUUGUGUGGUUCAUUUUGGGUUAAUCCAUGUUGUGCACUAGUAGUUGAUUGGCUAGACUCCAUUAUCCUAAACAUAAGCAACAAAUAUACAUUCAAAAUAAUAUAUAUGUACGUGUAUAUAUAGUAUCAGUAAUCAUCAUGCUAUCAAUUUUGUUAACAAUAUUUUCUAUAUAUUGAUUUUGGCAUGAAUCAUAUACACAUACAUAUAUUUUUAAAACCCUAAAACUAAGGAGUCAUUUAUUUUCUAAACUCUAAAAUUGAGGAGUCAAGCAUGUAAAAAAAUACUUAAAAUAUCUAAAUAGAAAAAGAAAAAGAAAAAAAAAUAAAUAUAUAUAUAUAUCGGUAGGUAUGGCAUACCGCCGGCAUACAAAAUCAAUUACCAAAGCCAUGCCAUUAAUUGUCGGUUCGGUAAAAUGCCAACCGAUUAUGAAAAAAUGUCAAAACUAUACCAUACCAUUUUGAGCCAACCAGUAUGGUUUGGUCAGUAAAUCGGUUUAUGGCAAAAUUUCUCACCCCUAAUUUUAUUUGUCACCUUAAACCUAUUGGUUUCUAGCCUACAAUUCGGAUAUUUUGUUGGGGAAAGAUUUUUGUACCAAUAAAAUUUUGCUUUGUCGGCAAAAUGACAUUUUCUAGUAGUUAUAAUAUUAGGUAGAUCAAAUUUGUAAACUAUGUGAUGUGUCACUAAUAGGAAAAAAUUUCAGUGUGCUGAAAAUACGGUCUAGAACACCAAGUGUCAUAAUAUAUACUUGGUUGGAAAUCUUUUAUUUUCAAGUUUCCAACUAGUUGUAUUGUAACAGUUGGUGUUCCAAGCUAUUUUCUCCAUGCGCUGGAAAAUCUCUUCACUAAUUAAAAAUAAACAUAUUAAUUAACACUUAAGUAAUAAUCAAAGCAUCAACAACUACGUCAUAGAAUUUACGAAAUAUGAUCUUAAUUAAUGAUCUCCAUUACCCUUUAUCUUAGCGUAUACGUACGCCUUCACAUGUUUAUUUGCUGAUAUGCAGCUUGAGUAAAAAUUUCUUUUUAAGAACAUAUAUGUGAAUAUAAACAUAUAUAUCUAGUGAUCCAUGUUGCGUUAUUUAAAAAUAAACAAAUUAAUUAAUUAAUGAACUGUGUACCUGUCUGUGUAGAGUAAUCCAUAUGCAUGCUUGAAUCCUGAUCACCACGAAACCAUAAUAUAAGCUACUCAAGGCCCGGAAGCUAGGAUUGAAGAGAAAAACACCCAGUCAGAUUAAGCCAAUACAUCAAAGUUAAUACUUCCAAAUGUAAGCUUUAAGAUAGAAAAAUCACUUACUUCCUUGAGCAGUCGAGCUUCUUCAAUGGCAUGAAGCUUUUAGCAUGAGAUUGACUGCAUCACAACUAAAAUUUUCUCUUGGAAACUACAUAAGGAAUAGCAUGUAUACCUAUAACGUUGAGAAAGUACGCCAAUUUUUUCCUUCUGCACAUUCAUGUUUAAAAGUAAUCCUCAAAUGAACUUGCCCACAAUGAAAUGCAAUUUGAGGUAGUCGAGUGUGUUCCAUUUCCAUCCCAUCGGAAUUACUACUAAACUUUGAGAUGGUAGAGGAUUCAUGAAAUUUUUUACUUUUGAAAUAGUCUCCUUAGCAUUUCUCGACUAUAACAAUGAGGAAAUACUUCACCUUGUAUCAAACAAGGGAGACCGAAAAUCAACUACUAAUAGCAUCACAGAGCCAGCAGAAGAUUGAGGAGGCCAUGAAAAGGAAAGAGAAAAUACACUCUUUUUUUGUAAGGACAGAGAUAAUACAUUCAAUAAAGGGUACUGAUGUUUAUAUGCAAAGCUGAUUAGGUUUAAAUAGUCGUAUUUAUUCUGUACAGUGCCAAUAUUACCACCCGUUAGUACACUUUCAAGACACUGUAAUCCAGUGUAUGCACUAUGCAGUACGUAGUACUCCUCAUUUUUUUGGGGAAAUUCAUUAUUGGUCUUCAUAUCUUCUUUAUUUUCCUUGUCCUCAUUGUGCCACGUGUUUAAAUCACUAAUUAUAGGUAAUCUUUCAAUUUAAUUAAAUCUUAUGUAAAAAAAGAUAAUUAAAUAUCAUUUAGUAUUACAAUAUAGUGAUAUUCCUCUUUAGUAUAAAAUUUUUAUAAUUAAAAGCGUUCAGCUUUUUAAUCUUCAUUGGAAUAUUAUCUAUAAAGAAAAAUUAUUCGAAUCAGAGAUCAUUUAUGCAUUCAAAUGUAUAAAAUACAUCGACAGUGUGAGAACCAACUAAUAUAUUUUUGAUGAAGUACAAUUAUUGAAUACAUUUGAACGAUCAAAUGAUAUAUGAUUCAAAAUACAUAUUAAGAUAAUAAAUAUAAAAGAAUUGUUAUUUGCACUUCAAGAAUCUCAUUCUACACUCUAAAUUUUCUAUAUAUUAAAAGAAAAAUAAAUUUGUGAAAAGUGUAGAAUGAGGUUUUUUUAAAUGCUAAUAACACUUCUCUAAAUACAAUUAUGAAAUUAAUUAAGUAAAGAUACAUGACCUCGUGAAUGAUGAAUGUAUUAUUCAAAAAAAUAUUAAAAACAAAUUGAAAAAGGACGCUGUUGUUGCCACCACUUAUGCAAUGAUCGUCGCUGCCAUCACCAACCCCCAACACCCCAUUACAGCUCAUAAAAGCACAUCAUAAGCAAUUUAUGAAAUAAAUUUACUGGAAUACUAAUUUCCCCCUUAGUUUAGGUCACCAAUGUUUAAAUUUAGGGAUCGUGAUAUCCACACACAUUUUUUACUUCUUUCACACUUUUUUUUUCGGUUGUCGGAUCAGAUGAAUUGAAGAAAAUCAAUGAACAGAAAUUAACAAGGGGUGUGUGAGAAGUAAAAAUGAAUGUGUGGAUAACACACCCCUAAAUUUAUCACAACUUUCAUUCCAAAUUUAAUUUUUAUCCGUAGUUUUGUUUGUUCAAAUUUACUUUGACAUUUCCAUUAGUAUUAAAAUCUAAUUUAAAUUUUAGUGUUCAAGCUAGAAAAAGUGUUCCAUUUAAUAUUUAAUCUCAGUUUUUCUCUUUAUUCUUUUAUUGGGAUUUGGUUGCAUCGUAUCUCCAUUUUUCUCGGUGUUGUAUGUUCAUAAGGCCUGUGAAACGUUGGCACGGAGUGAAGGGUACUCACUUUUUGGCCCAAAAUGCAUAAGGCAUGUAGAUAUGUUAAUCAAAUUUUGUAAACUAAAGGAUAUAGAAGUUGAUAAUUAGAUUAUAAUUUAAGAUAAUACUAAGGAGACUAAAUUUGCAAACUAAAUGAUGUGUCACCAAUAAAAAUAAGCACGUUUAUCAACAAUUAAGUAAUAAAUCAAUCAUCAACUUUCAUGUCCUUUAGUUUCCAAGAUUUAAUAUACAAAUUUAGUCUCCCAAGCAUUACUCUAUUACUUAAGUAUUGAUUAACAGACUUAUUUCUUAUGGUGACACAUUAUUUAGUUUACAAUUUUAGUCUACCCAACAUUACUCUUUUGAAAUUGUCUUGUCCACUGAUAUAAUUCUAUUUUUCUUGUGAUCAAAACUUCAAAUGUUAGCAAGUCGCACGUAAAGUCGCUUAUGAGAGAAUGUGCUCACAUUGUAGUUGAAAGAUUAUGUGGCUAGCAACAUUACAAAUUUAAUUUGGUAUAAUUCUAAAAUAUAGAUUGAGGAAAAAAUGAUCACAUUAACUAGAAACUGAAAAGGUUUCAGCACAGUUUGUUCAAGCAAGAAAUUCAAUUUUGAUGCUACCGAUCUUAACAGCCUGAGCGCCGUACCUGGGCACCAAAGUCACCACCACACUCUCAUCAUCUUCAGCACCCAAAUCCUCCAACAGGUCCGUUAACCCCAACCUUAAACAACUCUUGCUCUUUUCCUUCUGCUUAUGUGGCACACUCACAAAACUCCCAGCAAACUCGCUCUUGUCGGGUCCACUCGGUGCCGCAUCCUCAUCGUCCACGUCAUUCACAUACACACAUCAAACUUCACAGCCACAUCUUUGUCAAGCUCAAUCCCCUGAAUCACCAAUAUCUCCUCCUCAUCCUCUUUCUCCUUCUUGCUCCUCUUCUUCGGCUUCGGCCUUGACACCACCGUACUUAUCUUCGUCUCCAAAUUUAUUGGAAAAUCUUUACCCGCCACCACCUUCCCUGAUGACGUCGUCUCAGUGGCCUUCGCCACUCCAGCCGCCUUUGCCUUUCUCGCAAGCUUUGUCCGACGUGGCGUCGGUCUAGACUUGAGCCAUGGAAUCUCAACAUCUUCAUACGUAUACCCUAGCUUUUUAUUAUCAAGAGUGUCCCUCACCGUGACCCUAACAAGCUCAGCAUUCUCGUCAUAAAACAAAAACCCCGUAUCCAACCAAUCCUUAUCGUUAAUAUCGUUAUUUUUAGUCCCUAUACUUUUCCAAAUAUUCCACAUUCGAUCUAUAUUCGAAUGGUGCGAAAAAAAUAUUGGAUCCCUUGCAGCGGAGUAAAAAUUCCCCAUGUCUUCAAAAUUAGGCUGCGUGUUAUCUCCGGUCCAUAAAUGAACCGGACCAUGUGGGGUCGUUUCGAUUGAACCGCCCCCUGGAUCUGGUUCAGUGUCAGCCCUGUAGGGCGAACCAAAGAACAACAGCGGUUUCUUGGAGUUGGAAACCAUCUGCCUAUACAUGAUUUUGAGGUUGGCGUCGAUUUGAGCAUCCUUGGACAUUGUUUCAUCCGUGCCGUUGAAGUCAAGAUCGAUGAGAGUCGGCGGCUGAUGGCUGGCAGCGCGGAGCUCGUCGUAAAGCGGAGAGUCCGGGUUAGCGAACAAGGCAGGGAGUUGCAUGCCAGCUGGCGCGUCCCAGUUCCAAAACGGCAACGCGAACGUCGGAUCGUCUAUGAGUUUGGCCAAGAUUCUUUCGUAGAAGUAUACGUAGUAACGAUGGAAGGGGAAGAAAAGCCAGCAUUGAUGGAUUUGGAGCUCGAGGUUGGGGAAGCCGACUUGGUCGUACGCGCCGUCGCAAUAGGCACAGUGGAGAUCGGCUUGCUGGGUGAAGCUACGCGGAUCGUCGUCCGGGAGGGCUUUCAUGAGCUCGAUGGCUUUUGAAUAUUUUUCGAUGUAGGCUUUAUCCACGGUGUGAGCUGCCGGCCUGACGCGGAGUUUGGUAGGGGAGGGGAAUUUGAAGUCUACGAUUUUUUGGGACGUUGGCGGGCAACAGUUGAUCGGGACUGCUCCACUUGGAAAGUCCGCAGCUCCGCAUUUGGCUAGGUCAGGCGGCAACACUGGCUUUGCAACAGCGAAGGGGUCGCUGCCAAGACCAGCCACUCCGGCUUUGCAACAGCGAAGGGGUCGCUGCCAAGACCAGCCACUCCACCGUAGAGGCUUCCGAGACCUAUAAGAAGAUAGAAUUCAGUUCUUGGCAGUAGAGGACUCUAUUGCAGGGAAAAACUGAUUUGAAUUAGGAAGGCUUAAGUAGUUUUCCAUAAGGAUUUUAAUAGGGAAUCCAUAUUCUAAUAUGAGAAGGAUAUGUGUGUACAUAUAUAUAUAUAUAUAUGGCAAUCUCUUCUCUCACAGGUGUGUGCUCUUUUGGAACUAAGCCCUAUUCUUAGUUUGAGUGAUAAAUACCCUGACAGAGAGAAGAAGAAUUGAUGUGCUUUUCAGGUUGAUCGAGAUCCACCAUGACUGCAUCAAACGGGAGUUCUACAGGUUAGUAUAAUUAGGUUUUAUUUGGAUUGAUGUUUUGUGUCUACUUGGUUGUAGUUUAAGUAACUGAAUCUUGCAGCUAGAUUUUGGUUUACAUGUGGUAUCAGAGCCAUAGAUUCAUGUUCUUAAAUUCAAUCGAUAAAAUUGAUUGAAUCCAAAAUAAAAUUCCGAUCUUCAGACUUCGAAACAGGUUCUGGUAGUUAAAAUUAGGAAAAGAAGAAACGGUGCGUUUUGAUUAAAAUAUGAUGAUUAAUACUUGACCGUUAAGAGCUAAUAAACUAUCUUCUCUUCCGAAUUGGGAAUACAAAUCGACAUCUAUCGAUUUCGAUUUCGGGGUUUGAAAAACUGGGUUAUAUGACAUCUAUCGAUUUCGAUUUCGAGGUUUGAAAAACUGGGUUAUAUGAAUUGUUAUUGAGUAUCCACAAUUUAUAUUAAUUGCUUCCGCUGCUGGGUGUUGAUGCUCAUAGAACAAACGGGUAUGUCUCCUGAACAUUGAAUUGAAAUUUGUUUUUUAAUCAAUCUUAUCUUGAAUUUCAUUAUGUUCUACAGCAUGAUUCGAAUAGUGAGCAUAAAAAUAUGCUUAUUUAUGCUGAUUAGUCCUAUGUUUAUGCGUUUUUCUCUAACCAUCUAUGGAAGGGAGUUCUUCGAUAAGAACCUCUGCAGAUUUCACUUGUUUUAUGCAGAAAGUUUUAUGAAGAACUGUUCAUUUGAUAAAGAUCUGCUAAAACUGUGUUCUUAAAUGGAAAAAUCUUUUAUUCUAUAUGUGCUUAUCAAUUCUUCAUUGUUAAGAUUAUAUAUAUGGAUAAAAGGUUUUGAUGAUAUGAUGUACAAAGGAUUGUGAGAUGAAAUCUGGAACUCUAAACGUUCUUCUGUGAUUCAUUGUGAUUUCAUUGUGCUACAGUGUCUGCAAUAUCAAUGAAGACUCUGAAUUUGGCUAACAUCCCAAUUCUUACUGGUGGGGGAAAUUACAAGAAGUGGAGAAGGGAAAUCAGUUUGCUGUUGACUCUAAACGAGUUUGAUAUAGCAAUCGAGAAUCCCAAACCCGUGGUCAAUGAUCAGAGCAGCACAAGGGCUGAAAAGGCAGAUUUUGAGAGAUGGACAAGGGCUAAUAAGGUAGCAUUGUCCAUCCUUGAGAGUGGCAUGACUGAUACAAUCAGAUGAGGAAUUAAGAAGCACGAUUUGGCUGCUGAUUACCUAAAAGCUAUUGAAAAGAAAUUUCAAGAAUCUGAAAAAGCUGAAGUGAGUCAGUAUAUGUCUUUAUUAACUACUUACAAGAUGGAGGGUACAAGCUCUAUAAGGGAUCACAUAAUGAAGAUGACAUAUGCUGCAGAAAGACUCAAUGCAAUGGAUAUAAACAUAGGUGAAAAGCAGUUAGUAUUCAUGAUUCUUCAAGCACUUCCCAGUAAAUAUAGUCAGUUGAAGAUCUCCUACAAUACUCAAGACAAAAACUGGGAUAUUGAUCAGUUGAUUGCACAGUGUGUGCAAGAAGAAACUCGUCAAAAACAAGAAAGAGGCAAAGAAGUUGAGGACAUCAACUUUGUGCAAACUAUAAAUGACAAAAAGCAGUUCAACAACAGAAGCUUUUCUGGUUCUGGUAAGAGUUCUAAGCCUUUUAAAACUUCUAAUAAGUUCAGUAAUUCUGCUAAAGUAGUUGACUCCCCUAGAAAAUCUAUCAAGUUUAAAGCUAAACCUAAAGAUGUGUCUAAAUUAAAAAUGUUUUUGGUGCAAAACUAAGGGCCAUUUAAAAGUUAACUGUGAAAUUUUCAAAGAUUAUGUAAAGAGCAAAGAAAAGGAACAAGUACUUGUCUGUAUUGAAUCAAAUUUGUGAAGUAUACCUGUUGAUUCUUGGUGGUUUUGAUAUACCGGAUGCUCAGUGCAUAUAACUAAUUCUUUAAAUGGUUUUCAAAAACAAAAGGAAUUUGGAAAUGCUACAUAUAAUGUUUUUGUUGGGGAAGGAACUAAAGUUGCAGUAGAGUCAAUUGGGAUAGUCAAAUUAGUCUUAUGUUCUGGUUAUGUUUUAGAGUUGAAAGAUGUGUGCUAUAUGUGCCUAAGAUGAGAAGAAACUUAAUUUCUGCCCUCUAAAAUUGUAAAAGAUGGUUUUUCUUUUCUUGGUGAUGAUGAGUGCCUCAAAAAUUUUCAAGAAAAACUGUCCUUGUCCUAACACUAUUUUAGGGACUGCUUUUUUGUCUGAUAAUUUAUGGAAUCUAAAUUGCACUGUUAAGGCACUCAAUCACACGAUUUUCAGCAUUAGUACUAAGAGAAUGAUAGGUCAGGAUACUUCAUACAUUUUAUGGCACAAAAGACUAGGACACAUCUCUAAAGAAAGGAUAAUUAAGCUGUAAAAAACUGACUUGAUUCCAAAAUUAGAUCUUUCUACUGCAACUGAAUGUGUUGACUGCCUAAAGGGUAAAAUGACCAAUUUUAGAAAAACAGAUGCCAAAAUGAGCCAGGGGUUACUUGAAAUCAUACACACUGAUAUCUGUGGUCCUUUUCCAGUUAAGACAAUAUGUGGAAACAAGUAUUUCAUUAAUUUCAUAGAUGAUUUUUCAAGGCUGGGAUAUACCUUUCUGAUUAAUGAAAAAGCUGAUGCCCUUAAGUGUUUUAUAAUUUACAAAACUGAGGUUGAAAAACAGUUAGGCAAGGUUAUUAAAAUUGUUAGAUCGGAUAGGGGAGGUGAAUACUUUGGCAGGUACACUGAAUCCGGGCAGCAAAAGGGACCAUUUGCUCUCUAUCUCGAGAAGAAUGGUAUUGUGGCGCAGUACACCACACCUGGAACGCCUCAACAGAAUGGUGUUUUUGAAAGAAGAAACAGGACUCUUAUUGGUAUGGUUAGAAGCAUGAUGUCCAGAUCAAAAUUGCCAGGAUUCUUGUGGGGAGAAGCUUUGAAAACAGCUAAUCAUAUAUUGAAUCGAGUUCCAAGCAAGGCAGUAUCUACCACACCCUAUGAGUUAUGGCAUGGGAGAGUUCCUAGUUUUACUUAUUUCCAUGUUUGGGGUUGUAAAGCAGAAGCUAAGUUAUAUAAUCCUAAUGAAAGAAAGCUGGAUUCAAGGACUCAGUCAUGUUAUUUUAUUGGCUAUCCUGAGAAAUCAAAAGGAUACAGGUUCUAUAUCCCUCAAGGUCACACUCGGAUCCAAGAGACACACAAUGCAGUUUUCCUAGAAGAUGAAGAUGUCUCUCAUUUGUCAAGGGAAAAUUUCAUAUUUGAAGAGAUGCAUUCAGAUGGUGGGGACCAUGUGACAAUGGAUUAUAAUAUCGGUCUCAUUGUUUCCCAAUCAAUCAUCAAUUGCCAUUGAAGAUAUGAGUGAAGAUUUAGGAGUUCCUGAUGACAACUCUGUAGGAGUUGAUUCCACAACAUAAGCUGCAACAAUUCCUUUUGCAGAAGCAUGUGAACCAGUUGCUGUUCCACCUCCAGUUGAAAUCAGAAGGUCACAAAGAGCUCGGAAAACCACUGCAAGCAAUGACUAUGUGUACUUAUAAGAGACUGAGUUCGAUAUUGGUGACAUUUGAUGAUCCUCUUACAUAUACUCAGGCAACUGAAAGUCCUCAAGCAGUUCUUUGGAACAAUGCAAUGAAGGAUGAGUUAGAUUCAAUGUCCAAAAACCAGGUUUGGACAUUGGUGGAAUCCAACUCUGAAAUUAGGCCAAUAGGCUGCAAGUGGGUAUAUAAAACCAAAAGGGAUGCUGCUGGAAGAAUUGAAAGAUAUAAAGCAAGGUUGGUUGCUAAGGGGUUUACUCAAACGGAGGGGAUCGACUAUAAUGAUACUUUCUCUCCAGUUUCCUCCAAAGACUCCAUGCGAGUUAUCAUGUCUUUAGCUGCCUACUUCGAUCUUGAAUUACAUCAAAUGGAUGUAAAAACCGCUUUUCUUAACGGAGACUUACAAGAGGCUAUAUACAUGAAACAACCUGUUGGAUUUGUUGAAAAGGGGAAAGAGAAUUUAGUAUGCAAGCUCAAUAAGUCCAUAUACGGCUUGAAACAAGCAUCAAGGCAAUGGUACCUAAAGUUUGAUCAAAUUGUCUCUGCAUAAGGUUUUGUAGAAAACAAACUGGAUGAUUGUAUAUACAUUAAGUUCUCAGGUUCCGAGUUCAUCUUCUUAGUACUUUAUGUUGAUGCCAUUCUCCUAGCUAGUUCAUGUCCCCAAUUGCUUCAUAGCAUUAAGAGAAUGCUAAGUGAUAACUUUGAGAUGAAAGAUCUUGGAGAAGCACAUUAUGUACUAGGAAUAGAGAUUGUUCGAGAUAGGAAAAUGAGGCUCCUUGGUUUAUCUCAAAAGGGGUACAUUGACAGAGUGUUGGAGAAAUUUCAUAUGGCAAAUUGCAAUUGUGGUCAGGUUCCAGUCAAUAAAGGUGACAAGUUUUCGAAGAUUCAAUGUCCAAGAUCUGAUUUGGAGGUGAAGAAAAUGCAAGCUAAGCCUUAUGCCUCGUUGAUUGGAAGUCUUAUGUAUGCAACUAUCUGUACAAGGCCUGAUAUUGCCUUCAUAGUUGGUAUGCUAAGACGAUUUCAAGCAAAUCCUGAGAAGCACAUUGGGGGUGGCAGCCAAGAAGGUUCUUCGAUACUUGCAGAGAACCAAAACUCACAUGUUAGUAUAAUGGCCGAACUGAUUCUUUGGAGCUCAGGGGGUAUAUACUCGGAUUUAGCUGGAGAUGUGGAUGACAGGAAGUCCACAGGGGUUAUAUCUUCAUACUCAAUGGAGGGGCAGUUUCGUGGAAAAAUGCAAAGCAAACUAUUAUAGCCACAUCAACUAUGGAAGCUGAGUUUGUAGCCUGUUUUGAAGGCAUGAAACAGGCAGCAUGGUUGAAGAAUUUUUUGACAGAUUUAAAGAUUGUGAAUUCGGUUCAGAAACCAGUAACAAUGUUCUGUGAUAAACAACUCGGCUGUGUUUUUUGCUAAGAAUAAUAAAAGGACUUCAGCAUCUAGAUUUGGAUGGACGAAGUUUCUUAAGGUCAGAGAACAAGUCAAGAAAGGAGUUAUUGAAGUACAGCACAUUAGCACUACUAUGAUGAUUGCUGAUCCCUUGACUAAGGCACUGCCAAUUGGAGAAUUCAAGAAACAUGUUUCUUCAAUAGGAGUACUAGAAGGUUUUGAUCAGUGGGAGUAAUCACGUGUGUGUUAAAGGCUUGGGAUUGCAGAAGCAGAAGUAUAUAUGUGUUUCAAGAACUGUAUGUGCAAUUCUGACAAGCUGAACUAAGGAUGCUUUAUGUUUUAACUUGCUUUAGUUAGUUUGUUAAGGUUGUUUGUGUUUUAAUAAGUGUCCUUGUCUGCUACUCAAUACUUUGGCUUUCAGGUGUUGAGGUACGGAUACUGGACUGAGUUAGAAUUUAGUUUCAUUAGUAACUUUGAAAGAACAGUUUGUCUGUUUUUUAAGUUUGUGGUUAAUGAUGUUAUAUAGUCAAUUACUAUGUUGCUUUUCUGUGAAGAUUAAUGUGUGUUGUGAUCUUUUGAAAAGUGGGAGCAUAAUGUUUGACGGUUUAUGUUAGUCAUGAGUCAUAUUUACAAAUUGAAUAUAUGUGAGCCUUGAAUUAAUACUACAAUUUGGUUGUGGUCUGAGAUUCUUGGUUUCUAUAUUUUGAGAUGUAAUGGGACAGUGGUCAUGAUGGUUAAAUCUUAGAUGAGGUUAUGUGAUCACUUCUUAUGAUUGGUGACGGCAAGGUUUGAUCUUUGUCUCAUGUUCAAGUGGGAGAAUGUAAGAAUGUGAACAUGAGAUAAGAUGAUCGGAUAUUAGUUGUUUGAGUCCAAUCCGAAUAAGAAAGCCUCUAAGAAGAUGGAAUUCAGUUCUUGGCAGUAGAGGACUCUAUUGCAGGGAAAAACUGAUUUGAAUUAGGAAGGCUUAAGUAGUUUUCCAUAAGGAUUUUAAUAGGGAAUCCAUAUUCUAAUAUGAGAAGGAUAUGUGUGUACAUAUAUAUAUAUAUAUGGCAAUCUCUUCUCUCACAGGUGUGUGCUCUUUUGGAACUAAGCCCUAUUCUUAGUUUGAGUGAUAAAUACCCUGACAGAGAGAAGAAGAAUUGUUGUGCUUUUCAGGUUGAUCGAGAUCCACCAUGACUGCAUCAAACGGGAGUUCUACAGGUUAGUAUAAUUAGGUUUAUUUGGAUUGAUGUUUUGUGUCUACUUGGUUGUAGUUUAAGUAACUGAAUCUUGCAGCUAGAUUUUGGUUUACAUAUUUUUCGAUGUAGGCUUUAUCCACGGUGUGAGCUGCCGGCCUGACGCGGAGUUUGGUAGGGGAGGGGAAUUUGAAGUCUACGAUUUUUUGGGACGUUGGCGGGCAACAGUUGGUCGGGACUGCUCCACUUGGAAAGUCCGCAGCUCCGCAUUUGGCUAGGUCAGGCGGCAACACUGGCUUUGCAACAGCGAAGGGGUCGCUGCCAAGACCAACCACUCCGGCUUUGCAACAGCGAAGGGGUCGCUGCCAAGACCAGCCACUCCACCGUAGAGGCUUCCGAGACCUAUAAGUACAUUUCUUCUGUCUAGGUUUACUAGAGAAGGGUUUUCAUGGUCGUGAUCGUUGGAGCUAGUGGAAGGGUUUUUGUUUUGGUCACUACUAUUAUUUGUGGCUUUGCACGAGACAGCUUGUAAAUUGGAAUGCCUAGGGUUUCCAAAUGAGGAUAUUCGGUGAUACUUUUGGGAGAAAGGGGAGAGAGAAGUUGUGGGGAUGAUACUUGUGGCGGAGGUGACGAGUGGAGCUGACAUAGAAGCCAUGGUACUUGACUCUGAAUAAUACGUUGUAUUGGCUUUGCUUUUAUAAUGUGUUCUAGGUUUUACGUUUCUUUGCACGGGUGGCAGGCCGUACACACGUGGUCGGUCCUUAAGGGUUUGACGAGGAAUACUACGCAGUCAUUUAGUACAUGACAACCAUACACUAUAGCACGUGGCAUGUAUUUAGAGAUCGAGAGAGAAUUGGGUAAGGUUCACGAGGGAUUGUAGUUUCAGAAGGUGAAUUGGUUUUGGUCUUCUUGUGUACCAAUAAUUUUUACUUAGUCAUUUAGUGCAGGACAACCAUGCACUAUAGCACGUGGCAUGUAUUCAGAGAUCGAGAGAGAAUUGGUUGGGUAAGGUUCACGAGGGAUUGUAGUUUCAGAAGUUCAAGCGGUUUUGGGCUUGUUGUGUACGGCUGUGGGUCUGCUGUCACGGACUCUCUGUCUCAUUUGUGUCUUAUUUUUUAUUUUUUGACACGUUUUAACGUCAAAUCAUUAUAGCAAUGUUAUGCAAUUGGGAGCUAAAUGACCGAUGCUCUUAUUUUUUAGUUUGCUUUUUUUCCAGAUCUGAUCAAAUCAUGAUAGCAAUGUUAUGCAAUUUUCAAGAGGGAGAGAUGCACCUGGGAGAGAAACGGUACGGUGACUUCUAAAUCACCGUCCAACAGAACAAUUCUCAGUAGAGACUACUAGAGAGAGAUGCACCUCACCAAUGAAAAAUUUAACUGCAAAAAUUCUGGGUAUCGGGAGUUGUGGGGUGGGUCUUGGCAGUUUUCUUAUUUCUUUGAAUUUUUUAUAAUUUAUUUUAUAAAAGUAACAGUGUUUUGUGGGGGUUAAAUUGUAAAACACGUGUCAUCAAACUAAAUAAAGAGACACCAAAGAGACAUGGAAUUCGGGACAACAGACCCACAGCCGUUGUGUACGGAGGCAGACUCUCUGCUCUCCUACUUUCUGUGUCCUCCUGUUUUGUGUAGUCACGAUUAAAUCACGUCAAUAUUUUAUAUUAUUAUUUUAUAGAUAUAAUAAGACAAAAAAGAAUAGUAAUUUAAAAUAUUAACGUGACUUAACUGUGACCACACGAAUAGGAAGGCAUGAGAAGUGGGAAGGCAAAGAAUAUGCCUCCGUUGUGUACCAAUAAUAUUAUAUAUAUAUAUAUAUAUAUAUAUAUAAUUAGGAUUGAAGGAUGUAGAGCUUAUUUUGUUAUGUAUUCUAACAAUUUAAGUGCUUAUCUUUUAGGUUUUCUCUUAAACAGCAUGCCUAUAAAAAAUCACCAAAAUUCAAACCAUAUGACCAUUAGAUCCAUAGUCAUUUUAGUGUUAAAUGAACUUCACAAAAUAAGUCUCAAAAUAUGUAUAAAAAAUGGACAGCGUGAAUGGUUUGGAAAUUGGAAUAGGUUUGGAAAUUGUGCUUUUUGUAGCAAAUUGCAGCAAAGUUUGCUUGGACUUUCACAACCGUAUAAAUUAAACUGUUCGCUUUGUUGGGAAAAACAAGUUUGCCGCUGGUCUUGGGUUCCAAGAUCGGCCAAUUUGACGGCACACUUUUUGGCGUUGAGAAGCAGUACGGAGAUGUGCAGAUUAACUUGGAUUGAUACUCCUCCAUCUUCGUUGGUUCGUGUAUUGAACAAAGAUGGCCUUCCUUGCCCUCCUUAAUAUUUUUUGUUCUUCCUGCAGUGGAGGCGGUGACGCCUUGCUCUUGGUGCAGCGUCUAGUGUUCUGUACCCUCCUCUUCUGCAUAUGUUUGUAUUUCCCCUCGUUGCCCCUUCUAAGUGGGCUUCCUAUUGUUUUGGCUUCGGCCCUGGUUAUGAAAUAUUUCCAAUCUUACCCAAAAAAAAAAAAAAAAAGAAGAAGAAGAAGAAGUCAAGCACGGUGGGAGACUGGUCAUAGUUUCUAGAUUGAUGCUCUAAUUCUAAUGUUAUACAACGCGUACGCUAAAAUAUUUUUAUCAAAAUAUUAGUUUUAGUGUUAUCAAAACAAUAAUGUUAUUCUUACCAUGUUUUUGUAUCACAAUUAUAUACCACCUUAGAUGGCAUAUGAUGUAGAUAGCCACAUCAUUUAAAUUAAUAAGCAUUUAAUUUCAAAUGUUAAUCAAUAAUUAAUAAAAUGAUUGUUAAUUAAAUGAUGAUUAUGGUAUACAAGGAGUCUCCUUCUUCCUUCCCCUUUCCAUUCUGCUUUUUCUUCCUACCACUUUCUGUUUUUUUUUUCAUGCCAGUUUUUGUAUUGAUUUCUAUUGAUUUCCAUGAUUAUGGUCAAUCUUUAUAGAAUUUACUCGUAUACCACAACCACCAUUGAUUUCUAUCUCUAGACUCAUGCCCCGUAGCCCUAAUCCUCAUUCCCCUUCAAGUAUUUCUGUCUCCAAUCUUCUUUGGUACUCCAUGGUUGUUCAUCUCGUGAUUUUUUUUUAUUAUUUCAUUAAGUAACGCCUAUUAGCUUUCAUGCGAAUUAGGAGUCAAAAUCAAAUUUGUCUAUCGGAUUAGGGUUCAUGCCCAAUUAAGUUACUAACGCAAGAGAGAUUUUGAAGUCUACAAUUUUCCUUAUUUAAGUGUUUUAAUUAAUAAGAAAAUUGAAAUUAAACGAUUUAGCUUGUCCAACUCAUCUGCCACCUAAGAUGGUAAAUAAAUGUGGUAAGAAUAGCAUUACUCUUAUCGAAAUUACAAAAAAAAAAAAAAAAAAAAAAAAAAGCUGAUUCAAUAUUUAGUUAUUAAAAAAAAUAUAAAAAAAGUGAUCAAGUAACUAUCCAAUACCCAUGUAUUGGGUGCUUUGUUUGAAAAUUUUCAAAAUGAUAUUGGGCUCGUUUGGAUAUGUUUUUAAAAUGACUGAAAGCGUUUUUAGAGAAAAUAUUUUUUUGAUUCCAAAAGCACUUAAAGUGUUUUCUGCAAAAAGCACUUAAAGUGCUUUCUGCAAAAAGCACCAGUUAUGUGCUUCUUCCUAGAAGCACUUUAAGUGUUUUUCAAGCAUUUACUUGCUUUUUUACUAAGGAUUGGUUCCAAAAACAUUUUCACAAAAAGUGUUUUCAGUCAUUUUAAAAGUACAUUCAAACGAGCUCAUUGUUUUUCCUAUUUUAAUCAAGUGCGUCGUCCCCUGUUGAGAAUGAAUCUCAUAUUAUGGGGAGAGGGGUCUUGCAUGGAUGAGAGGAGGGACCUUGCAUGAGCUUAUAAGUAAGUUGGGUUACUCUCUAUAUUGCCAAGAGAAAUUUUAUUUGGACCUACUUUUCCUCUCUCUAAACCCAACUUUAAUAUUUUGUUACCUAAACUCUCUAGUUUACCCUCAUAAAUUAUAAACAUAAAUAAACUGGAAAAAGAAAAACUCAUCAAACCUAUUUCCCAACUGUUCUGGCGUCUCUUCCCUGUAUUUGUUGGGUCUAUCUCCCUCCCGACUGUUUUUUUUCCCUGAUAUUCUCUGUGUGUUCCCCCACCUCUCCCACACCCACCGAUUCUUUGUGGUGGCUAUUCCACCCAACGUCCAGUGAAUCUUUCCAUUUUUCUUCUAUUGCGCGUGAUAGGGCCUUGCUGUUAAUAGGCAAAACUAAGCGGCAUCGUCGACUCUGUAAGCGACUUGUUGCAGAAGUCCAAAAUGGAGUCAAAAGGAUUUUGUAUUGGGUCGGGUUGUUGAAGGCGAUGGCUGAUUUAGCAAUCUCGCCUAACUACUUCUAUAUGCAGGAGAAGGAAGAGGGAGGAAGGUCUAAAGUGGUGGUUGAGUGGUGGCGAUGUAUGUGGGUUCUAUCUCGGUUGAAUGGGUGUAGAAAGAUAUUUAAUUUUCAGUUUCUUAUUUUAUUUUGUAUAAGGGAUAAUAUCGGAAUUACAUAAAAAGUUUUUUUUAUAGCUGGGUGUAGAAAUAGUAUUGUUGGGUCUAAAUAAAAUUACCCUAUUGCCAAACAUAGUAUUGUUGGGUCUAAAUAAAAUUACCCUAUUGCCAAUUAGCUUUGUUUGAAAAUUUUCAAAAUGAUAUUGUUUUUACCAUUGAACCCUUGUUAUAUACAGUGAUGGCUAAUUUGUCAAGUUCUACGAAGUUGGGAUACCCAGCGUUUUAGCAUAUAACAUAACUUAGUAUUACAAGCAUAAUUAAUUAAAAUAAAGGAAAAUGAAGAGGAUAGCUUAGUAUUACAAGCAUAAUUAAUUAAAAUAAAGGCAAAAGUAACAGCCUGUCCCUAAAAAUGACGAUUUUAUAAUCUUAACACGUGAGUUUAUGAAGAUGCCCUUCGAGGCAAAGUGUUGACUUGUGUUGACUACCGCAUCGUGUCAUGUGAGACUCAUCUUCUUGGCGUAUUCUCGUUUUACUUGUCACUACGGACGCAUGGGCGCAAACGGGACAUGAUUUGGAGCUAUAACGAAUGAGUUAUUAACAUUUAAAGUUAAGGACAUUUUAGUAAAUUAAUUAAUUUCAGAUUAUGUUGAGGGGAAAAUCUGGAGUGCCGGUGGGUGGCCCAGAUUAAAGGAAAUGAAGAAUGGAUGGUGGAGGUGUAAAGGAAAGAAGAUAAAAGAAAAAUGAGAGGAAGUGUGUGACUAAUAGGGAGAUGAGAGAGUUAGGAUGGCCCAAUCAGAAACAAACGAAAGGAGGAAAAAGGAGAGAAGAGGGGAGCGGGGGAUCCCUUCGACCCGGUUCCAUUUUCCGACCCGACCCGAUCCUUUUCAUCUUCUUUGAUGGUUUUUCGUCGGUUUUUUCCGACGAACCACGUUAUCUAACCCCUUGGAAAAUGUUCCACAACCUUCCCUCAACUAUUACAAUCCAAAAUUGUAGAAAUUUAGCCAUGAAAGUAUGAAAACCACACCGGUGGGUGCGGGAAACCCUUGUCGUCGAUUCUCCCAUUAUUGCAACGAUUUUCACCAAUUACCACCACCUACAACAUCCUCUUGAGGUCUGGAAUAAAGCCCAAACAAGUUUUGCACUACUACAAUAUUAGCUUUAGAUGGCAGAUGAUGGUGGCGGAUUUAGAAAAAUAUUGUCGGAUAAAUUAUAUCUGACACAUUAUUUAAUUAGUGGUGAAUAUAAGAAAAAUCAUGUCGGUUAUAACCGACAUAAAUUCGUGGCAGAUACUAGCAGAUAUUAAAAAACUCAUGUCGGUUAUAACCGACAUAAAUUCCUAGCGAAUAAUUACUGACAGAUAUUAUAAAACUUCUGUCGGUUAUAACCGACAAUAUUUUUGAAUUGGGGGAAUUUAAAAUUUUGGGAGGGAAUUUAAAAUUUUGGGAGGGAAUUUAAAAUUUUGGAGGAAAUUUUGGGGGGAUUUUUACCCAUAUUAAUUCAUGGCGGAUAAUUACUGACGAAUAUUAUAAAGCUCAUGUCGGUUAUAACCAACAAUAAUGAAAAUGUUUAUGUCGAUUUUUAUUAAAAAAAUGUUUCUGUCAGUUUUAACCGACAUUAAUGAAAAUAUUCCACAGUAAAACCCCUACUUCUUCUCCUUGUGCUGGUGCCUUCUCCCUUCCCCCUUCUUUCCCCCUUUUCUCUUCUCCUCAUUUCCUUUUCCUUUGUAUUUUUGAUUUUGACAAGGUCUCUCCUUUAUUUGAUUCUUUGUUGUUCAUCUCUCACAAAUGUAGAGAGAGUAAAGGAGAUGCUUAGAGCGCUUUCUUUGUUCCUUUUUUUUUUCUUUUCAUUUUUUCCCUUUUCAAACUCCGACUAUGUCUUACAUGGCCGGUCCCAAGCCCGGAUAAAGGAGGAGGGGGAGGGCGUCAGGUAGUCGACAGCCGGCACUCCAUGAUCACGUCGAAUCCUUAUGAAAAUGAAUCCAGAACAAAAUCGCGCUAAAGCUAGGGCGCCACCCGUAAGUGGCGCGCUGUGUGGCCCGAGCACAGUGAUAAGUGAGCAAGGGUCGCUGUAUCUCCAUCGGCACUCGGAUGCAGUGUUAAAUGAGCAAGGGGGCCAUAGAAACUUCUUUUCGAACGACUCCACUCAAAGUUGUUUGGGAGCAUAUGCUCCUAUCAACUUUACCCGGGACACACAAAAGAAGUACUUUGAUCCUAUUAGACGGGGGAGGGUGAAGAAGCUAGGACAGAAGGGUAGAGUUCAAGAGAGCAAAAUGCGUUUAGGAACGUGGAAUAUAGGAACCUUAACGGGAAAAUCUAUGGAAGUAGUGGAAGUUAUGGUGAGGAGAAGGAUAAAUAUUAUGUGCCUACAAGAAACUAAGUGGGUUGGUAGUAAGGCAAAGGAUCUAGAAAACUCAGGGUUUAAACUUUGGUAUUCGGGCACAAAUAGAACGAGAAACGGUGUUGGCAUCAUCGUGGACAAGACCUUGGUACAAGAUGUUGUAGAUGUCAAGAGUGUAGGAGAUAGAAUCAUGGCAAUCAAGAUUGUAAUAGGACAAGAACUUAUCAAUGUGAUUAAUGCGUACGCACCUCAAGUAGGGUUGGAUACGAGUUCGAAGGAGAAAUUUUGGGAAGAUCUUGGAGACUUGGUGCAAGGAAUUGCUCAGACGGAGAAGUUAUUUAUAGGAGGAGAUUUAAAUGGACACGUGGGCAGGGAGACAGGCAACUAUGGAGGUUUUCAUGGUGGCCAUGGUUUUGGGGAGAGAAACGAGGAUGGGGAAGCUAUCUUGGAUUUUACAAUGGCAUAUGAUCUCUUCUUAGCCAACACCUUCUUUAAGAAGAGAGAAGAACAUGUGAUCACCUACAAGAGUGGGUCGUCAAAAACACAAAUAGAUUUUCUUCUAAUGAGGAAAGGGGAUCGUAUAACUUGUAAGGAUUGCAAAGUUAUACCAGGAGAGAGCGUGGCUAAUCAACAUCGCUUGUUGGUGAUGGAUGUACAUAUCAAAAGAGUAAGACAAAAGAACAAGACUUGGAAGUGCCCAAGGACUAGAUGGUGGAAUCUAAAAGAAGAAAAACAAGUCAUUUUCAAAGAGAAGGUAAUCACCCAAUGUGUGUGGGAUAGAGAGGGGGAAGCUAGCCAAAUGUGGGAUUUCAUGGCUAGUUGUAUCCGAAAAGUAGCAAAAGAGGUAUUAGGAGAGUCUAAGGGCUUUGCCCCACACUAAAAGGAAUCUUGGUGGUGGAAUGAGGAGGUACAAACAAAGGUGAAGGCUAAGAAGGAAUGUUGUAAAGCCUUAUACAAGGAGAGGACCGAUGAAAAUGGUGAAAGGUAUAGAAAAAAAGCGAAGCAAGAGGCGAAGAAAGCUGUCAGAGAAGCUAAGUUAGCGGCUUACGACGAUAUGUAUAAACGACUAGAUACCAAAGAAGGAGAGUUGGAUAUCUAUAAACUAUCUAGAGCAAAGGAAAAGAAGACAAGGGACCUAAACCAAGUGAGGUGCAUCAAGGAUGAGGAUGGAAAGGUUCUUGCUACAGAGAACGCGGUUAAAGACAGAUGGAGAGGUUAUUUUCAUAAUCUUUUCAAUGAAGGACAUGAAAUGAGUGCUUCUUUAGGGGAGUUGAGUAACUCAGAAGAGUGUAGAAACUACUCUUUUUAUCGUCGAAUCCGGAAGGAAGAAGUGGUUGUAGCUUUGAAGAAGAUGAAGCAUAAAAAAGCAAUAGGCCCAGACAAUAUACCAAUCGAAGUGUGGAAACUUUUGGGAGAGACAGGUAUAACAUGGCUCACUGACCUUUUCAAUAGGAUUUUGAAAACGAAAAAGAUGCCAAAUGAGUGGCGAACGAGCACUUUGGUGCCUAUCUACAAGAAUAAGGGCGACGUACAAAAUUGCAUGAACUAUAGGGGUAUUAAGCUAAUGAGUCAUACAAUGAAGCUCUGGGAGAGAGUCAUUGAGCAUAGAUUGAGGCAAGAGACACGGGUUUCGGACAACCAAUUCGGGUUCAUGCCAGGGCGCUCAACCAUGGAGGCAAUCUAUCUCUUACGAAGAUUGAUGGAAAGAUAUAGAGAUGGGAAAAAUGAUUUACACAUGGUCUUUAUAGAUUUGGAAAAAGCGUAUGAUAGGGUCCCAAGAGACAUUCUUUGGAGGAUUUUAAAGAAGAAAGGAGUACGAGUAGCAUAUAUCCAAGCUAUAAAGGACAUGUAUGAAGAAGCAAAGACUGCCGUAAGAACUCAUGAAGGACAAACCGAAAGCUUUCCCAUAACUGUAGGAUUACAUCAAGGCUCAUCCUUAAGUCCUUACCUUUUUGCGUUGGUAAUGGAUGAGUUAACAGGACAUAUUCAAGAUGAUAUUCCUUGGUGUAUGCUUUUCGCAGACGAUAUAGUGUUGAUAGAUGAAACUCAGGAAGGGGUAAAUGCAAAGCUUAACCUUUGGAGAGAAGUGUUGGAAUCUAAAGGUCUUCGCCUAAGCCGAUCAAAGACAGAAUAUAUGGAGUGCAAGUUCAGUGCAAAUGGAGGCCAAAACGAGUUAGGGGUGAGGAUCGGAGAUCAAGAAAUACCAAAGAGUGACCGUUUUCGUUACCUAGGAUCUAUCUUGCAAAAGAACGGAGAAUUAGAUGGAGAUCUCAACCAUAGAAUACAAGCUGGAUGGAUGAAGUGGAAGAGUGCAUCUGACGUGUUGUGUGACCGUCGUAUGCCACUGAAGCUCAAAGGAAAAUUUUAUAGGACGGCAAUAAGGUCGGCGAUGAUUCAACUUGGCGGGUUCGAGCAAAUAGGCGUUGGGCCAUAUUAGACACAGAACCUGCACACUGAACACUGAGAGCUAGCGAAUCCUUAACAGCUAACUCAUCAGACCGUUUGGAAAGUAGUCUGUUAUCUUUGGGAGUGAGAAGGUUCCUGGCCACCACCGCAGCGGUCAUAUCAUUCUUCAUCACGGAAUCCCCAACGGUAAGAGGACCAGUAGGGGAGACAAAGGAUGGGCGCCAUAUGUUGUCUGGAGAAGGCGGGGCUGCCUCUUCAACAAGGUUCAAGUCAAAAAACGACGGUCGGAGGGCCAGACAUUUUCAAAGGUGUUGAAGAGAGAAGAGGUCGGACACAAAUCAAGAUCUUAGAAGUGCAAGAAUGAAGCUUCUACUGGUGGAGAUUCAAGUGUGCUUUGGAACUUAAUGCCAGCCCCUAUAAAAAUCUGCACUCGACGGAGCUUCAGAAAUCGAAGAGGCGUUUGCUUUCUCAAAAGCUGGGCUGCUUAGAGAUCACGAGGGUUGAUCUCAGGAAUCGAAGAGGCGUUUGCUUUCUCAAAAGUUGGGCUGCUCAAAGACCACGAAGGCCGAUCUCAGAAAUCGAAGAGGCGCUCACUUUCUCAAAAACUGGGCUCCCCAGAGACCACGAGGGCCGAUCUCAAAAAUCGAAGAGGCACCUACUUUUCCAGCCUUGUCAGCACCUGUCACACGCACACUCAGCUUUGCGGAAAUUAUGGGCAUUCUGUCGAAGACUUCUGGGGAAGUAGAAAACACAUGAAUCUUACUGUUCAAUCACCCACUUCCCACACGCAAUAAUAGCUCAUGGGUACCACAGAUAACUUUGCCAAAGUUCUCUGCCAAAGUUGAGCACGUGAAGCUUGCAGCUCCCACUACAUCGCUCUGACCAAGAAGGGUAAAAAGAAUAGCAAAGAAACAGCACUAACAAAGUUUAGACCCAUAAAUUUUGAAGGUCUAGCUACCAUAUUAUUACCCACAAGGGUAAAGGAACAGUACCACUGCUGGAUAAUUGGAAAGUCCCUAUGUGUCAACCUCUGUGCUUCGUGGCAAGGUAGACUAGCAAACAUGCCCAACCUUUACUCACAUUCGAGAAAACACUCCCAAUAAGAUUGCUUGCUCCAAAAUCGAAGAGGCACCGUCCUCCGAAUCUCGAGAGCCAGACUCCCAACAUGACUACUUUCUUAAAAAUCGAAGAGAGGGUAAAGGAACAGUACCAUUGCUGGAUAAUUGGAAAGUCCAUGUGUGUCAACCUCUGUGCUUCGUGGCAAGGUAGACUAGCAAACAUGCCCAACCUUUACUCACAUUCGAGAAAACACUCCCAACAAGAUUGCUUGCUCCAAAAUCGAAGAGGCACCGCCCUCCGAAUCUCGAGAGCCAGACUCCCAACAUGAUUACUUUCUCAAAAAUCGAAAGAGACACUGCUCCCCGAAUCUUCGAGAGCCAGACCCCCAGCAUGAUUGCUUUCUCAAAAAUCGAUGAGGCAUCGUUCUCCGAAUCAAUCGAAGAGGCGCUCGCUUUCUCAAAAGCUGGGCUGCUCAGAGACCACGAGGGCCGAUCUCAGAAAUCGAAGAGGCACUUACUUUUCUAGCCUUGUCAGCACCUGUCACACGCACACUCAGCUUUGCAGAAAUUAUGGGCAUUCUGUCGAAGACUUCUGGUGAAGUAGAAAGCACAUUAAUCCUACUGUUCAAUCACCCACUUCCCACACGCAACAAUAGCUCAUGGGUACCACAGAUAACUUUGCCAAAGUUCUCUGCCAAAGUUGAGCACGUGAAGCUUGCAGCUCCCACUACAUCGCUCUGACCAAGAAAGGUAAAAGAAUAGCAAAGAAACAGCACUAACAAAGUUUAGACACAUAAAUUUUGAAGGUCUAGCUACCAUAUUAUUACCCACAAGGGUAAAGGAACAGUACCACUGCUGGAUAAUUGGAAAGUCCCUGUGUGUCAACCUAUGUGCUUCGUGGCAAGGUAGACUAGCAAACAUGCCCAACCUUUACUCACAUUCGAGAAAACACUCCCAACAAGAUUGCUUGCUCCAAAAUCGAAGAGGCACUGUCCUCCGAAUCUCGAGAGCCAGACUCCCAACAUGACUACUUUCUCAAAAGCGAAGAGAGGGUAAAGGAACAGUACCAUUGCUGGAUAAUUGGAAAGUCCCUGUGUGUCAACCUUUGUGCUUCAUGGCAAGGUAGACUAGCAAACAUGCCCAACCUUUACUCACAUUCGAGACAACACUCCCAACAGGAUUGCUUGCUCCAAAAUCAAGAGGCACCGCCCUCCGAAUCUCGAGAGCCAAACUCCCAACAUGAUUACUUCCUCAAAAAUCGAAGAGACACUGCUCUCCGAAUCUCGAGAGCCAGACCCCCAGCAUGAUUGCUUUCUCAAAAAUCGAAAAGGCAUCGUUCUCCGAAUCUCGAGAGCCAGAUACCACAGACCACUUUUUCAAAGUGCUCUGACAGAGUUAAAACAUGUGAAACUGGCAGCUCCCACUACCGUGCUAUGACCAAGCAGGGUAAAGGAAUAGCAUUACUACUUGUUGUUAGGGAGACUCCUAUAUAUGUCGACCUCCAUCCCCAACGGACAGGCAGACCUGCAAAAAUGCUCAACCCUUCAUCAUAUCUGAGUGGGCACUCCCAACGAAGCCUUUCGAAAUAUUCAGCUUUCUUUCCCCCCGAUAAUACCUCUGCAAACAAGCUAUACUAGAGCAAGAAUAUCUCAUAUCAUCAGGGUUAAAAGCAAGAGUAUCCCAUAUCAUGCUUUUUCCCUGUCUUUUCCUUUGGCCUUGUUUUUACCUGCAAGACAAGGAGAAAGAGAGCAAUCAGUCAGCACUUGGAAUCAAGCUUCCAACCAGGAAAUGACUGCCUGGAACCCCUUACUUGGCAUUGCUCUCGAGUACUCAUCUUCAACAUCUUAUGUUUCCAGGGAAGAUUCUGCAUCUGCUUGAGGAACAGAUAGGGCAAGUGCGAAGGAUACAAGGAAGCAUGCGGAGACAAGCGUAACAGCACACGUGCCGAUACAUCCAUUACUCUGUCAAAAGCAAAAGUAUCCCAUAUCAGCAGGGUGGAACGUACUCUAGAUUUGAUGGACUUGUUUUGACCCUCAAAUUCUUCAGUCGGCCUUAUAUUCUGGAGGAAACCAGAAAACCCUCCAGCUCAGUUCAAGAAUAAGCCUGUGGAAAGUUACUUCUUCAAAAGCAAAAGUAUCUCAUAUCAUCUCUUCUCAUUUUUCUUCUCUCUUUAUCCUUCAUGCUGCUGCAAGAUGGGGAGAAGGUGAACAAUCAGUCGGAGCUCUGAUUGCUUACCUUGUCUGUCACCUCUUUCAGCAGACCCCCUAGCUCGGCGACUUGGGGGACUCCUACUAAAUGGUUUGUAUCGCGCUUGACCAAGCCUGAAACUACAAGUAAGCUUCAAGUGAAAUUGAUACAUUACCUUGUGCAUCUCCACCAGUUAAAGAUACCACCCCUGGAUGGAGGAAGAGUACUUCCAGAGAAGAUGCCACAUCUACCUAUGAGACAGAUAAGGCAAGUCAAGACGACACCACACUCCGAUACUUAGAAGUUUCGUGAUUAUGAGAUCAUUCUCCCACAAUAUUUCCUAAUGUCAUUUGUACUAAAUCAUUCACUUGUACUCACUAAAGGAGAGCUUGAACCUAUGUACUUGUGUAAACCCUUCACAAUUAAUGAGAACUCUUCUAUUCCGUGGACGUAGCCAAUCUGGGUGAACCACGUACAUCUUGUGUUUGCUUUCCUAUCUCUAUCCAUUUAUAUACUUAUCCACACUAAUGACCGGAGCAAUCUAGCGAAGAUCACAAAAAGCGACCGUUUUCGCUACCUAGGAUCUAUCUUGCAAGAGAACGGAGAAUUAGAUGGAGAUCUCAACCAUAGAAUACGAGCUGGAUGGAUGAAGUGUAAGAGUGCAUCCGGCGUGUUGUGUGACUAUCGUAGGCCACUGAAGCUCAAAGGAAAAUUUUAUAGGACGGCAAUAAGGCCAGCGAUGUUGUAUGGCACAGAAUGUUGGGCGGUGAAGCAUCAACACGUACACAAAAUGGGUGUAGCGGAGAUGAGGAUGCUUCGUGGGAUGUGUGGGCACACGAGAAAGGAUAAGAUUGGGAAUGAGGAUAUCCGAGGUAAAGUAGGAGUAGCCGAAAUUGUAGGAAAGAUGAGAGAAAAUCGGCUCCGGUGAUUUGGACAUGUGCAAAGAAGGCCGACUGACGCUCCGAUUCGAAGAUGUGACUACGGGACAGAGGUUCAGGGCCGAAGGGGUAGAGGAAGACCUAGGAAAACUUUGGAAGAGACUCUAAGAAAAGACUUAGAGUACUUGGAUCUAACGGAGGACAUGACACAAAACCGAGCGCAAUGGCGUUCUAGGAUUCAUAUAGCCGACCCCACUUAGUGGGAAAAGGCUUUGUUGUUGUUGUUGUUGUUGUAUUUUUUCCCUUUUCAAAAUCGAAAUGUUCUAAAUUAUUUCACUAAUCCUUGCUAGUUUGAACUGCAGGAGUCUGUCUCUGGAUUUGAAAGAUUAUCUGGACUUACAGUUUUGAAGAAUUGGGAUUCUAGUGUUACACAUAUUAUUGCAUCGACAGAUGAAAAUGAAGCAUGCAGAAGAACCCUUAAAAUUUUGAUGGGUAUCUUGGAGGGGAAGUGGAUUCUGAGUGUGGAGUGAGUUUUACUGUUUUCGUUUUAAUUGUUCUUCCUCAAGUGCUUGGACUUUACAAUUGUAAUGAGUACAGAAGCCGAAAUGAGAUAUUGAUAUACAUGUUCACAUUGCUGAUAAUUCGUUAUCCGUCUGUUUGUGUAGGAAUUAAUGCUUGCACAUAAGUAAUGAAACUAGUUAAUGAGGAGCCUUAUGAAAUCAACGUUGACAUUUAUGGAAUCAGGGAUGGUCCUCGACUUGGUAGACUAAGGCUGCAGAACAAGGUUAGCUUUUCCUCGAGUUUAACUAUCAUCACGAAAACUUUAGAUUUUCAUGGAUUCACCAUAGGCAUUGUUAAUCUUGUUCAGUCCAUAAAUAGGUUACACACUUAUCUUAACAAAGGUGAGACCUUCUCAAUUCCUCAUCGAGAUGAAUCAAGAGCAUAAUUGUAGCAGUGAUCAAGAGCAAUUUUUUUAUGUUUCUUCCAAAUUGUUGAGAUGAAUCAUCUGUGUUUUGUUCUAAUAAUCUUACAAAUUUGUUGAGCAAUUUUUGUAAAGUCAGAAUCUUUGGUUUCGGUUGUGAGGUAUCUGAUUUGGGUAUAUGUGUUUUGCAGGGCACGGUGGUUGUGGCGGAGGAAGAUUAGGAUUGACGACAGAGCUCUGGCCAUGAACUAUCAGCUCUGUCUUUCUCUCUCUAACUAUGAAUUGAAUACAAAAGUCUGUGUUGAUAUGGAAAAUGUAGCUCAAAAUUAUUACACAAAUGGCAAAAAAAAAAAGUUCGAGUGUGGAGUUUCACUUACUGAUACAGGGCUUUUGAAACAGGGUUGUCUAGACUGUAGAAGAAAUCCAUGGCUUUUGGAAGAGGGGAUGUUCCAAAUCUAUCUUUUCUCCCUCUCUAAUGUUCUUCGAGGGGUUCUUGUGAUGCAAAAAGUGGUUUAUAUAUAUUUUUUAUUAUUAAUAAAUUUUCUGUCGGUUUUAUCAGACAAUAAUUCUUUUAUUUAUUCUUAUUAAUAAUUUCUCUGUCGGUUAUAUCUGACACAAUUUCUGUCGAUUUUAGAGUAUUUUCUAUCGAAAAUUUCAUUUCCUGACGCAUCAAUUAUGUCGCUUAUUAUAUCCGCCACUGCACUCAUUUCAUGUCGGAUUUUGCUUAAUUUCCAACAGUAUUAUACAUUUCUUGUCGGUUUUUAAACCGACACUAAUGGGUACUUUUGUAGUAAUGUUGGGGCGUCGGAGUUCGUUUAAGGUCGAAUUGAGCACACCCAAAUUCAAGGGUUCCGUACGGUUCAUGGUAAUUUGAGGUAUUUCUCAGCCAAAUUGUCCUUAGUCACAGAUAUGAAAGUUGCUCCACUCGUUGAGAUCUUCAUUUAUGUCAAAUUUGAGAAUUUUUAGAAAUAAUUGGAUUUUCCAGCGAAUCGGGGCGGCGGACCACCACCGGACAGCGCAUGGCUAGUGGGCCCCCAAUGUCAUUUUACGUUAAAUUGGUAUCUUGAUUUUAGGUUUGAUGUCUAUAUGUUAUGACUUGAUAUGUGAACCUAGUUUAAUUAAGGUGCGUUAAUUGGUAAAAAUAUGAAACGACGAUCCGACCGUGGGAUCGUCACCAAUCUUUAUUAUGUUAUAGUACAUUAUAUUUGAGAAUCAUAGGGACUGACGGAUAGGAAAUCCGAUAUACGGAUCUUCCUGAAAUGGAAUUGUAAGUUCGAAGAAUAAACGUUAACCGCCACUUUGUUUUGACUAUUGGUGAAGAUCCAACCGUUGGAUCAUAAUGAAAUUUUAGGAUGAUGUUUUAGAAGCAUAAUGUGGAUCUUUGGAAGUUAUUGAUUGGAAAUCCGAGGAGCGAAUCUUCCGGAUUGAAUUACGUAAGGUUGUGGACCCUACCGUCGAUCGUUGACUGACGAUCGACUUUUGGUCAAUGGGGCUUAAAUCACUCUAAAAUGUUUUUAGGGAUGUGUUUUACGUAAAUUACAUUAUCUAUGGAUAAGAAUUCUGAGAUGUGGUUUGAUAAUUGUCCUGGGCGCCGAUCGUUAGGAACGCUUCGAUGGUUGUGCUAGGAAAUUGUAGCAUAGACUCCAGGUGAGUGAAUCUUUUCCUUCUUAUAUAUAUAUAUAUAUAUAUAUGAUUGACAAUUCCACAAACGUUUAUAAAUUGAUUAUUGCAUAUAACUACUGUAAAUACUUUGAAGUACUUAUGCGAACUACGAAUGGCUUGAUCCCUAUUUAGGGUACGUAUGCAGUCUAACAAGACAUUAAAUGCAGUCAUACAAUAAUUGAGAUUAAACAAUUGAGACAAAGCCUUGUAUGGGGAACUGGGCAAGGUGAACGAAUUUGGUAAAAAUGUGAGAUUUAACCUUCUGAAUUGGUGAUUAAAUGUUGGUCAUAAAUCAAUGUGUAAAGAAUCAAGAAUUUGAAGUAAGGAAACGUAAGUAAUGAUAAUUAAUUAAACUAGUGUCUAGUUGGGCUUGUCACCUAUAAUUAUCCCCAAAAAUGAAUAAUUCGGGAGUAGGGCGUUAUAGCUUCUGCAUUUUUAUGCCACAUUAUAUAUAUAUAUAUAUGUGUGUGUGUGUGUGUGUGUGUGUGUGUGUGUAUAAUUGGAAAUGCUAUAACGUGGUUGAGUAUCAGAUUUCAUCAUGGUUUAUCUAUAUGUAUAUUACCUGCACACAAUUAUUAUGAACACUUUGAAGUGCAAAGGUGAACGCAAGACACCCAGGAAAGUUCAGGUGAGUUUAUGGUAUUAGUUGAAAUGAUGGGGUUAUGGUAACUACAUGUAUGUUUAGGUUGCAAUGAUAGGCAACUCCGACACUGUCGUACAAGUUGCCCAUGAAUUGUAUAUGUUACAAUAGAUAGAGUUAGAGGUCAUAAACCUGCACCCCGGUGUUAGUGCUCCCACCCGUGGCUAGGGCACAGUCUUUCACGAGAUGUUCACCUCUCGCAUCUUACGCUCACCUUGGAUCCAAGGUAGGUGCACAGUCAUGUCAUAAAGACCACUAUAGGUGGUUCCGACUAGUAGAUGACCCGUGAUUAUUCGCACAGUCUUCACGUGAUUGUAGCACUUGAGCGUAUUUAUUUACACCCAGUCCUGUCGUACAGACCACUUUAGGUGGUUCCGACUCGUAUGCAGGUAUACUUAUUGAGCUAUGGAUAAGUCGUACAGGUCACUAAAGGUGACUCCAACUUAUGAGCUAGCAUAUGUGAUGAAAUAUGUGAUGAGCUAGCAUAUGUAAUGAGAUAAGUGAUGAGCUAGCAUAUGUGAUGAGAUAUGUGAUGAGUUAGCAUACGUUAUGAGAUAUGUGAUGAGUGAUAUAAUCAUAAUUGCAUACAUUUUCAUGCCCUUUUAGUUUAGAUUUUUGUUAUCCUUUUGAGUGAAUUUAGUUUGUUUCACUUAGUUUUAUGUUUUUCUUAGAUUUGAAGUGUGAAGAUGAAGAAAGAAGAAAAAAGAGCAUUUUUAGCGAUUGAAAUGAGUUUGGCAUGCUGGAAGCAGAGGCUAUUUGUGCGGAUCAGCCAACUUUACGGAUUAAACUGUACUUCCUUAGAAUGCCAGCUGUUGAGUCUUAUACCAUUGGAAAGAUAUGAAAGUUAGCUUUCAGAGGAAUUUUACGAUUCGUGAUUCCGAGUUUCCUAGAAGACGUUAUAGUGGUUUUUCUACCAGAUGUCUGCCAGCAAGGUUUUACGCGGGAUUUGCAAAGAGAUUCCAGAUUUACAAAGUUUAAUUAAAGGAAACAAGCAGAGAAAAAAGAAGAGGAAGCUUUUAGAAAAGUUCAGGACUAUUCUAAACGGUGCAUAGUUAAUAUAUUUAAUAGUUUAGUGUGCCACAUCAUCAAUAAACUAAUCUAAGUCAGAAGAGAAAUUCAAGAGUCCCAUUCAAGUAAGUAUUCCAGCAGUUUUAUUCAGGAAUAAAGGAGGGCAGACCGUCGGACUUUAGGAGCGGACAGAGAGAGUUUUUGGGUUUUCGAAGGUGCAGAGAAGAGGUCGCAGCAAGGAGUGAAACAGAGUCGCCGAUCAUCUGGGCAAUCCAUCACCAUCGUGUGGAAGUAUUUUAUGUUUUUCAGAUUUUUAAUUAUGUUUUCAGAUUUUAUGAGUAACUAAACUCUUUUUCUAAGGUUAGGAUGAUGCCCUAGCAUGGAUGUUUAUGGUUUGUAAUGUUAUUCAUUGGAUUUCCAGUUUCUUUUAGAUGAAUGCUUAAUCACUGUUUGAAUUGUUACUGUUUGUUUGAGUUCUUUGAUUGAUCACCUUAGGACUUUGCAUCUAGUAAGAUUGGAAGAUGAAUUUGAGACUGAACUAACAAUAUAAUUCAAUUAGCUUCUUGUGGUUAAGUGUGGUAAAUUACAUUAUUGCUUGAAAAAGAAUAAUGGUUUGUUUGGGUCCCUUGUUUUCUAGAGGGUAAAGAGUCCUACUUGUUAAAUUUAUGCCUUAACUAGGAUAGACUGCUUGUUAGGAUAUACGACCUCUGCCUAAACUAGGAGAGAAUCAUUCACAUAAGGAAAACUAUGGUCUAAUAUGCCUGACAAGGACUUAGAUACGGGAAUUAUCAUCUAAAGAAUUGAAAGAUCCAUUGAAUGCAUUGAAACCUAAACUAGAUUGCUUGUGGUUGAUUCCGAAUCCCUAGAUUUUCAUCACUUGCCUUAAAACACAACCGUUUCUUUUCUUUAAUUUCAGUUUUUACUUAAGGUUCUGUUUUUGUUCAUUUAUAAAAUCAUCACAACAAAUUUUUUACAUCUUUGAUUGACUUAUUAAUUAAGAUCGAGUCUAGUUCGUUGUUUGGGUUUGUGUGUCUUUAAUAUAAUUAGAUUUGGUUUAGUUUAUCAAAUUGGAGAUUGAAUUAGAAUCCUCGUGGGAACGAUACUUGGACUUGCAAAACGUUAUAUUACGACUAUCUUGUGCACUUGUAAGUUUACACCAAGUUUUUGGCGCCGUUGCCGGGGACUCUAAUUGAGUCCCCCAAUUUGAUAUCAUAUUCCAUAUCUAAUAAGUAGUUUAUUGUAGAUUAUUCAAUUUGAUUUUGUUUUGUUCUCUAGUUUCGAGUAAGAGUCAUAACUAUUAAGAUAAGUAAAAGUAAUUUUCGUCACUGUUUUAUUUCAGUUUUGUAUCACUGUUUCGACACAGUUUUGGACUAAACUAUUCGAUUUUUUACCAGGAAUAUUGUGUAUCGUUGGAAAGCCCCAGAAGUCUAGUUUUCAACCCAAAAAACAGAUCAAUGAUUGGAUUUUUGAGCUGCAAGAAAUGUACAAAAUACUGAGCAGUGGUCAAACAAGGAGCACAGUCUGGUCGUAUAUGCAAGGUAGACGUUCGUUGCAAUUUGAGUUGAUUCAUAUAGACCAAGAACUUGUGCGUACUUUAAGAGAACAGUGGAGGCAGCGAGUGUGUCAAGAACCAGCCAUGGAGGAAGUAGUUAAUAAUGGUGGAAAUAAUCCUCCACCAUUGCUACCACCACAACCAAGGCUCAUGCGUGAUUAUACAAAGCCAACGGAGUACAACGCACCGUCAUGCAUUGUUUUGGCUCCAAUUGCGCAGCGAUUUGAGAUUCGUCCACAAAUCUUUCAGUUGCUGCCUAUAUUUCUUGGGAAGGAGGAAGAAAAUCCAUACCAUCAUAUCAAGGCGUUUUUCAAGCUAUGUUCCACAUUCACAUUCACCAAUGUUACUGAAGAGCAAAUUCGACUUCGGUUAUUCCCAUUCUCUUUGAGGGAUAAAGCAAGCAGUUGGUUGGAUUCUCUUCCCGAAGCAUCUAUCGACACAUGGACAAAAUUAUCGAAGAAGUUUUUGUCCAAGUUCUUCCCCGCUCGAAGAACCAAUGCUCUGAUCAAUGAAAUCAUGAGCUUUCGACAACAAGAAGGUGAACAGUUUCAUGAAAGUUGGGAGCGCUAUAAGGACUUGUUUCUUCAAUGUCCUCAUCAUGGUUUCAACACUUGGCAAAAGGUUCAUUAUUUUUACAAAGGUUUGAACUCUCAAUGUAGGAGUUUGGUUGAUUCAACGGUUGGUGGAACCUUGAUAGACAAAACUCCAGAAGAUGCCAUACAUGCCUUUGAAACUAUAUGUGAAAAUUCUGAGCAUUGGGAUUUUCCUACAAAAGAUUUGAGAGUUCCAACUGCAUCGUCAACAAAAAAAGGAGGCAUUUAUGAAGUUAAUACAAGGACGGGCUUAGAGGCACAAGUGGCAGCCCUCACCAAGCUUCUCACACCACUUGUAAGCAAGAUAGCCACGCAGCCAUGUACUUUAUGUGCGAGCAUCGCCCAUGACAUGGAAAAUUGUCCAACAAAUGCUAAUCUAGAAGGCAUCCAAGAGGUCAAUGCAUUUAGUGGGAGGCCCCGGAAUGAUCCAUAUUCUAAUAAUUAUAACCCGGGAUGGAGAGAACAUCCAAAUUUUUCUUAGAGAGAUUCACAAAAUAGCAUGGGAUCAUUCACUUCAACAAAGCAAUAUCAGCAACCUUAUCAAGCUCCUCCAAUUCAACAAAAAGACUCGUCUAUCAAGGAUAUGUUAUCUCAACUCUUAAAGAAAACUGAUCGGUAUGAACAUGAAGUUGUGUCGCUUAGACAAAGUCAGACGGUGUUGGAAAAGGCUCGAUCUAAUUUUGAGACUCAGUUGGGACAGAUAGCUACUACUUUGAACAAGCUGGAGUGAGCACAAGGGCAAUUUCCAAGCCAAACUGAAACAAAUCCUAGGAAUCAAAAGCAUGUUCAAGCUGUCACCACUUUGAGGAGUGGAAAGACGAUUGGUAAUAAUGUGGAAAGUUCAAAAAUUAAUAAGGAAGAAGAUGAAGGGGUCAGCACAUAUCGGGCAGCAGCUUGACAAGACAAGCUAAAAAAGAGAAGUAUAUGGGAGAUAUUUUAGAGCAAUUUAGAAAGGUGCAGAUUAAUAUUCCUUUUCUCGAUGCCAUCAAACAAAUUCAAUCAUAUGCGAAGUUUUUGAAGGAACUUUGUACUAACAAGAGACGGUAUGAAGAACAUGAGGAGGUGAAGUUAUCAGACACGGUUAGUGCGGUUCUUCAAAGAAAAUUGCCACCAAAACUUCAAGAUCCUGGUAGCUUUACAGUCCCAUGUGUCAUUGGAGAAAGAAAAUUCGAAAAAGCUUUGCUUGACUUGGGAGCCAGUGUGAAUUUGAUGCCCUAUUCUGCUUAUAAACACCUCAAAUUAGGCGAACUAAAGCACAUAUCCAUUUCUCUACAAUGCACUGAUCGUUCUGUGAAAUAUCCAAGAGGGAUUGUUGAAAAUGUACUUGUGUGUGUUGAUCAAUUUAUUCUUCCUGCUGACUUCAUCAUUUUGGACAUGGAAGAAGCCGAAAUUCCUGGUCGUGACUUGCCUCUCAUUCUUGGCAGACCUUUCAUGGCUACUGCAGGUACGAAGAUUGAUGUUAAAUCGGGAUUAUUAACUAUGACUGUGCAAGGUAUUACUGUAGAAUUUCAGGUCUUCGAAGCAUUGAAGAAGCCCAUGGAUCUUUAUGACUGCUUUCGUGUUGAGGUAGUGGAUCCAAUUAUAAAAAAAAACAUUCAUUGAAUCAAGCAUCUCAGAUCCUCUGGAAGUUUGUAUCUCUCAACAUGGGAUGAGUUUUGAAAAGGCUACCAUCAUUGAAGCAGAACGAGAUCUCAAUGCCGUAACGUCCUACUCUCUUAGAUGCCAGCCCAAAUUUGAAGCGUUGCCACUCACAAGCCAAAAUUGUACCAUCCAUUAUACAACCUCCAAAGCUUGAAUUGAAGCCUCUUCCAGAGACUUUAAAGUAUGCAUAUUUGGUGAUUCAGAGACUCUUCCUGUGAUUAUAGCUGCUGAUCUUAACCAAACAGAAGAGGAAAAGUUGAUGCAAAUGUUGAGGGAGCAUAAAACAGCAUUGGGAUGGAGUAUUGCAGACAUAAAAGGAAUUAGUCCUCAAUUUGCAUGCAUCGGAUAUAUCUUGAGGACAAGUCAAAGCCUUCUAGAGAGGCACAGCGACGUCUAAAUCCACAUAUGCAAGAAGUGGUUCGGGCAGAAGUUCUUAAAUUACUGAAUGUCGGCAUUAUUUAUCCUAUAUCUAACAGCAAAUGGGUAAGUCCACUGCAGGUUGUACCACAGAGAUCUGGAAUUACAGUUGUCAAGAAUGAAAAUAAUGAGCUUAUACCCCAGAGGACUGUCACGGGUUGGAGAAUGUGUACAGAUUACAGAAAGAUCAAUAAUUCAACUCGAAAAUAUCAUUUUCCACUCCCUUUCCUUGAUCUCAUGCUUGAGAGACUUGCAGGCCAUAGUUAUUAUUGUUUUCUUGAUGGCUAUUCCAGAUAUAAUCAAAUUCCCAUAGCUCCGGAAGAUCAAGAAAAGACUACUUUCACAUGUCCAUUUGGAACUUUUGCCUAUCGACGAAUGCCUUUUGGGUUAUGUAAUGCUCCCGCAACAUUCCAAAGAUGCAUGAUGAGCAUUUUCUCAAACUUGGUGGAAAGGUGUAUCGAAGUGUUCGUGGAUGAUUUUUCCGUGUUUGGGUCAUCGUUUGAUCAAUGUCUUCAUCAUCUUUCAUUGGUGCUCUAACGGUGUCAAGAAACCAACUUGAUUUUAAAUUGGGAAAAAUGUCAGUUUAUGGUGAAAAGUGGUAUUGUUCUUGGUCAUGUAAUUUUAGCUGACGGAAUUGAAGUUGAUAAAGCUAAGGUGGAGCUGAUUUCGAAGCUUCCUCCUCCCACUUCUGUAAAAGAAGUUCGAUCCUUUCUCGAGCAUCCAAGUUUUUAUCGCCGAUUUAUUAAAGAUUUCUCGAAAAUCACCAAGCCACUUUGUGAUCUGCUUGCUAAAGAUUCUGUGUUUAAUUUAAAUGGUGAGUGCUUACAAGCUUUUGAGACCCUCAAGAAAGAAUUAACACAAGCCCCAAUCAUAAAAGCUCCAGAGUGGUCUCUUCCUUUUGAAAUCAUGUGUGACGCCUCUGAGUAUGCAAUAGGUGUUGUGUUAGGGCAGCGAGUUAACAAACUUCCUCAUGUUAUAUUUUAUGCUAGCCGAAUUCUCACUUAACAACUUUCAUAUCCCUUAGUUUCCAAAAUUUAAUAUACAAAUUUAGUCUCCCAAGCAUUGCUAUAUUACUUAAGUAUUGAUUAAUAGACUUAUUUCUUAUGGUGACACAUUAUUUAGUUUACAAAUUUAGUCUAUCUAACAUUACUCUUUUGACAUUGUCUUGUCCACUGAUAUAAUUCUAUUUUUCUUGUGAUCAAAACUUCAAAUGUUAGCAAGUCGCACGUAAAGUCGCUUCUGAGAGAAUGUGCUCACAUUGUAGUUGAAAGAUUAUGUGGCUAGCAACAUUACAAAUUUAAUUUGGUAUAAUUUUAAAAUAUAGAUUGAGGAAAAAAAGGAUCACAUUAACUAGAAACUGAAAAGGUUUCGGCGCAAUAUGUUCAAGCAAGAAACUCAAUUUUGAUGCUACCGAUCUUAACAGCCUGAGCGCCGUACCUGGGCACUAAAGUCACCACCACACUCUCAUCAUCUUCAGCACCCAAAUCCUCCAACAGGUCCGUUAACCCCAACCUUAAACAACUCUUGCUCUUUUCCUUCUGCUUAUGUGGCACACUCACAAAACUCCCAGCAAACUCGCUCUUGUCGGGUCCACUCGGUGCCGCAUCCUCAUCAUCCACGUCAUUCACAUACACAUCAAACUUCACAGCCACAUCUUUGUCAAGCUCAAUCCCCCGAAUCACCAAUAUCUCCUCCUCAUCCUCUUUCUCCUUCUUGCUCCUCUUCUUCGGCUUCGGCCUUGACACCACCGUAGUUAUCUUCGUCUCCAAAUUUAUUGGAAAAUCUUUACCCGCCACCACCU
rnacentral:lncRNA from 1 species